rnacentral:lncRNA from 1 species
GCCGGGCCUGGUAACGUGGGCUUGUGACUCAAGUGAGGGCAUGAAGGUGGUUGAAGGUUGGUUUGGCUGGAGAGGUAGGGUGCGCUGGGGUUGAGACACUGGCUCGCCCGUUCCAAGUGGGGAGUUUGAAUCUUGUGAUCCGACCGAAGGGUUGGGUGACGUGGUUCCUAGAGUGGAGGGCACCGCGUGAGGCUGGAUUCACAGAGCAGCGUUCACCUCCCGCUCCCUUCGGUGGAAGGAUAACGUGCUGGUACUCCACGGGCCCAACGACGCCUCCUCAGCCGCUCACAACCCGACAACCACUUUUUCCCUCUUUUUAUUUUUCCUUCAUUCCAGCCAGUGGUGGAACAAUUGACAUUCAGAGUGAAAUAUCAUGGAAGAGAAGGCUUCACCAGAAUCCUAUAGAUUGUUGUGAUGACUUGAAGCAAAGAAGCUCCAAGCAAAUUGCCUCAACGUGGAGCUCUCUUUUCUCUUUCUGCUGUGAUCAAUCACAAUCCACAUGCGAAAUUUCCCAGGUCUGCAUGGGGCUGAAUGUUGGUGGACUGAGAGGUGGGCACUGUGACAAGAAUGGAUGCAAAAGCUUUGGCUACAUUAAGGGGGAAAAAAAAUAAAGCAAGGGCCUAGGAUAUUGCCAUCAUCUGUCACAGCUGCUUAUGGCACCUUCUUCAGAAGGAUCACUUGUUUUUAGCUGAUUGAGGUAACUAUAUGACUCAUCUCUGUAAGCUUUGUGGGAAUGCUGGUUGCUAUCCUUCUUUUAUGUAAUUUCUACUCCAGUUUUGCAAUUGGAGACAAGGCUUCAGAUUAGAAGUAAUGGGAGCUUUUAUGUGAAUUUUGGAUUUGAUGCCAUGGAAAAGCUGAAUUAAUUUUAUAAAGACCCUACUGUGUAGAGAAAGAUAAACUCUACUGUCUAACCAACCUUGUACACUGUACACUGUAAUGUAAUGCUUCAGUAAUCAUGUGUUGUCUCCUGGUCUUACUGUUAUAUCGAGGUCCACUAAUUAUUUCUUAAUUGCUUGAUAUAUGGACAUGGACUGGAACGCCUCGUCCUACUGUCUAGUUACUUAAUGAGGUGAAUAAUUAUUUCUUCCUCAAGAGAGACAAUGUUUUGAGGGAUAUAUAAAAUAAGAAAAGAACUUUCCAGUACAUUAUGCCAAAUGUUGAUUUAGAAAACAAAAGGACUAUUUCAAAAUUGAAUGUAAAUUCACCAGCCUAUUUGACUUCCAUGGGGUAUGCAAAUGCCCUGUUAAUGGAUGGAACAUAUACGUGCUUUUGAUGCAUUUAUGUUGCUGAAGUAGUAAGAUAAUUUGAAUGCUCAUUUGGUAUGUCUACACAUCGUAAUCAGAAACAAGAGAUAAUUCUUGUUCAAACUUCAUGGCUAACAAGUGCUUCUCGACCUACUCUUCUUUCAUUCCUGCACCUAAUGAGUUGAAGAAAAUUUAUUGUAUGGUUUGAAGUGUAUGCAGAGAAGCUUUGUGAGAUCAAAAUAAGGAAUGGCAGGAAGCAAACUUAUUGGAACAUGUUUUUUCCACGAAGAUGAUUUUCACACUGAGAGUUGGUUUUGUGUGCAUGAGUUCACCUCUUGCUUGAUAUUUGAUGGUGAGGUUGGAUCUAAGCAUGUUGAGAGGGUACAAUGUUUGAGAUGGUUCAUGUCAAAGGGCAUUUCAGAGUGUGAGAAUACUCAAAUUUGAAAUGUUUGUUUGGAAUGUGUUGAUAGAUUGAAGGGAUUAUUUGAAAUCCACAAGGGAAAACAAAAAUCAUCCCAUAUACUUUUUCAAGCUUUAUGGAUGAGUCAAUUCCUAUGCAUGUAUAAGAUCCUUCCAGGGUUUGAAAAUGUACCAAUUUUCUGUUAUGGUUCCUGUUUUGUCCCAUUUUCAUAGGAUGAGUUCGUGGAUUUAAAUAUUUUCAAAUGCAAAGUAACCAUGUGGCUUGAAUUCACAGGUUUCCAACUUAGUUGGGGAUGUGGCAGUUCUCUUGCUGAUUUAUCUUCUGGGGCAUGUCAAUGAGUAAAGGGUUGUUUGGUAAGUCUUGUAUGGUAUGGGAUGGAGCCUUCUCUAUCUGACAUCUUUGUUGCUUUGAUCUCUGUUCUAUUGAAGGCAUGGUCUUUUCUGGAGGCAUGAACAAGCAGCUAUAGAUGUCCUGAUGGAAGCUUAUACCCUUGUACUCUCGGGAAGGAAAUAUUCUCUAUCAGGUUAUAUCAAACUCAUUAAGUCCAUUAUCCAUUUUCUUGAGGCAUGAACUGAAUUUUUUUUUCUUUUAAAGCUAAUUUUGGUUGCAAUUCUGUGCAUAGUAUUUGGAACAACCUCCUUGAGAGCUCUUCAUUUAGUUGAAGGCUUCCCUUUGUGGCAUUGCUGCUUUAUGCCUACUAGAAAUAUUUAGGCAUCAUUAAACUAUCAUCUGAAUAGUUUCACUUAGUGUGAUUCAAAAUAUGAUUCUCUUUCUUGUGUUUAUCUGUUCUAUGCAGAAGAGUCUUUGCUCUGUCCUAAAAGAAGGCCAUUCAACCAUUCUUGAGAUGAAACUAGCCAGAAAUUAGGUAUUGGCCAUUUAUAAAAAAACUGAAACAAUUGUCUAUGAAUUAGGUGCAAAGAAAAAAAAAAGCACAAUUGCAAUGCUUUCUUAAAGAGGAAAAAAAAUGUAGCGCGUUCCAAAAUGUGAAAAAAAUCAUAAGGUAAAAUUCCAAUUUCAAUGUUGAGUCCCAACACCUCAAAAAUAGGUCCAUGCUUGAAAGUUGCAGCAUGUUGCGCUAAGAAAUAGAGCAGCAAGAAGGUUUACUUUGAAUUUAUAUGAAAUAUGUUUGCAUAAAUUAAGGACACAGGCUGAGAAACCUCUUGGUUUUUGAAUUCUGUUGAUGAAUUCCUUACACCAAAACCUUUAGAUUGACAUAAGGACCUGCUUAUGCAGUUACUAGAUUUAUAUCUUGCAACCCUUAUGGUCAUCACCACCUAAGAAAGCUUGCCCUGGACUUUUAUAUUUUGAUCUUGUCACCUAAGCUCAGAGAGAAUUGGCUGAAACUGUGACAUCUUAUAGAAGCUAUGCAGGUAAAAUCUUUGCCCUUUCCUCAUCAAACAGUAAGUUGACCUGAAUCUAUUCCAACUGGUUACCAGUUCCAAGUGCCAUCUGUACAUAUCAUGCAGUCGAGAGGGUAAUGACAUGUUUAGCUUGUUAUCUAUGCAAUAUAAUCUAUAUAAACUAUCCAUAAUCGUCACUAAAAGUAAGUUUUAAAGAAGGGCAAAAACUUUGGAUCUAGUGGUGCAACUUGUGUGUGUGUGAAAGCUACAGCCAGUAUGUAUUCCAAGUCCAAUUUAUGUCUUCUAGCUAGUGUUUAAUGCAUAGUGACAAAUACUGCUCAAGAAGGAUGCGGACAGAAGGAGGAAGAGAAGGAAAGCAAGUUAUGAAUGCAAUGACUUUCCAUGAAUUACUUGCAUGAUUUCUAACUUUCACUAUCAAAAUCAAAAUAAAAGAAUAUACAAGGGAUCAAAAUGAGGGGAUUGGAAGAAAUCUGCUAUCUCCCGGCAAGUAGGGAUAUCAUGAGUUGCAUGCCUGCUACCCAGCAUGUCUGCACUCCUAGGGAUUAUUUGCUCCAGAAACUUAAACCAAUAGGAAUAAGUCAAUGCUAUAAAUCAGACAACCUAAUACUUAACACUGUUUAACUUGCGACCUUUCUGUCUACCCCAUGAGCUUCAGCUUUGAUGCUACAUCAAAUUUUCAUUUAUCCCAAAAUAUCAAGUUAUUUAAGAAUAGAUGAUAUCCAACUGAGACACAGCAAUUAAUCAUGUUUUUCUAUUGUCCUUUUUUUCAGAGAAUUUACCCAAAACCUUGGGAGGCUGUUGAGUGUGAUUUGAUCAGGCAAGGAGCAUACUUUUUAUGCGUGUUCAUGUGUUACAAAUGCACAAAUCUUUUCACCAAAAAGUUUGGGAAAACUCAAAGUGCAUAAUCUAAACCAUAGAGUAUAAGUACUAGUUUUUCUGAUCUCAAAAUCUCUAGUAAUUUCUUUGCUGAUAAUAUGAUUUUAGUGCGAUUGUUCAAAAUUCUCACUGCUCACAACCGCCCCGCCCCGCCCCACCCCCCCCCCCGGGUUCCUAAAAAGGAGAGGCUUAUGUAGCUUUGCUUGAAAAGAACUAGAGAAUGUUGGAAAGUUGAUCUACAAAAUAGAGUGGACACCCCCUCUUGCUCAACUUGCUGGGUCACAGUCACCAAUGAAGAAAGUACUGGAUCUGGAUCCACUAUUAACAUGAUUGGGACGAUCACUGCCCAUCAGAGCCAAAAGAUUUGUUACAGCACCUUCAUAGUUUUACUUAGGCUUUUAGCUUGGGAAACAUUAUGUUUCACCUGAGUGUUUUUAGUCCAUUCAAUUCCAUUCAUUUUCUUGGUGCAAUAAAUGCUUUCCAUUGUUAUGCUUUCUUUGUCUGCAAAAGGGUGUAAGAACCCUAUGUGUAUGGCUAUGGAGCCAUUCAAUCAGUUCCAUUAACACCCCCAAAGAGUCUUGAACUCUCAAUAGUAGUCAUCAUUCUCAGUUACCGUCGCCCUUUUAGUACAACAGUUUAGUGAAAGCCAUUGUUUCAUUAUCUCAAUCUUGGUUCUUUGAUAGGGAAGAACCAAGGCAAAGAAGGUUGCCUUUGUUGGGCUAAAGAGGUCUCCAUGAUCUCAACCUUACCUCCAAUGAAUGUUGCAACCAGAUAUUGAUGUGAGCAAAAGGCAAUUUUACAUUGAAAACCUCUUAGAAAAAAAUAACCACCAGAAGCUCUCUCAAAAUCAACAACCAAAGGUGGCUUUCUUCUGUCGUUCCCUCUUAGAUCUGGAUGUGUGCUAUGUGCAGAUGUGGGGCUUUGGGACAUUAUUUGAUUGGUUGCCAUGUGUAAUGAAUUACUAGGGCGUAGAUGGUGACCACGACAACAUGGGCAUUGUCAAAUUGUUUGGACUAUUCAAUCAAGAUUCCUAAUCAAGACUAGAUCAACAGGUCUCAAAACUUUUCUUUUGUGUAAAGAGAAAACUUUGGAUUGAUCUUAAAAUUGUGAGGGCUGCAAUGGUCUGCCUUAGGGUUAAAUGUUUUCUUUCUUUUUCCUCUGUCCCCUAUUGCAACCAAGUGGAGCAUGUGAAUGAAGGAAAAGGUGAGAAAAAUAGGAGAAAGUAAAAGCAAAAAAACCUCCAAAGUUGAAUAGGAAAAGUUGCUUGAUUCCAUUCUGUUGAAUUAGACUGUUCAAAAUGUUGGGAUAGAACUGUCAAAACAAACUCCAUUUCAUUUCAUUUGCAUUCAUUCUGACUGUAAAGUUAUACAUGAUCCAGAUGUGCCAUCCAUUGUUAAACAAGUUACAGGUUCUUCCCUUUAGUUUCUUAAAUGAAUAAACAGUGGUUGUCAAAUAUCAAUGCCCUGGUCUACUCCAAUAUUGAAGCAGAGUCACACACUAACACUGGAAAGUGGAAACACCUUUUAUGCGACAUGGCUUGCUCAUUUGAAGAAUCGGGGGACCAACUCCUAAUGAGACUGUUUCAGAAGUGGGUGAUUUUAGUCAUUCAAAUGCUGUAAAUUGCCCAUUAGAUAAUGAAACUUAAUGCUUCUAAAUAUGAGCCAGAAAAGGGGGUCAGGAUGCAGAGUCAAAUAUUAAACUUAAAACCUUUACAGUUCAGUUUCGAAAUUAACAACUUAAAAUGUUGAAUUAACCCAUAAGGGCCACAACUUAUCUCAUGAACUAAAACUAUAAUUCGGGGUACCCAGAGGAAGUAGAGUUCAUGGGUAGAAAAAGAGAGAAUGAGACUCUUCCAUAUCCCCUGUGUAUCAAUGAGACUCCCUUUAGUGGGGACCCCUCUCUUUAGAAAGAGGUGUUGGCCUGUUGGGUGUUUGAACCUCAACUUUGUCCACACAUUCUCCUUAUUACAUAUUUGAUAGGUAAAAUACUAAUUUCAUGAACGUGUGUGGAGGAAAUGGGAGAGAUAGUUCAGUUUGUCAUGAAAUUCUAUUUGAUAGCAUUUGGAGAAGAAUGAGUCGAUGGUAACAAAGUGGGGUUUUUGGUUACUGAAACAAAUUCAUAUCAUAUGAUAAAAAAUGAAAGAGGGUGGCCUCAUAGGGUGAGAAAAGGCCAAAAAGAAAUAGCGUGAAUGCAGACUUCAUUCAUCUUUCAUCUGUAAAUGGGUGGCUUAUAAUUAGAGAGUCAUUAAACUUAGGCAGAGAGCCACAAAGCUGUUAUGAAAGCAACAUCAGCAAGACCACAGAGACAGAGACAGAGAGAGAUGAUGACAAAUUGCAUUGAUAGAGUCUCUGUCACACACACACAAGAUACACCCAGAAUUUCAGUGGAUAUUAAUCAUCUUGGAUCACGAGCUUGAUUGGUGACUUUCACGUUUUUAACAGACAUCGGUCAGAGCCUCCCUGCCAUUGUCCUUUUUCUAGGAUUGCAGCUCUGCAUGCCCUCCAUGUACUGUACCUAACCCUCUUAUCUCCCUCUCUCUACUUUCCCACCCUUCGUCUUCUUCUUUCUUCCUCUUCCUCUCUUUUUCUCCUUUUUUUUUCCUUUUUUUUUGUCAACUUUGUCAUUCACCUUUACAAUCACCUUCAUCUCUUAAAUUCCUACUAAAAUUUCAACUCAAAUUCAUGCUAUGAGCUGGGCAAGAUAUAAAAAAAGGACGAAAAAAAAUGUCCACUAAAAUUUAAGUGCAUAGAUGAAUGUGAAAACUUCGAACAGAUAGUCCUAUUCCAUUUGUUUCAUGGAUGGCGACACUUGAGCCACAAAUAAGGCUCUUCAUAAACAAUUUUUUUUUCAGUUUUUCAGGUUUAUAAUUUUUUCAUAUGUCACAUUCAAUGGUGGGUCUUCAGGCCCACUGCUUCUACUCAAGCAAUUCUAGUAUGAACCCAUUGCUAUAUUGAUGGCAACACAUAGCUAAACCCCACACAAUUAUUUCUUGAAUUUUCCAUAUAUUACUUGAAUUCUUCUCAAUUAGUAGUAUUGUUUUCUCUAAAUAAAAUAUUCAUCAUUCUCUACACAUAACACAUUGGUUCUUCUGCAGAUGGGUAUAUAGUAUAUUCAUAUACCAAUAUUUAAAAAAUUGUCCUAAAUUGACUGAUUGAAUUAUGUUGAUAGAUAGAAUCUUUUUCCAUUUUAAAUAAAGUUUCUAUCUUGUUUAAAUGUCAAUCUAAUCAUGAUUUGGCUUUCUCCUUAAGUGAGAACAAGAAAAGUUUGUUUUGAGCAUACUCAAUGCAACUAUUAAAGUGAGUCAUCAAGAAGCAUACAUCAAAUUCCAUUUAGGGAAUUACUAUCGUCAUUUCAUCAUCACAUAUCUUUAGAAUCGUCUGAAGGAACAUACUAUCUUAAACCCAUGAGAUAUCAUAGUGUCUGUAUUAAGAAUAUCUAUUGCCACCUACGUUGAUCAACAAUAACCCAAUUCAUAGAGAAUAUGUGACCACCUUGAUCAAUACAUAUUAUCUCUUCUUCGAAUUUCUCAUCGUUUAUAUUUUUCCAUUUCAAUACUUUCUAGUAAAAAAUAAAAAUUAUAUACAAGUAUGGAUGCAUCAACACUUUUUCAGUAGUUUAAUAAAUGUAACUCACAUGCAAAUAAAUUAACACCUCCCAACCAAAAUUUAUAAGAACAUUCAACUACUUAAAACACAUUUCCAAUUAUUCAAUAAUAUCAUAAUCAAUCCAAAAAUAUUAUCUAAGAUUUCCAAAGAAUAUUUGAACACAUAUCAAUUCAUUUUUUUCAACCAUCCAACAUGUAAGUAAUAAUGUGAAAUUAAGAUUAAUACACAUGGACAUAAAUAAAUUAGAAGAAAGAGAGAGAAAUAGACAAUAACACCCGGUUUUAACGUCAAAAAUCUCCUAAGAGAUAAAAAAUCAUGAACCUAUAAAUUAUCAAAUGCAUCUACUAUGAAAAGCAAGGACUUACCUAACUCAAGUCCACCAAUUUUUCAUAGGUUAUUUGACCAACACCUUUUCAUAUGAGCUACAUGUCUUCUUUGUAAGUAUGCUUGGAGUCCACACCACACCAAACUUGAUCUUAGCCUAUUCUUGAAGCUCAAUUAAGAAGAAAAAUGAGUUUUCACCUAAACCCAAACCAUUAAGAACACAAAAAAUGAAUGAAAGAAAUGAAUUAUCCCAUUUUUUAAGAAAAUCUAAUCCAAAUAUUGAUUUGGAAAUCAAAGUAUAGGAAAUUUCUAGAAAACUAAACAAUCCUAGUUUCGAUUGAAAAGAGAGCUCAAAGGGACUAAGAGAGAUAACUGCUGGUGAUAUUCAACCCUAAAAUAGAAAGUUUUGGCUUAAAUAAUGAUCGAAAAAUUAUCCAAGAGUACAUGGAUUGAUCCUACACAAAUCUAGAUACAUGUUGGAAUAAGAUACAAAAAUACUUAAUAAAAACACUAUUGCCCUAGUCUCCCCAAGCUUCUUAAAAAGAAAAAAUAAUCAAUAAUUUGAAAAACUCGAUUAAUUUGAUUUUAUCUUUAAUCUAUAAGCGCUUUGAAUGUUUUAAAGUUUUCCAUUAGACAAGUAGUUUAAGGGAGAAUUUCGAAGAUUCGAGUUAAGAGACAAUUAAGAAUUUUAUCCGAAAUUGUUAACCUAGUUAAAACACUCAUAGGUUUAUUUAAUCCAUUAAAAUAAUAAAAAAAUAUUCAUAUAUCUAGAAAACCCUAUUACACUAUAAAUUUAUUUAUUGCAUGGCAUCCCACUUAUCUAGAAACAAAAUCAAGGUUCGCCUAUACACCAUAUUAAUUGUAGCAAGGUACUUUGAUUUUAUAUUGUAGCCCUAAUUUUUCUAAGAAAUGGAGUUGGAAAUUUUCUUCUAAUUAAAGUUUCAUCAAUCAAACUUAUUCUCAAAUCAACACAACACUUUCACUUAACAUUAUUUCAAUUAACCUUUCAUUUAGGUUGAAUACAAGGGAUGAAAUCCAGUUCCUCUCACUUUCUUAGUUGUUAAAAGAAAAUGAAAUGUUGAGAUUGUAUGUGUAUUUCUCAUGGUUUUAAAAACCGAAUUGGAUCGGUCGGUCAAGAUUCUGGUUCGGUCCAACUAAUUUGAUCGGAAAGUAAUUAAACUGGUUGAAUCGACGAUCUGAUUGGCGAACCAAACAAACCGAUAGGUUCUUUUUGAACCAUUCAAUUCAACAUUUUUUUAUUUUUAUUUUUAUUUUUUUUCCAGCAUCAAAACGACGUUGUUUUGAUAUGUAUAAAAGAUCAUUUUCCUUCCUCCCCUCUCCUCCUCCUCUCUCCCCAAAAACGUUGCAAAGCCCCAUUACUGGCCAUUGGAGUGUCGUCUCAUUGGCAACACUCCCCCCCCCCCCCCCCCCCCUACCCCAAAACACAGUACCCCUUGUGUGCUCGCGUCGACACCUGCUCACCUUCCAUUUUUGUUUUUUAAAUUUAAAUUUUUUGUGUUUUAUAUUUAAUAUCUUAACAUUCAAUUUCUUAAUUUUUUGUUGAUUAUAAUUGUAAUGAUAUAUUUAAUAUUUAUUUAUGUUUUAUUUGUUACACAUUAAAAUUUUAAUUUAUUAAAAUUAUUGAAAAUAUUGGGUUGAUUGAUAUCUAUAGAUAAAAAAUUUUGUGAAAAAACCCAAUAAACAAAGUAUAUAUUAUCAAAAUUUAGAUAGAAUUUAUUAUUUUUUAAAAUUUUAAUAAUAAAAUAUAUAUUUCUGACAUCACUUGACCGCGGUUCGACCAGUAAACUGUGAAAUUGUAACUUUUUCGAUUUAAUAACCGAUCAAAUUCUAAAAACGUUAAUAUUUUAUUGAAGAAAUUCACCCUUAGAUACAAAUUAAAUAUAUAGUAUAAUUUUGGGCUAAGAACAAGAGAUAAACUCCUCAACUCCAUUUCGCUUAACAAUUUUAUAUAGAGCAGAAAAGAAAUUUUAGGAAAAAACAAACAAACAAUCUGAAAUUCCUCCUCAAUGUCUUAAAAAGGGUACAUUGCAUUGAAUCAGUAUCAUCAACUGCUUUUCUCUUUCUGAAAUUUGGUGCAGAGACUGAUACGGAUUGAGGAAGUUGAGAAUCACUGUGGGAAGCUGAAGCUGAUUGAGGUGAGGAGUUGUAGAGGUUGGUAAUAUCAGCAAGAGGCUUCCUGAAUCUUCUCCUGAUAGUUUUGGUGGAGAAUGGGGUGGUUUGCCCUGAAGAGAAAGGAGGGAUGUUCUCUUUGUUUUUGCAUUCACAAAGAGCCAUGGCCACUGUUUCUGAUGUUUGGAGGAGAGAUGAUGAAGUGGGGGUGGAGGGGAUUGAGGUAUUUGUAAAUGGCCAAAUGCAAUGCAAUGGGCUGUAUUUUGGAGGGAUGAUUUGAAGGUUCUCCUAAAUUGAGUUCUUCCACUUGGGUUUGGUCUGGAGAGGGACAAGUAUUUUCAUUGGUGCUUGGAUCUUGGUUUGAAUUUUGGGUUGUAGGUCAAAUUUUCAUUGGUGAGAGGGGCAAGAGGGAAGUUUUGAAUUUUCCCACUUCACAGCCAUUUGAAUUUGGGGUUUUGACUUUUGACUGUGUCCAUAUGAAAAAAAAUAAAAAAUUGGGCGCCAGUGGAGGGAGCCAAAACAUGUUAAAACUUGUUCAUUUGGCUGAACAAUUCCCCAGCUGUCCCACAUCGAAAAACAAUAUGAAAAAUGAAGUGUUUAAAUUGGCUUCAGUUUAGUUCACUGAAACGCCGGGCCAGGUAACGUGGGCUUGUGACUCAAGUGAGGGCAUGACUGUGGUUGAAGAUUGGCUUGGUUGGAGAGGUAGGGUUCGCUGGGUUUUGAGAUUCUGGCUUGCCCGUUCCAAGUGGGGAGUUUGAACCUUGUGUCCCAACCGAAGGGUUGGGGAACGUGGUUCCUAGAGUGGAGGGCACCGCGUGAGGCUGGGCUCACAGAGCAGCGUUCACCUCCCGCUCCCCUCGGUGGAAGGACAACGAGCCGGUACUCCACGGGCCCAACGAUACCUCCUCAGCCGCUCUCAACCCGACAACCACUUUUUACCUCUUUUGUUUUUCUUCAUUCCAGCCAGUGGGUCAUGGGUAAAUGGGGGCCAAAAUCAGUGACUGGGUUUAGUUUCUGAAAAUAGUUGGUGAGCCAUUUGAUUUGCACCCAGAAUAUCCUAUAGAUUUUUUGGAUAUAUUCAUCAAUGUCAUGACACCUUCUUCAGAUUAAAAUUGCAUGUAAAUUUACCAGUCCAUUCGACUUCUGUGGGGCAUGCAAAUGCCCUGUUAAUUCCAUGGAACUCUUCUCAGUAACAAGAGAUAAUUCUAGUCCACUUCAUGCCUACCAACUCUUGUUCAUCUACUCUUCAUUCAUUCAUGCAACUAAUGAGUUGAAGAAAUUUUUUUGUGGGGUUUGAAGUGCAUCCAGAGAAGCUUUGUCAGAUCAAAAUAAGGAAUUGCAGGAAGCAAACCUCUUGGAACAUGUUAUUCCUACAAAGAUGGAUUUUUCUCAGGUUUCAUGUGCAUGAGUUCCCCUCUUGCUUAAUCUUUGAUGGUGAGAUUGGAUCUCAAAGUGCAUUUCAAAGUGUGGGAAUAUUUGAAUUUAAAAUGUUUGUUUGGAAUGUGCUGAUAGAUUGAAGGGGUUAUUUGGAAUCCACAAGGGAACAAAAUCAUCCUUUAUACUUGGACCCUUCUAGGUUUUGAAGAUGAAUCAACUUUCUGCCAUCCUUCUGGUGGCCCAACUUCUAUUAUGAUUCCUGUUUUGUUGCGUUUGGAUUUGAGGCUUUAAAUGUUAUCAAAAGCAAAGUGACCAUUUGGCUUGUAUCCCUAAGUUUCUAACUAAGUUGGGGAUGUGGCAGUUCUCUUGCUGAUUCAUCUUCUGGGGCCUGUCAAUGUGUAAAGGGAUGUUUGGUAAGUCUUGUAUAUGUGACAUGUUUGUUGAUUUGAUCUCUGUUCUAUUGAAGGUAAGGUCUUUUCUGGAGCAUGAAGAAGCAGCUACAGAUGUCCUGACGGAAGCUUACACCCUUGUACCCUUGGGAAGCAAAUGUUCUCUAUCAGGUUAUAUCAAACUCAUUAAACCUGUUAUCCAUUUUCCUUUAGAAGGAAUUUACCAAUUUUCAGUGUUGGUAACUUCUUCACCCUUUUAAUGAUUCCCAUUGAACUGCUUCUUCUUUUAAAGCUAAUUUUGGUUGCAAUUCUGUGCUUAGUAUUUGGAACAGCCUCCUUGAGAGCUCUUCAUUUAGUUGAAGGCUUCCCUUUGUGGUAUUGCUGCUUUGUUUCAUUCAGAAUAUGGUUUAUCUGUUUUAUGGAGAAGAUUUUCCAGCAUUACCAUUUGCACUUUGCUAAAAGAAUACCAUUCAACCAUUGUUGAACUGAAACUAUCCAGAAAUUAGGAAUUGGUCAUUUUUAUAAACCCCGAAACAACAGUUCUCUGAAGUAGGUGCAAAGAAAAAAAAAGAAAAGCCAACACAAUUAAAAUGCUCUCUUAAAGAGGAAAACAACAUAACAUGUUCCAGGAUGUGAUAAAAAUGACAAGCUAAAAUUCCCAUUUCAAUGUUGAUUUCCAACACCUCAAAAAUAGAUCCAUGCUUGAAAGUUGCAGCAUGUUGCCCUAAGCUAAAAUUCCCAUUUCAAUGUUGACUUCCAACACCUCAAAAAUAGAUCCAUGCUUGAAAGUUGCAGCAUGUUGCCCUAAGCUAAAAUUCCCAUUUCAAUGUUGACUUCCAACACCUUAAAAAUAGAUCCAUGCUUGAAAGUUGCAGCAUGUUGCCCUAAGCUAACAUUCCCAUUUCAAUGUUGAUUUCCAACACCUCAAAAAUAGAUCCAUGCUUGAAAGUUUCAGCAUGUUGCCCUAAGCUAAAAUUCCCGUUUCAAUGAUGAUUUCCAACACCUCAAAAAUAGAUCCAUGCUUGAAAGUUGCAGAGUGUUGCCCUAAGCUAAAAUUCCCAUUUCAAUGAUGAUUUCCAACACCUCAAAAAUAGAUCCAUGCUUGACAGUUGCAGCAUGUUGCCCUAGGAAAUAGAGUAGCAAGGAGGCACACUUGGAAUUUAUAUGAAAUAUGUUUACAUAAAUUAAGGACAGAGGAUAAGAAACCUUUCGGUUUUUGAAUUUUGUUGAUUAAAUCCCUACACAAAAUCCAUUAGAUUGACAUAAGGACCUGCUUAUUCGGUUACUAGAUUUAUAUCUUGGUACCCGUAUGGUCGGUUAUCACUGCCUAAGAAAGCUUGCCCUGAACUUCUAUACUUGAUCUUGUCACCUAAGCUCAUAGAAAAUUGGCUGAAUCUUUGACAUCUUAUAGAAGCUAUGCUGGGAAUUGGCUGAAUCUAUGACAUCUUAUAGAAGCUAUGCUGGUAAAUUCAAUCUUUGCCUUUUCCUCUUUAGACAUGCUCCUUGUAAGUGUCCCUAGACAUAAACAGGGUUAAACUGAAUGGCCCUGGUUCAAGAGUUGAAAGGUUCAACUGCCAGGCCUAUAAUAAAAAUCAAGAGAAAAAAGGUAAAUAAAUGAAUAACGACAACUGAAAAACAUAAAAGUAAAAGAAACUCUUAAAAAAACUCUUGGUUUUUAAUUGCCAUCACAACCUAUUUAUUAAGUAGGUUGACCUGAAUAUAUUCCAACCAGUUACCAAAUUCAAGUGCCCGCUGUACAUAUCAUGCAGUUGAGAGGGUAACGACAUGUUUAGCUUGUUAUCUAUGCAAUAUAAACUGUAUCACUAUCCAUAAUGGUAAAUAAAAGUGAGUUUUAAAAAAGUGCAAAAACAUUGGAUCUAGUGGUGCAACUUGUUGUGUUAAAAGCUACAGCCAGUAUGUAUUCAAGUCCAAUUUAUGUCUGCUAGCUAUUGUUUAAUGCAUAGUGGCAGAUACAGCUCAAAAAGGAUGAGGACAGAAGGAGAAAGAGAAAGAAAGCAAGUUAUGAAUGGAAUGACUUUCCUUGAAUUGCUUUCAUGAUUCCUAACUUUCACUAUCAAAAUCAAAAUAAAAGAAUAUAUAAGCAAUCAAAAUGAGGGGAUUGGCUAAGCAAUGACCUCAUUUGAGGUAGGACAGAAAUCCGCUAUCUCCCAGCAAGCCGGGACAUCAUGAGUUGCACGCCUACCGCCCAGCACGUCAGCACUCCUAGGGAUUAUUUGCUCCAGAAAUUUAAACUUGUAGGAAUAAGUCAAUGCUAUAUGUAGCUUUGCUGAUCUCAAAAUCUCUAGUAAUCUCUUUUCUGAUAAUAUGAUUUUGGUGUAAUUGCUUUUCCUCAUACCUUUCACUGUGAAAAACUGUUGCUUGUUCCAAAUUCUCACUGCCCACCCCCCAUUUCCCCUUCCUUAAAGGAGAGGCUUGUGUAGCUUCGCUUGGUUGUGAAAAGAACUAGAGAAUGUUUGAAAGUUGAUCUACAAAAUAGAAAAGGAGCAUACCAUCAUUAUCAUGGCUGAAGGUCUAGGACGUGGACACCCCCUCUUGCUCAACUUGCUAGGUCACAGUCACCAAUGAGGAAAGUACUGGAUCCACUAUUAACAUGAUUGUGACGAUCUCCACCCCUCAGGGCCAUAAGAUUUGUUACAGCACCUUCAUGGUUUUACUUGGGCUCUUAGCUUUGGGAACAUUAUGUUUCACCCAAGUGUUAUUAGUCCAUUCAGUGCCAUUCAUUUUCUUGGUGCAAUAAAUACUUUCCAAUGUAGACUUUUUUUGUCUGCAAAAGGGUGUAAGAACUAAGAACCCUAAGUGUAUGGCUUUAGAGCCAUCCAAUCAGUUCCAUUAACACCCCUAAAGAGUCUUGAACUCUCAAGUAGUAGUCAUCCUUCUCAGUUACCAUUGCCCUUUGAUUGCCAAAACUGAAACCACUGAUUUGCACUGGCUUCCCAAAUUGGUAGAACAUUUUAGUGAAAGCCAUUGUUCCAUUAAGUUGCUUCAAACCUCAACCGUUCUUUAAUAGGUAGGAUGGGUGCAUGUUGGGCUAAAGUCGUCUCCAUGAUCUCAACAGCUACCUCCAAUGAAUGUCACAACCAGAUCUUGAUGUGAGCAAAGGGCAAUGUGCUCUCUGAGUGUCAACCAUAUUUUUCAUUGAAAUCUCUUAGAAAAAAUAACCACUAGAAACUCUCUCAACAUCAACAACCAAAGGUGAUUUUCUUCUUCUAUUCCCUCUUAGAACUAGAUGUGUGCUAUGUGCAGAUGUGGGGCAGUGACACUGCUGCGAGUGGGACAUUAUUUGAUUGAUUGUGCAUCCAUGUGUAAUCAAUUAGUAGGCCGUACAACAGUGCAUCAAUGGUGACCACGACAACAUGUGCAUUGUCGAAUUGCUUGGACUACUUGAUCAAGAUUCCUAAUCAAAACUAGAUCAACAGGUCUCAAAACUUCUCUUUUGUGUAAAGAGAACUUUGGAUUGAUCUUAAAACUGUGUGGACUGCAAUGGUUUGCCUUAGGGUUAGAUGUUUUCUUUCUUUUUCUUCUGUCCCCUAUUGCAGCCAAGUGGAGCAUGUGAAUGAAGGGAAAAGUGAGAAAAGGAGGUGUAAGUAAAAGCCAAAAACUCCAAAGUUGUAUAUGAAAAGUUGCUUGAUUCCAUUUUGUUGAAUUAGACUGUUCAAAACGUUGGGAUAGAGCUGUCAAAACAAACUCUCUUUCAUUUCAUUUCAUUUGCAUUUAUUCUAACUGUAAAGUUACGCAUGACCCAGAUGUGCCAUCAAUUGUUAAGCAAGUUACAGGUUUUUCCUUUUUGUUUCUUAAAUGAAUACACAGAGUGGUUGCCAUAUGUCAAUGCCCUGGUCUACUCCAAUAUAGAAGCAGAGUCAUUUGAAGAAUUGUUGGGGGGCCAACUCCUAAUGAGACUGUUUUAGAAGUGGGUGAUUCUAGUCAUUCAAAUGCUAUAAAUUGUGGACAACCUCUUAAGAGUAUUGCCCAUUAGAUAAUGAAACUUAAUCCCUUCUAAAUAUGAACCAGGAAAGGGGACCAGGAUGCCAAGUCAAAUAUUAAACUUAAACCUUUUUAGUUUAAUGAGGCACUAAUUUUAAUUAGGAACCAUGAAAAGGGGUCAAAAACAAAGUCAAUUAGAUAAAAAUUUAAAUCUGAUACUUAACUAACUAGGAGUGUGUAUUGUUGGCUAAUUUUCCAACAACUUAAACUUUUGAAGUAACCCAUAACUUAAGACAAGCUAUCUCAUGAUCCAAAACUAUAAUUAGGGUUACCCAGAGGAAGUAGAGAUUUGAAUAUAAUUUUUGAGGUGUAGGUAGAAACAGAGAAUGAAGCUCUUUCAUAUCCCUUGGGUAUCAAUGAGCCACCUCUUUAGUGGGGACCCUUGCCUUUAGAAAGAAGUGUUGGUUGUUUGAACCUCAACUUUGUCCACAUAUUCUCCUUAUUAGAUAUGUGAUAGCUUGAUAGGAAAUACAAAUCCCAUGAAAAUAUGCAGGGGAAGUGGGUUUUCUGGUUACUGAGGUAAGUUCAUAUCAUGUGAUACAGAAUGAAAGAUGGUGGCCCCAUAGCGGUGAAAAAAGGCUAAAUAGAAAUAGUGUGAAUGCGGCCUUCAUUCAUGUUUCAUCUGUAGAUGGGUGGCUUAUAAUUAGAGAGUCAUAAACAUAGGCAGAGAGCCACAAAGCUGUUAUGAAAGCAACAUCAGCAAAACCAGAGAGAGAGAGAGAUGAUGAUAAAUCGCAUUGAUAGAGUCUCUGUCACACACACACAAGAUACACCCAGAAUUUCAGUGGAUAUUGAUCAUCUUGGAUCACGAGCUUGAUUGGAGACUUUCACGUUUUUCACAGACAUCGCUCAGAGCCUCCCUGCUAUUGUCCUUUUUCUAGGAUUGCAGCUCUGCAUGCCCUCCAUGUACUGUACCUCACCCUCUUAUCUUCCUCUCUCUACUUUCCCAUCCCCGCCUUCUUUCUUCCUCUUCCUCUCUUUUUCUUUUUCUUUCUUCCCUGUUGCUUUGUCAACUUUGUCAUUUCCCAUUACAAUCAUCUUCUAUCUCUUCAAUGCCCAUCAAAAUUUCAACCCAAAAUCAUGCUAUGCUCUGGGCAAGAUACCAAAAAAAAAAAAAAAAAAAUUUAAGCGCAUAGAUGAAUGUGAAAACUUUGAACAUACAACAUGAUGAUUCACCAUCAUCUUAUUCCAUUUGUUUCAUGGAUGGUACAAAUAAGGCACUGCACAAACAAUUUUCAGUUUUUUAGGCUUAUAAUUUUCUGAUAUGUCGCAAUCAAUGGUGGGUCUUGAGACCCCAGUGCUUCCAUUGCCACAUGUUGUAGAUAUUUCUGGAUCAAAUCCACAGUCAACUCAUAUUUCAUGAUCAAGGACACUGGAGACUAAUUAUGAUAUAAACGCUUUUAUCCCAUCAUAUUUUAAUGGGUAAUACUUCCACCAUAAUUGAUUUUGUGGAAUAUUAAUGCCUGUUUGAUAAAGAGAAAUACUUACCCAAGUUGAGUGAAAUUAACAAAUGUGGAAGAAAAAGGUUCAAAUCAUGGCAUCUAAUGGGCUGUACUAGGCCUAAUAUACAAUAAUACAACUAGGUGAGGGCAUUGAAUGGUGGAGAUGUCCAAAUUAAAUGGGGACCCUAAAGGGGAACCAUGCCACCUUUCUUAACCCAUAAAGGAAAGCAUUUUCAUUUAAUUGCCCACAGCCUUAAAUUGCUCUGUGUAAUGGAAUUAAAAACAGUUUUGAAGGAUUGUGUCAGUGAUGAAUAAAAUAAAAUAAAAUAAUUCAAAAGGAAUAUAUGAAAUUCCCGUUUUUUCACAAUCAUAAAAAAAUCUAAACUGUAAAAAAAGGAUAUAAAAGAUGAGACCAAGUUAGAAGAAACGGGAUUAAGAUACAAAGUAAUGAAAUCUAAAUACAUAUAUGAUGAGAUUUUAUUGAUUGUACGUUUUUGCCUUGCAUCUUUUUGAUACUAUAAGUUAAAAAUUUUGCUUUUAAAAAGCGUUUUUGUUAAUUAAAUGUUUGUACAAAAAGAAAAGAAAAAAAAAUAAAUUAGAAUUUGAUUAAGCACAUGAAAUUUGCCCCAUCAAAAUAAAUUCUAAACAAAUGCUAUAAUAUUGGGCAAUAAAAUAAAGAAAUUUGGACUUUUGGUUACUCAAAUUUGCUUGAUUCAAUCCUAAUAACAAAUUAUGAUUAAGCAAUUCUAGUAUGAACCAUUGCUAUAUUGAUGGGAACAUAUUCCUAUGCCCUACAUGAUAAUUUCUUAAAAUUUCCAUCUAUUAAUUGAAUUCUUCUAAAGUAGUAGUAUCAUUUUCUCUAAAUAAAAUACUUAUUCUUGUCCAUAGACGAUGCAUAUUUUUAGAUAUGGAUAUAUAACAUAUGUAUAUUCUAUAAUAAUAAUAUUUUAAAAAUUGUUUUAAAUGGUCAAUCUUUUUUCAAAUUUAAAUAAAAACACCAUCUUGUUUAAAUGUCAAUCUAAUUAGGGAUCACAGUUCAUUCAGAUACAAAUUAUGUCGUUCUGCUAUUAAUUUUAAUUUCAACUAAAAAAUUGAUACCCUAAAUUUUUUUUAUUUAAAAGAUAAAAAUGGUUGCAUAUUUAGUUAAUUUUGUAAUUGAAAUUGUGAUAAUCUAAAAUAAUUUUAAAAAAUAAGAAGUGCCUUCACUUUUAAAAAUAAUAAAAAAAUUUAUAUUCUACAACUCUCAUUUUUAAAAAUUUUUAAAUAUCCAUUUAAGUAUAUGAUUGUCUCAUUCUUAACUUUUGGAUUAGAUAGCUUGUUCAAAUUACAUUAAAUUCAAAUAUUAUGAAAACACAAUAAUUCCACCCCAUCACAUGGGAAAAUUGAGGGCACCAUGCCCACUUGCCCAAUUAUCUUAGAUAUAAAUAUAUUAUCCUUUUCCUUUUUCUUCUUUUUGUGUGGAAAAUUUUAUUUUUUAAUAUUUUUUAUUUUUAUUAUUUUUAUUUUUUUGGUUUUGUCUUAACUUGCAUGCUUUUGUGGCUUUAAAUAUUAAUUCACUUUCUCCCUUUAGCACAAUCUGUGGGUACGGUUGAAAAACCUCCAUGAGCAGCCUUGCACUUUUCCAUCCAAAAAUCAGAGCAAUAUUUAAUUCAUAUUAAAAAAUGCUUCUUGUCAUGGAGUUUUCUUGGGGAUUUGUCACAAUUUUUUUAUUUUUUUUGCCAGAUGUCAGAAGGGGAAGAGAUGGACGGCGCACGAUGACAGAGUAGGGGUUUGAAUUAAAAAAAUGUAUGAAUGAGAGGGAGAGAGCACUCCCUUUCACUAGGAAUUGUCAUCAAUAUUUCAAUCAUAUAUAGGCAAGUAGUCCCCAAAAGGCAUAUUUAUAUAUACUAUACUUUAUUUUUUUCUUUGGAGUAAUCAAUUUGGCGAGUGGUACACCAUGCUGCCUCUUUGGAGGCAAGGUGGAAAGCUUCCAAGUCCUGCCAAACCAAAAGUUAACAAUUACAAAGUUGAUCAUUUUAACCAUUAUUUUUUCUAGUGUACCUUUAGCAGGGGAAUAAAAAUUGGUCAAAAUAAAGGGAAAUAUGCAAAGAAAGAGGUGGGAAUUUUUGUACCUUUCUUUAUGGAAGAAUUUUGAAUGUCCAAAGUAGUGGAAUUUCAAAAAAAGAUUUUUCCCUCUUUUUAUCUUUUUGCCUUUUCUUCCCCAAAUAUGAUUUUGGGUUUUUCUUCUCUUAAGGGAAAUGUGGAAUAUAAUCGGGGAAGUCUUUUCGUGUUCAUCACUCCCAAAUUUUAAGGUGAUACUUAUUAUAAGAUUUUCAUAUUUUAUAAAACUUUUACGAUAUUAAUACUAUUACUUUUUAAUAAUUAUGAGUAAGAUGUCGACUUUAAGUACAAUUUUAAAAUAAAUGAAAAAGUCAAAAGUUAUCCAAACAUGCUCAAAAAUUUUUAAGGGUGAGACCCUCUAUUAUCAAGUCAAGUUGUUGGGUAUGAUUUGUCUAGGACAAGUGACAACCAAAGAAAUAUACAUGGUAAGACAACUUAGAUACCAUUCCAUUACAAUAAUCAAUGCCCAUUUGAACUCCUGAUCAUGUAUAAUGUUUAGAGGGUUUGACUCAUCUCAAGUAUCAUUACCAUAUAAAUUUGAUAUUGAAUUUAUAUUAUAUUAGUUUGUCUUCUAGUGAGUAUGGUUUAAUAAUGUAGUCAUACCCAAAAAAAAGCAUAUUAAAAUAGAGGCAUUCUAUCCAUUCAAAAUUUGUAACAGUUGAAAAAGCUUUCACUUCUUUGUGUACUCAUCUAAGAUGAGAAAUUUAAUGUAAAUCUUGAAAAGAAGAGAAAGGAAAAGGGGGUGUGAAGUGUGGGUUUGAAGGGAUGGUAAGAGUACAAAAUGCUGAUGGGGAUGCUGAGAAAGCUGGGUGUGGGGGGCUGGGGAGGAUGUUUGUACUUUCUUUUUGGUGAAACAAUAUUUCUCUUUUGUGAAACUAAAUAAGUACAGGGGGGGGGAGAAACCACGCAAGCUGUUAGGGGAUCAUUAUCAAUGCUUCUCAAGGAGUGGGUGGGAGAGAGGUGCCCAUUCAAUUCAAUUAUCGUAAUUCAUUACUAUUAUUUAUAUUGACAACUGAAGAUUUUUUUUUUUUCUUUUGAAUUUUUCAUCUCCUUUAUUUGGGGUUUUUGUGACUUGCUGUCUCAUUUGUGGGCAUGAGAAGGGGGGCUCAGAUAACAAAAAACACUUUUAAUCCUCUCUCUGACCCAACUCUGUCACCCAGAGCAGGAGCACCAACACAACAACAGCAGCCCACCUAGGCCAAGGUAGAAAAAUUUCCCCUUAUUUACCAUUCCUUCCACUUCUUCACCCUCGUCUUCCAACAUCAAAUCUCUUCAGACCAAAGGGGCAAAGCCCCCCUUCAGUGUUUUCCCCAAAACCUUUUGUGGUUAGUGCUUCAAGAUUUUCCAUUUUUUUUUUGUUUCCUGUUGUUCCAGUGAGUAUUAUCUUCAAAGUACUUGAGAAGUGUGAUUCUUGGUUCUUCCUGUAUUUGUUUGCCUUUUCUUUAUUAUUACUGUUGUUUGUUUUUGCUUCUUGUUUGGGCAGAUUUUUGUGCCUGCAUAGAGAAACCCACCAUCGUAGAGCAUUUAUUCUUGUCCGCUUAAGUGUAUGCAGAGAUAAAGAUAGAUGAGAUAGUAAAAAAAAAAAAAAAAAAGACAAAAAUUGCAUAGAAUAAUAAUGAUAAUAAUUUCUGGGUUUGUUUGUAUUUUCAGUCUGGGUUUUGGAUUUGGUGUUGUUAUUGGGUGAUGGAAUCUGGAGAGUUGAAUGUCAGGGUUUUUUGGGAUCAGCAGCAGCAACAACCGCAGGAGUAUCAGGUCUCAGAGUGGUGGGAGUUGCAGAUUAAGAUCAACAAGCAAUAACAGGAGAAGUGUAGGAAGCAAAGCAAACGGUGAAUAGAAUACUAAAGAGAAAAGCACUGUAACAAAUCAAAAAAGGUUUGGAAUAGGAAAAGCAGAAGAGUAGGAAUCUGGAUUUCCCAAGGAAUCAGCAGCACCCAAGGCCUUUCCAUCAAAGUAUAAACCAAACAGCACCUCUAGAGGCACAAGGACAAGUUCAAGCCACAUACAACGCCAAUCAACAUUUUCAACUACUUCAGCCCCAACAACAGCAUGGUGAAGCCAUAGACACUCACCAAACACCCCUGCCCAGCAGCAGACAACCUUUGGAGCAAAGCAUUGAAUAUGCUAAGCAUAGAAACAUCAUUGGAAUGAAGAGUGCUGGAGGGGGAGAGAUAGUGCAAGUCCAAGGAGGCCACAUUGUGCGGUCCACAGGGCGGAAAGACCGGCAUAGCAAGGUCUACACUGCAAAAGGUCCUAGGGACCGCAGGGUUCGUUUAUCAGCCCACACAGCCAUUCAAUUCUAUGAUGUGCAGGAUCGGCUGGGCUAUGACAGGCCCAGCAAAGCCGUAGAUUGGCUAAUCAAGAAGGCAAAAUCUUCCAUAGACAAGCUUGCUGAGCUACCACCAUGGCACCCCAUUGCCCUGGACCCCAAUGCCAGUGCUGGGACUAGCGACAUAGGCAUGGCUCAGCAGUCCCAGGAGUCCAAUUAUGUGUUCCCUCCAUUGGGUGGUGGGGGUGGGGUUGGUGGUGAAAACCCAAGCAAUGAUUCUGCCUUCAUUGCACCACCUCUGGACUCUGAUUCCAUUGCUGACACUAUGAAAUCUUUCUUUCCCACUAGUUCAGGGACUUCCUCAAUCAAUUAUCAGAACUACCCGCCUGAUAGCAACCAUCAUAAUGAAGAUCUUUGUCUAUCUCUUCAUUCUUUCCAAGACCCAGAUGCGGAGUCCAACCACAAGAACCUUUUUGCCAGUGCAGCACAAGUUGGGUAUGAGACUAAUUUCCAGAGAAUGGUGAGUUGGGGAGGAGGUGGUGGAGAUUCAGAGAGUCGCGGUGGAUUUGGGUUUAUGUUUAACUCACCUCCAAUGCCAAUGCCACAGCCACAGCCACCAACAUUGCUGAGCCAAGGCUCAGAAUUUUCACAGAGGGGACCCCUUCAGUCCAGUUUUGCUCCUGCUGUUCGUGCUUGGAAUGAGCUUCCUAUUGCUUCUGGGGCAAUGCAUCAAUCUUCACUCUCUGAUGGCAGGUUUGUGCCAAAUGGAGUCCCAGGUUUUCGAAUUCCAGCACGAAUUCAGGGUGAGGAGGAGCAUAGCGUGGUCUCAGAUAGGCCAUCCUCUUCCUCCCCCAACUCUCAUCACUGAAUACACUUUUUCAUCCAACAGGUAAUUUAACUUCUCACGAUGCACAUUUCCUAACUGAUUUGUUUUGAUGGAAAAUACUUCCAACCAGAAACAAUUUUCCAUCAAAAUAAAUGAGUCCUUGGAUACUAUUUCCCAUGGAAAUAAUCUACCCCUUCCUCUCAAUGUUCUUUCAGGAUUUUCUCUAGGCUUUCAUGGUGACCAAUGACCAAAUUCAAUGCGACCAAGAAGAUGAGCUUCAGUCAAUUCAUUGGUCUACCAAGGAAGAAGAUAUCUAGUUGAAUUCAAAAAGAAAAAUUUUGUAUUUAAUUAGAUUUCCUUGCUAGUUUCUUUUGAUGUUUUGCUCUACUUGUUUGCAUUGCUGCCUAAUAUCAGCGUUAAGACUUUGAAACAUGAUGCUCUGGCAAUUGCUCUGUUUUUAUAGUGUAGAAAACUGUCCUUGUUGCAUAUGCACUUUUUAGCAUAAAUCUAGUGGAAAAAUGACAGAUGUGUUGAUCAAUUUGGUGUUCUGAAGAGCUCAAUCUGAAUCAGAGAAACAGAGUCUGCCCCCAUUUUGAUUUCUCCUCCCAUGUGAUUGGAAGAAAUGUUCCAUUUGUCCCACAAAGGAAAAUGAAUAUGUUUCCACAAACCCUCCAAGUGGAGAUAUUGGAGGUGCUGCUGAAGUCUUUUUCCCUGAGCACUGCUGGAAGGUUGGUUUUAAUUUCUCUUCCAAAAUUCUAGACCCCUCUUUUAGAGUAGUUUUUCGCUUCUGUCAUAGAGUGAAAACUAUACUUUUUCCAUGAGCAUUCAUGUCAAUUUUUCUCCUUUUGUGCUGCUUAAUCUGAGUUAAUAGAACCAAUCUGAUGUACAAUGAAUAGCCUUUCUCUUCUACUAAUGACAAAACUGAAGAUCAUUGCAUCAUUUGCCAAUUGGGCAUCUGGUUUUUGAGUAGUUUGGGAAGAAGAUCUUCUAUUUGCAGUUGUCUUCCCAAGCGAUAGAAACUUGGUUUAACUGAAAAUCUCAAUUUUCAUCAAACAAAUUGCACCCCCUGCUUGUCUGCAGUUUCCAUUUCGCUUGUAUAGAUUGAGUAGAAAACCCUGCUCUCCUUGGAGGUGAAGCAACAUUAACAAGCACCCCAUCAAGGUCUGAACCCAGUUAGCUUUUACCAGAUCAUAGGCGACAUUUGCUAUAUCUAGAACCCAGUUGGUCCAGCAGUGCAAACCAUAGAAUUCAAUGGUAGUCUCCAACAAAAGUCAUGACAAAGAAUGAUAUCAACUGAUGGCUGAGAUAUUUCUCACAGCUAAAAAAGAGUGAGAUGAUGCUUAUGCAUAGCCAAAAUACUCAAAAUACUUCUGCCAUAUCCUUUCUGUAAGUUAAGGAUGGUCCUUUAGAACAUCAUAUAUAUCUAGAUAGAGAUGCAAGGAACGGUAUUAUGCCAUGGAUUUGUGAUCAGUUCUUGAAAUGUAGGCAUGGAUAACUAGACUGUUUGAACUAAUGGAAAGGUAAUGUUAGAUAUGCUAAGUGUUCUGGAUACAAUUUUGAGCCUAAAGAUACUAGGAAGACUCCAAAGAUACUAAUAUUCAUGAACAGAUGGAGCUGCUGAAACACUCAAAUACUCUCAAAAAAUCUAGCUAGAUAGAAAUUUCUCUUGAAUCUCCCACAUUACACUGACAAAAAGUAAUACAUAACAUAUGAUUUACCAAGCAAGAGGAAAGAGAAGAAAGAAACUUUAACAUGUUUGUUUACCCAGAAAAGCACAGGGAAACAUAAAUAGUUAACAUUAUCUAUGAAGCAGCUUCGAGGAAGAAUCGAUUUCCAAUGGCCAGUAGAUCAACUUCUAACAGUCAAUAAGAUAGACAUCUUUAAGAGUUAUUCUUUUUACAAUUCUUUCAAUCAUCACUACAAAUCAUCAUAUUACUUUGGAUCAAGUCGAUGUUUCUGAUAAAAUUCGUGAGUAAUUUUCUCAAGAAAAAAAUGAAUAAAUUUAAAAGGAAAAAGAUUGCUUCCAUCCAUAGCUGCAAGAAUUGGAAAAUCAUGUGCAUUAUGCAAUCUCUUUCAUCAGUGAUCCAUUUAGAAGAAGUCAAUGGAAAAUGAAGUGUAUUUUUUUUAUCAAAUUUUGAAAAUUGGUUUCGAAAGGGGAUGUAAAAGAAUGCUGUACAGUGGUCUCUUGUCACUAACCAAGAUACUGUUCUUAAUUGAGUGUGAUUCAAAGCACACUAUCAAAUCUACAAAGUCUAUAAAGGUUGAGGGAGAUUCAAAAGAUCCUAAUUAUAUUUCUUUCUUAAUUUCAACAAUAAAGUCAGCCAACAGGUGCAAUGAAAGGUUCAUAGAGUUUCAGACAGGUGUGAUCAAACUUCACUGUUGUAUAAUAAUAAAGUUUAAGUAUAUAUGUCGUGAUUAUGAUCAAGAAAUACCAAAGAAUGUAUCAUCACUACUUAUAGCGUUCGGGUUAUCAUCCUUUGGAAUGAACACACUUGGCUAUUUUUAUCUAAGACCUUUUCAGAUUUGGAACUUUGAUUCAAAGUUGGUUUCUAGAUUCCUAACAUGCAAACAAUACAUCAUGGAGCAUUCUGUUUAUUGUUAUUGGGAUGUAACCAUUGAUCUUGUAGAUUCUCUCUGAAUGCAAUCACAGUGGAUCAAACCAAGUUGGGCAAUGAAAAAGUUUUACACAGGCAUCAAAGGAACCCCAGUAAGCAUCCACUAUAUUUCAUCAAGGAUGAACUAUAUGGAGAACAUAAUUCUAAGUACUGUAAAACCUGAAACUAAUUAAAAAGAACCAUGAGAACAAGUUACCCCUCUCCAGCUACUCUUCAUUUGAAUCUUCCACCAUCCUUACUACUCAUCUAGAAACGAGACACUUGAGCACUCAUGGUUGAGAAAACACUCAAAAACCAUGAUGGGCCUUAACAAAAACCAAAAAAAAAAAACUGUACUUGUGCAUGAGUGGCUGCAUAUGAAAAAUCCUUAGUUUACUACGUAUAUAUGGGUACCUGUGCAAGUCCUGAUUGUAAGGCCAAAUUUGGUUUUUAGAUGUUGUGAAUCUUUUCCAAAUCUCCUUAUUUCAUUCUCAUAUCGUUUCCUGAAGGGAAGAUGGGGCUUAUUAGAGUUGAGUAUGCUAUUUCAUUCUCAACUCUAAUAGGCCACGUCUUUCCUUUAGGAAAUGAUAUGAGAACGAAAUGAGGAGAUUUGGCAAAGAUUCACAACAUUUGAAAAACAAAUUUGGCCUUGCGAUAAGAACUUGCAUGGGCACCCAUAUGUGAAGUUGUGUGUAUACUAGCUAGCUUUGCAAAUCAGAUUCACUUAAAUGUGUUCAUAUGGAUGAAAGGUUCACCUGAUAGUUUAAAGUAAGGAAUGGCAUGUGGAACCUUAGUUCCAUACAUGGUAUCGUGCACAUAGCGUAGUUGGGAGCCCUCUUGCUUAUAUAUGUAAUUGAUGAGAAAUCAAACUCAACACUUUAAUGACUUUAAAGAGCCUAUUUUAGCGUGUUUGAGAUGCUCAAAACUGACCUAAUGCUUGCUUUUGUUGUUAAUGCCUUAGUCCUUUGUAUUUGAUAAUUUUUGUGAGUAUUUGUAGGAUUUAAGUUGUUCUAAGAUGCAACAAAAGCUUUAUGGAGGGUUUUCAAAAAGUAAAAAUGUCUAAGGAGGAAAGAAAAGCAAAUUCUGCACCUUCUAGGUACACAAGGCCGAAUUGUGCACCUCUAAGGUGUGCUAAGUUGAAAUUCUUGAAGGCAUGGGAGUUUAGUAAAAGUUACAUGCGAUUUCAGUAAAAACUAUAUAAAUAUCUCUAAAGAAUAAUAAGAAGGGGGAGAAAAAUUAGCUCCAACAGGCAUGUCUCCACUAAAUUGAAAUAACCAAUUUUAGGUGUUCUUAAAUUGAAAAUUUUUAUUGAAGACAAUAACUUCCCUAAAUUUCAACUUUUGUGACGUUGAUUUAAUCCUUUGAAAUCCCUUCUGACUCUAUGGUUUCAAUCAUCCUCCAUUGGCUAUACUUAACUUCAAGUCUCUCUCUUAUCUCCUAUCUUUGCUUCCAUAAACCUCUUAUAAUCCUUGAUUCCUUGAAAAGAUGUCUAAAUUGAGUCUUUUAUCUCUCAUUUAAUCCACUUUUUACUUGAAUACAAAUAUUAGUUCCAAAAUGAGGAACAUAUAUUCAAGCUAAAGAGAAUCCACUAAAACUUAAAAGGAAUGAUAAAACCAUUAUUUUAGGUAUGAAAAUUAAUUAGUUUUGAGUGUUAAUCAAGGAGGACUAAGCUUAAAAUGCCUAGGAGUUGGAGAAAUAAACUACAUGAUCAAGCCAAAGCAUUAACGAUCGAUUGUUUAGUAAGAAAUGAUCAAUCAUGAAACAUAAAAUGAUUAACAUCCCUAUCUAAUUUGGAGAAAUGUUCACUAAAAAAAGGGGGAGAACUGAAGCUAAUACAAAGGAUGCUCAUGAGGAUGAUCAAUCAUUCUAGGAAACAUUGUCAUCAUUCUACUAGAACUAAGAAAGAGAGCAAUCAUCAUCUCAUGCCAAGCAUUCAAUUGUUUUCUCUAAUAGUCUAGAAAGAAUUCCUUUAAGGGGAGGAAAAUAUAGAUCUAAGGGAUUACAACAAUCACAAAGAUGAUUAAUCAUCCUCUAAUCUAAUCUAAUGAUCAUUUUGAAGAGAAACAAGUAAACAUCCGAGUGUGAUUUCCCCGAUUGUUACAAGUAAAAGGAAACAGUGAUUAAAGGAUGCUUAGGACAAUGAUUGAUUGUCUUUUCUAAUCUCAAUCCAAUCACUAGUGUAUCACUCUCUUAAAAUUGAGAACUCAUGCAACAUAAUAACUUAAGAUAAAUGUUUGCAUAAAUGAUGGAAACCUCACAAGGAUAAAUGGAGAAAGAAGCCAAAUGAAAAGAUAUAAGUUGUCAAUACCAAUACAAAUAGAAAUUGUGAUACCUAAAAUGAUGUAAAUUCGUUAACAAUCUACAUAAAGUUAUCUUUGUCACAUUGACAUAAAGCAAGUUUUGUGGGUUCAUAUUGAUUCAUUAAUUCGUUAACAUAUGGUAUCAAAGUUUGGUUGAAGUUUAUGAACCAAUACAAGGUGUCAAUAUUGGUAUAAAACGAAAAAGUGUUGCCUAAAAUGAUGCAUUUUCAUAAAUAAUCUACAUAAGAUUAUCUUUAUCACACUAACAUAAGAUGAGGUUUUUGGGUUUAUUUUGAUUCAUUAAACUAAGAAUAAAAGAUCUUAUUUCCUUGAUUUUCUAACAAAUGCUAAUUAAGUAUAUACUUAGUCAUUUCAUAAAAUAAAAUAAAAUAAAAAAAACUAGAAAACAUUUAAAUGAGCGCACAAAUACACACAUAGAUCAAUAUCUCAAUUCUUAUACCUCCAAACACCACACUAGAUGAAGUAAUAUAAUAGCCAUUAGUUUAAUUAAAAUAGUGAGUAAACAAAAAUAAUUAAGGUUAUGGUUCUCAAAAAAAUUUGAGGGAAAAUGUAAGGGGAAGAAAAUAAAGAGGAUAAAUAGAAGGAAACAAAAAAUGAAAUGAAAUAAAAAUAAAUUUAAAGUCAAUAAAUUAUUUUUAUAUUUACUUUAAACUUAUUUCAAAUUUUCAACAUAAAAAUUAAAUAAUUUAAAUAUAUAUAAAUUUAUAAUUAAUUUUAAUUUAAUUUUAUUUUAUUUUAAUAUUUUUCAUAGUACAACCAAAUAUAAGAAAUCAUUUUUCAUAGUAUUUUUUUUCUUUUAUACUUUUCAGGGACCAAAUACAACUAAGGAUGAAAAUACGAGUAAACAUGAAUAUGUCAAUAGUUGGGGAUUUCACGAUAUAUCAGAAAUAUUGGUGAAUAUUUUGAUAAAAAAUCAAUAUAUGGAAAUUAUUUAAAAGUCAUACAAAUGCUCAGAAAAACUUUAAAAAAUGAUAAAAUAAGCAAGAAUAUAUAUGUUAAAGUUAUUUUGUAAGUGUAAUUGGCAUAAGUAUGAUCAAAGAUAAUAUUUAUUAAGUUUUUUUAGAAAAAUUAUCUUAAAUUCCUUUAAUAUAUUUAUGUUUAUUUAUUUUAAAAAUUAAAAACUGCUUUUCUUAAAACAUAUUUUAUUACAUUUUAAAUAAAAAAUUAAAUGGAUUUAUAUAAAAUAUUUUAUUUGAGAUUUAAUUUCUAAAAUUUUAAUAGAAAUUUAUGGUGACAACUUUUUGUUAUUAACAUUAAUUUAUAUAAAUAAUUAAAAUUAUUAAAAAUUUAUCUUAUCAAAUUAAUUUUAGUUUAUAAAAUAUUAGAACUCCAAUAAGUUUUUAUAUUUUAGCAAAUUUUGAAUAAAUUUAUAUUUUUAAUAUUUUAAAAUAAAAUAUUUAAAAUUAAAAUGAUAAAAAAAAAAAAGUAAAGUGAUAAUAAUUUUUUAAAAUAGGAUUAAUGAGAGAAAUUUGAAAAAUAAUAAAAAAUAAAAGGAUAAUAUAAAAUAAAAGGGCAAUAAAAAAAGAAGAAGAUAAAUUUUAAAAAAAAUAAUAUUUAAAAAAACAUUGGAGGGGAUUUUUAAAAAAACAUGGAUAAAUAUUUUAAAAAACUAUCGAAGAUUUAUUUCCACUCAUGAUUUUUGAAUGAAUUAGAAAUAAAUCGCUGAUUUUUUUUUUUUACACAACCUAUUUUCCUUUGUCAAAUUUUUUGAAUGAAUUUGAAUGAAUUAGAUAUUUCGCUAAUAUUUCAACCAAAUAUCCCAAAAUUUUUAACCCUCGAUACAACCUAAAGUUGACAAUGAAACUCACAAUACGAGCUUUAAGUGAAAAUGAUAUAAUAUUCUUAACAAACAAAAGUUGCCCUAUUUGGAUGCCACCACAUACGCUUUGAAAAUUCACCAAGAUUUUAUCACUUUAUAAGUAAAAACUAAAAAAUAUUUUUAGCAAUCAUAUUUUUAAAAGAAAACUUUUAAUUGAAUUUCCUUUUUAAUUUUUUUAAUAGAAAAACACUUGUCAUUUUUUUUUUAAUAAAAUACUAUAUGAAAUUACUAUAUUACUCAUUCCUUUAACCUACAAUCUCUAAAUAUAAUGUCUUAAUUACUUAUCCUUUAUUUUAUUCACUUUAUUCAAUUUAUUCAAUUUAAUAACAAUAACUUAUCUACUUCAUUUAGUUUAAUUAGGUUUGGUUUAACAUUUGAGUCAAAACCAAAACACUUAUAAUAAAAUAUUCUAACUAAAAAGCUUAAAUAAUACCAUUAUAAUAAAUUGUUCUAUCAUAUAUUCUUUUAAAUCACAUUAUUUAACUCUUUUCGAAUUAUAUUAUUAUAAUCCUUCUAAAUAAAUAACUAUUUUUUUGCAACUCAUGAUAGUCCAAUAGUAAAAGAAAAAGUUAUGUAGUUAUGAUUUGGAUACCAUUAACUAUGAAAAAAAUAUGCAUUAAGUGAACAAUAUACCCAAUAAAUAUUGUAUAUUUUAAGUUUAUAUGUAUAAUUUUUCGUUUUUUUCAAUUUAUUAUCGAUUUUUAAAAUACAAAAUUAUGAAUUAAAAAGGCCUAAUUCAAUUAAUAUUUAGAAAAUUGAAAUUGUUAAAAAAAAAAAUUUAAAAUUGAUCGGUUCAAACACUUUAAUUCAUUUUAAUAUGUAAGCGAUUUUAUUGGUUUGACCGAGAGAACCUUCUUCAAAUUAAAGAAAAAUUUGUUUUUUUCUACCAUCAUAACACGAAGUCAUAAAGACAUUAAAUUUCUGUAUUCCUCAUCUUCAAAAUUCCAACUAAUUAUUUCUUUGACCUAAUGUAAGUUGAUUUUUUGAUAAUAUGUAUUACCUACUCUAAAACGAGUGCCACGUUGGCAAAAUAUAUGUAGAAAGAAAGAAAGAAAGAAAGAAGAAUUAGGCAUUUGGGUUGCGUUUAAUUUCUUCUUGUAGAAAUGUUUUUUUUCCUUGGCGUAGGUGAACUGUGGGAGUCUAAUGGUGUCAUGGCCUAGACAAAAAGGGCAAAAAGGGUAAAGAAUAAGCAUAAUAUAUAUAAUAUAUUAAUAUGUGCCAUUAUUCAAGUACAAAAGUCUUCAUUGUUGACUCCAAAACCCACACUAUUUUUUUUUUAAUUUUAUUUUCCUUAAGUCAAGUGGAAGACUUGUGGUUGUAGGCCACACCUACUAUCAACAUGUUUGAAAAACUUGCCCAUGGAAACUGCCUAGGCUUUGCUGGCCUCUUUCCCUUUUGUUUCUAUUUAAUUUUAUUAUUUUGAAUGGCAAUAAAAUGUAAUGGUCAAAUAUUUGGAAAUUAGUGAAUGAAUAAAUGUAUGAUUACGUUUUUGAUUUGGAUGUUUCAUCCUAUUUUCUUUUCUCCUUUUAAACUAUGACUCAAGGGAUAAGUGAUAUGUCACGAUUCACUUCCUUUAUGAUAAUAAUAAUAGAAGUAAAAAAAAUAAUAAUUUAAUUGAUUAAUAUAAUGAAUUCUUAUGUCAUUUGUUCAUAGGGUUACAUCGUGAAUUUUUUAUUUAAUAAAUUAUUUUUAUUAUUUUUGUGAACAUUUUUUUCCUUUACGUCUUUGAAAAAUGAAGAAUUCUAAAAUAUUUAAACUUUUGGUGAUAAGAAUCAACUAAAUACAAUUCUUAAACUUUAUUCUACCUUGGACUAAAUACUUUUGUCACAUGUAUAAAACUUAAAGUUGUGUUUGGUUGUUGAAAAAUAUUAAGAAAAAAAAAAUCUUUAUUUAUUUUUUUAUAUUUGAUUGUCUUAUGAAAAAUAUCAAAUAAAAUAUAAUUAAAACUAGUUAAAAACUUAUAUAUUUUUAAAUUAUUUAAUUUUUAUAUCGAUGAUUUAAAACAAAUUAAAUGAAUUUAACGUAACAAAUAAAAACAAUUUAUCAAAUUUUAAUCUAUAUUUUAUUUUUCUUCUACUUUUCUUUCUCUCUUGCAUUUUCCUUCGAAUUUUCCAUGAACCAAACGUAGUAAAAAUGAUUAAGGUUGGUAACAAAUUCUCAAACAUUUUGUUGUUUGAUUUUUUCUUUAAAAUAGAAAUUUAACUCAAAUGACAUGACCAAAAUUACCUUCCAUUUUGGUAUUCAUACCAACACAAGCCCCAGGAGUUAAUUCCUGAUUUGGUUAUGUUGGGGUGUUGUGUGAACAAGAAAAAUGAAGACUUGACGACCGGGCAAGAGAGACCAAGCAUGGAACAAUCUUCCAUGAAAACCCAAACAUCAACUUGUGUUUAAUACAUGCCCUUGCCAAAAAGUCUAUUGACCAUACGCUAAGUCAUUAAUGAAAUUAUUAUAUACCCUCCAGAAGAGGACUCCAUCUUUAAUUUUCCCAUCAUAAAUUAACUUUCAUUUCCUUUCCCCUUACAUCAUCAUCCUAAAUUUUCCUUUUCUUCCCUGUACUUUGCAUUAUACAAUUUUUCUCCUUUCAUUUUUUAAAAAUUAUUUAAGAGGACUUGGUCUUUGAAUGCAACAAAGAUGACCCACUGAUUGUAAGGAGUAAGGACUGCAACCCUUAAUUACUUGUAAAACCCUGGACUUGGGGAAAAAAAACUUUAUUUUAAAAAUUAAUUAACAUGGAAAAAAUGGGUGAGGAAGAAGGUAGAAAAAAAAGAUGGAAGUCAACAGUCAACCUGUUUGAAACAAGUUGCAGGCUGUUUGGCAAUUUUCAUCAAUUUCCCACCCAUUACAGCAAGGCUACAAGUCAGAUACACACAAGAGGAGGAAAAAAAAAAUGUAUAUAGAAUAUAAGAGAGUUGUUCCAUGACAUCCCAGUUAACCAGAGGGGCCAAACUCAAAGGCAUAGAGAAGCCAUGAGUUUCCCUUUUCCUCCUAUGCCAUACAGUACGCCGUUGAGCAGUGAUGAUGAUGAUGAUAAUGGUAGCUACACUACUUCUCACAAAAGCUCGUCUGAUCUAAACAGCAAGAUCAUGCUCACUGCAAUCGUUUCAUUAUCGGUGGUGAUCGCGCUUGUUAUCACACUUCACAUCUACGCUAGAUGUGUCCUGAGGCGGCGGGCGCGGCGGCGGUCGGCCUUGCUCAGCAUAACUCUCUCCCGAGUGCACUCCGAUGAGCCACCCAAGACCGGGCUGGAUCAAUCCGUUAUCGACUCUCUACCGAUGUUCAAGUUCAGCGAGAAUGAUACCCAGGAGGAGGGUGGGACGACCGACUGUGCGGUAUGCUUGAGUGUCCUAGAGGAAGGAGAGAUUGCCCGGCUUCUACCCAACUGCAAGCACACUUUCCAUGCAGAGUGCAUAGAUAAAUGGUUGGGCACACACUCAACGUGCCCCAUCUGCCGCACGGAGGCUGAGCCCCGCCUGCAGCCCGAGCCCCGUGAGGCUAUGGUCAUGAUCAGGACUGUUCCCCCCGCACCCGCGCCUCCUUCAGAUGGAACUAACUCAUCGUCCUUGGCAUGCUCGGAAGGGACAUCAGAGGGUGCGGCGCAAUGCUCGGCUAAGUCUGGUGCAUCGACUUCUCGGUUGAGUUCAUUCAGGAGGAUGCUUAGUAGGGGAUCAUCAAGGACAACUCAAUCCUGUGGUGCCCCAGAAGAUGGUAUAGAAGAUGUUGAGAGGCGAUGAUCAUCAUGGGGUAAAAUUAAACUUAAAAGCAUUUUGUUUGAUUAAACUACAUAUACAUGGAGUGAUUAUUUGAUUGGAUUCAGUACAUGUUCCAUAGAUGAAAAGCAUACAUGAUUAAUGGCCUUAAUCCCAAUCCAGAUGGGUUGGGGGUGAUGGGUAUGAGUUUAGCUUGUGAGACAAGUUUUGUAUAUUUUUCAAACUUCAAUUAAUAGAUCAUGUAUUAUGUAUUGUUAUUGUUAUUAUUAUUUAAAUACAAUAUUUAUUGGUCUGAAGGGUGACUUGGUAAAACUAUGGCUGCUAGCAUGAUGGGGACAUGUUUGGUGUUGUAUCACUUGUCAAGAAAAUUUCUAAUUUUAAAUUUUUCAGCCAUUGACCUUACUUUUGUAAUUAGUGUGUUUUUAACCUAAUUUUGUACAUGCUUAUCAAUGAUGUUUAUUUUUUGUUAGAAUAAAAAAAGUCAAAAUAUUUGAUUUAUAUUUUGACUUUUUUUAUUCAGCUAAAAGUAACUCAUUGACAUCAACCAAUAUAUUUAAACUAAAUUUAUUGAUAACAAAUUUACUUUACUUAUAUUGGCUAAUAUCAACAAGAUACUUUUAUUUGAAUAGAAAAAAAAUUAAAUAUUUUGAUUUUUUCUAUUUAGUUAAAAAAUAAAUACCAUCUUUAAUAAUUUUAUAAAAAAGUAUAAGGUCGUAUUUGGUUUGGGAAAAUACUAAACAAAUUAAAAAAUUGUUAAAAAAAAAUGAUUUUCUUGUGUAUGAUUUCAUUGAGAAAAAUAAAAGAAAAAAAUCAAAUAUAAUUAAAUUAAUACAUUUCCUUUUUCUUUUAUUCCCAUCUUUCUUCAAAUUUUCAGAACCAAUCAUAUCCUAAAACUAAGUUUGAUUCUCAAAAACUACCAAGGAAAGGAAAAUAAUAUGAAGAAUCCAUAUUUGAUUCUAUUAUAUAAAAUAUAAAAUCAAAUCAAAUAUAAUUAAAAUUAACAAAAAAUUUAUAUAUAUAAAAUUAUUUAAAUCUUAUAUAUAUGAAUUAAAUAAGUGAAAUAUGUUUCAAAAAUUAUAUAAAAAUAAUUUAUUAAUAUAAUAUAUAUUUUUUAUUUUCCUUCUACUUUUCUUCCUCACAUAAAACUAAUCAUAGCGUAUAACUUUAACAAUUAUAUAACAUUAAUAACAAAGAGAAUUUUUUUUUUCCUUCUUACUUUGGGCAUAAAUCAGUACAAGUAGCUGAAAAAAAUCAUGGAUGAUUCGUUAUGCAAGUGGGACAACUUAGACAUACGGCAUCAAGGAUUCCAAUUCAUUUUUAAAUGAUAAAGGCAUGUGAAAACAAGGCAAUAAUGCAGAGAAAGGUUAGGGGUUUCACAUUCUGGAUCCCACUUUUUCAGCUUUGUUCACUUCAUAGAGGAUUCAUAUAUGCUUGACAGCACUGCAGAGAGAUUGGUUGACUUGCUAGCAAGAUCUGGGUAUAUGCCAACCUAUGAAUAAGGUGGGAUUAGAAAUUGGAAAAAUUUAGGGUAAAAUAAUCAUUUAAUUCAACAAAUUGGACCAAUAUUCUAAGAGGUGCCCACUUUUUCACAGGCUUGAACAUUUCAACUGAUUGAACACACCUGCCUUGUCCAGGGCGGCCCGGGACUUUACUAGUGGGGAUUUUUUCUAGGUUGGAAGGCUGGAUCUUUUCCAAUGUGUGUUUCUUAUGUUCACACUGCAAAUUUCAUUCAAAACCUAAAUGAUAAUCCUAACUUUAGUUUGACCUUUACUUUGUGUCUUCCAAACUUCUCAUCUGCCCUUCUUUGUUGUGAUUUUAGUAUGUCUUUGGGUGGAAAUUUCACCCAACAUAGGAUUUGAGCCUUUGAAGUGACCUCAAUAAUCAAAAUAGAAAAGUAAAAGAAAGAAAUCAAAGUACAAGAAAAGAAAAUCCUUCUAAUGUUAGUAGCACAGAAAAAACACAGAGAAGGGUGUGUUUGAUUUCUCAUUUAGAAAACAGAAAUCAAAAUUCUAGUGGGGGGGGGGGGCAAUUUCUCAUUUCCAUUCUCUAUUCUAGAUUUCCAAACAUGCCCUGCCCCUUGAACUAAUCCAACUAAAAAACAAUACAAUGGGCUCAGCGGACGGAACCCCUGGUAUGGUUCUUGGGGAAGAACAGAGGGAUGCAGGGGGCUUCACAGAGCACCAAAUGGGCUAUAAAAUUCAAAUGGAAUGACUUUGUUGAAUGCUAUAGAAAGAUCAAACAGAUAUGAAUACUUGAAAAUGCUUCACCAAACCCACAUAAUUGAAAUUCAUGGAUUUUAAAUUCAUGGAUCAGAUUCUCAACAACAAAAAAUGUUUUUGCUUCAUUCAUAACUUCAUCGUGGCAGAUCCUAAACUCCUAAUACACAUCUCAGCAAAAAACUCUGUUUGCUUCACUAAAGAGCUUACAUAAAAGAAGAGGUUACAUUAAAGAGAGUAGUUGCUCUCUUUUCUUCACUGAUAACCUGAUUUAAAUAUGCUACUCUUGAGGAGCAAAAUUAAAUGCCUAACAUAUAUACUCUGAACAAAUGAAUUUUACCAUUUUCUUAGAAUAAAAGAAGGUAGCUCACUCUGUUGUCUGCUCAAAGGAUUAGUAUAACUGCAAUGAGCAAAUGAACUGUGAUUAAGGCCUGAACCCAUCUGCCAGCUAUUCGACUACAGCCGCUCAAAUCUGCACUAGCAGGUCCCAUUCCCAUUGUGUUCGUUGACCCAACAAAGCUUCCAUUGCUCACCGUAAAGCUGCAUCACCAAUUUACAAUGGUCUUAUGGUGGUGCAAAAAUAGAGUGAAAAUAAGAACAUAGAAAGAGAUGCAACUCUCAUGGUUGAAAUACCAGUAGGCUAUGCAAUUGAAGAAUUUGCAUAUGACAAUGUAAAUGUGAAGUAGACAAUUAAUUAAAUUCCUAGGAAGCCACUGUCCUCUGUUUUAGAUGAUUGAUUAUGGAUGGGAUGUUCAAUGGAAAUUGGAUCCCUCAGUGCAAAUGUCUGUGGAGAAGUCAUUACUCAUUACUCGUAUGAAAGUCCGUAUUUUUUAUGGGUGUAUCAUGGAAAAUUGAAGUUGUUGAUCUGUAACAAUGGUGAUGUCCCUUGGAUGAAAUCCCAGAACUACUACUCUGCCAUCAUUGCUCAGAUGUCCAAAAUUUUCUUAGGAGCAAACCAUCAUGAAACCGACUUAUUCAAUUUCAAUGAGAUGUCUAGCUAAUUCAACUCCCAUCUCAAAGGAUCUAGCUUUUCCAGAAUCUAAACAGUAUGGUUGCUGAGAAAAUUGAGGAAAAGAAAAGGAACUGCCUUUUUUAAUCCCAGAUCUCUAAUGAUUUGGGACCCAAAAAUGCUAAUGAGCCUAUGCAAUAUAGAGUCCCACCAGGUAAAUAAAAGCACAGAACUUUCAAUCAUUUAUUUCGUUUUCUUCAGUUUUCUCAGCAACCAAGCAGAGGGCAACCCGCAAAUCCUCAAUAGAAGAAUCUUAAACUAAUUUCAAACAAUUACCUGGAUGGGAACUUGCAAUUACCAAAACCUGAAAGAAAAAAAAAAAAAAAAAACCCACCAGAAAACCCAAAACAAAAUUAUAAAAGGAAAAUCAACGAAGAUCCGAAAAACCAAAGCAUAAUAAGAAAUGGGUAUCGGUGGUUUUGAUGAAACUGACUGGGAUUAAGAGAAGUGAGAGCGGCAGUGUUGUCAAAGCCACAGCUAUCAUCAGAGAGGCCAUGCUUCAAGUAGUAAUCAUUGAAGGCAAACGACGCCGUUUUCUGCAGAUCCUGGGAGUCAUAGCAAGGUCCACCUUGUUGGAUGGGGGAGCAGUCGGCACCGCCGGGUCCGCAGGCCCAGUCCAGAGCCGUCUGGAGAGCGGGGUUGUCGGCGUUGUUCUUGGCUACGCACCACAGCUCCAGCGUGACGACGCCGUUUUGGGCCUUGGACUGUGCCGCCAGGGAGUGGAGUGGGAGAGUGACGGUGAGAAGUAAGAAGAGGAAGAGUGAGAAUUUCAUGGUAGUAGGCUGGGGGUUUAGAUUCUAGAAAGAGAGAGGUAAAGGGACUUACGGCUCUUUAUGAUCAGCAAAUAUGACCGUUGUUGAUGCUGCGUGGCGUGUGUGGUAUUGUCUAGACUUUGGUACUUUCCGUGUCUCUGUUUUCAAUUGUUUGGGGACAGUGACUGUUAAUUUAUUCAACAUACUAGCUCGGAAAUAUUUUCCUUUAACCUUGGCAUUUUAAUAUUGUGUCUUUAACACCUUUAUGAAUAGGUCUAUAUAUGUUGAACAUUAAUUUCACUGCUCUUUCUAAUCUCCUAAGUGUAGAAGAAUUUCAUGAAAUGCGUUUGAUUUAGUUACAUUUAAUAUAUUUUCCUUUGAUUUGUUUAAUAUAUUCAACAUUACCUCAUGUGGUGCUAUUAGAUAUGACUCUUGAAAAUGUUAGAUCAUAAAUUUUAAUCAUAUACUUUCUUAACUUGUUUCAUGAAUUAAUAUUUUUAAAUAAUUUGAAGAGGUGACUAUCAUUGGUUUCUUGAGAAAUCUCUAUGAUAUUGUAAUAUUGCUGCAUGUUAAUACAUAACCAGUCUAACAUGAAUAAAGUAUCAAGGAGGAGCUUAAAAUUACAUGGUGCAAUUUCGCAUGACUGUGCGAAAUGGACCAGAAGAGGGAUUUGUAUUACAGGUUAAGGAGGAUUUCAUGUGGAAAUUUAGCGUGAAUAUGUGGAAAUUUCGCACACUGAUGUGAAAUGGUCCAGAAGGUGUUUCAACAUGCUGCCGCCGCUCACCUUAGAAUUUCGUGUGAUCAUGUGAAAUGUGAAUAUUUUAUGCGAAAUGUCUAGAUUUCAUGAGAAAUGUUCAAAUUUCAUGCGAAAUAUUAAAUUUCCAGAUUUCAUUGAAUUAAGAAGGUUUUGGAAGACCUCUUAGAUGAUGUCAAGUGUCUUGACCAUGCCUAUAAAUAGAAAUUUGAAUUUCUCAUGUAAAAACUUUUUGAUACUUUUGAUUUUAGAUUUUUCUAGAAACUCCUUCUCUUAAUAGAAUUCAAUAUUUUCUUUCAUUUUCCCUCAUUUUCUCACUAGCCAAACAUGGCUUAUGAGACCAAAUCUCAAAGCAUGAACAACUAAAUCUCAUUUUUCUCGGAUGAAGGAGGAUCUAGAGGCAAGAUCUAUGGUGAAUUAGAGAAAUGAACUUUAAUUGUAAAGGUAAUUUGAUCCAAUUGAUUGAUUACUUGAAUUUUGAAGAUUUUUCUUUUCAAAUUAUCUUGAAUGACUAUUACAUUGCAAAUUAGAUAGAUUCAUUAAAUUCUUAAAGCUAAAUUUAAUAAGAUUGAAUAGUUGCAUUGCAUGAAUCAUUGGAAGAUGAUUUGAGAUGAAUUGCAUAUAUGGUUUAAAUUGAUCUCUUGGAUUAAAUAACCUAAUUUGAAGAGAAAUUAGAUCUAAACUUAAAGCUAAAUCUAAAAUCGGUUUCGAUGAAAAUUUUAGGUUUUCAAUCUAACUUGACGAAAAAUAAAUCUCAACAACUAUUCACUAUAGAAAUUGUUUUAUAGAAAUUCCUAACUCCGAGAAUUUCUUUUCCUUAUUAAUUUUCUCCUAUUUUACAUUUUAUUCUUUUUCUCAAUUAGAAAUAAUUGUUAUUUUGAUUUUUCACUAUGAAUUGUCAAAUCAAUUUCACUUGAUCGAUCACGAUCAUUUCUUUUCCUCCCAUUUAAACCUUAAUUACUGAGAAUAAUCCAUCCCAGUGGACGACACCUAAGACCGCUAUAAUAUCGUACCUUUUACUAAAAAAUCUUUUUAAUCGGGUAAAAGUUACCUUAGCAUAGUUGAAUUAGGUUAUAAAUUUUGUUUUCAUCUGAUAAACGAUGAAAAAACAAUUGAUUAGUUCACCUCUAAAUACAUGGCAAUUACUUCCUCAACAUGUCAAGUCGUUUAGCUUUGCAGGAUGCUUAGUGAAUUGAACCAUGUACAAAAAGAUCUUAUAAAGAUUUCUGUGAUAAUAAGUUUGUUAUUGCAUUGACAGAGAAUCUGAUGCUUCUUGAUAGAAGUAAACAUAUAAGUAUCAAAUUUCAUUAUAUUAGGGAACUUGUGAAAAAUGACGAGAUCAAACUUGAGUUUUGUAUAUUAGAAGAUCAAGUUGUAGAUCUUUUACAAAGCCACUAAAGGUGGAUGCAUUCGAGCAGUUGAAAAUGAUGCUUGGUGUGAUUCACUUUACAAGUCGACUUAAGGGAGGCUAUUGAAAUUGUAAUCCGAUUUAAAAUUAAAUUAGAAGAAUUUUAGGAAUUUGAGAACCAUUAGGAAUUGUCAUUUACUUAUUUUAUUUUUUUAUAUUAAUUUGGACUUUUGGUCUAAUAUGAAUUGGAGUCGUAGUGUAGGUAUGAUUAGUUUAUUAUAAAUAAGUUUGUUAUUAUGUUGAAAAAUAUAACAUAAUGUAAUAAAAUAUCAUUUUAGUAAAAUAUUAUCAAUACCCAAUUAUGUGAGUUCCAAUCGGAGCAGUUGAGUAAGAAUAAUUUAAACUUAUAAAAAAUUGCAUUACUUUUCCUUUUUGUUUAUGCUCUUCGAGAUUCUUAAUGACAUUGCAUGAGUAUAUUGACAAAUCAUUAUAGGAUGCUAAUGCAUCCCAUAAUACUUUCAAUUUAGUGAAAUAGGUUGCAAUGGAUGUCAUCCCUUGGUGAUGUGAAGCAAUAUCCCGUUUGAUUUGGAAUAUUCUUAGGGUGUUGUUUUGUGAAAAUCUUUCCUUAAGAUCACACCAUACUUCAGUGGAAGAUUUAGUACAUAUAAUAAUGUUAGUAAGAUUAGGUUUGAUGGAGUUGAGAAUUCAUGACAAGACCUUGUCGUGGCAUCUUUUCUAGAGAAUUUUUUUUCAUUAGAUGGCGCUUCUUGAUCAGACCAUUAACGAAACUAGUUUUGUCUCUGGCACCAAGAGCUAUGCUCACUGAACAACUUCAAGUGCCACAAUUACCCCAUUCAAUGGUUUUCUAAGCAACAUAAUUCCUGAAUGAUUAAGUGAUGAAGAUGAAAUGCGUCUAAGGAAUCGAAAGGAACAUCACCCUUGGUUGAUUUUUACAAAGUUUCCUUCAUCAUUUGGUUUAAAAGAACAAGGCAAAGCGAUGCCUAAGAGCAAUGAGGCUCUAAUACCAUAUAAAAAUGCAAAGAAAAGAAAUGGUUGAAUAAGCUUUCUGUAUUGUAUCAAUAUCAAAGUUACAAUGCUGUGUUUCUAUACAAUGAAACAAAGAAAGAAAAAUAGAGGAAAAAAAAAAGUUGAAUACAUUUUAUCUCCUCAACAUCUGACAUGUUUUACAAUUUGGUCAUCUACAUUCAAAAUCCAACACUUUACCUUUAAUUACAAAUCCUUUACAAAAUUAUAAAAUAGAUUUUUUUUUUUUUUUUUGCAUUUUAUUUAAAUUCUAGUUCGAACUUAGAACAACUUGAAAAUGGAAUUUCUCAAAUACUUUCAAAAUAUGAUAAUUACCAAUUUUAAUUUUUUAUUUUAGAGAAAUAUUUGAAAGACUAUUUGUGUUUUUUGCAUGAUUAUUUGUGAUUUUCGCAAGCACUUACGAAUUGUGACAACUUUGAAUUUUAACAAAAUAGAUGUUUUUAUUUAUUACAUUCAGCCUUAUUCCUUCCUUAAGAUGUUGUUCAUUAACCUUUUAAUAAGUUUGAAUAGUAAAGUGGUUAGUUUUAAAUGAACUGGGAUAAAGUAUAAAACACAACAAAAGUUAAAAAAUAAAAAUAUAUUUAACCCUAAAAAAAUAAAAAAUAAAAAGAGCCGACAUUGAUAUGGACAACUAAAAUAGGGAAGAGCAAUUGAGUUAUUUAUAAAUUACGAUGAGAAUGAAAAGCAUACAACAAUAAAGUUGACCAUGGCAUUAUGUGCGCAAGUUGAAAACAACUAGAGCUGCCCAAAUGUUAACAUGACUUAGGCUUGGUGGGCCAACAUAUGCCAUUUCUAAAUUUGUCUAGGCCUUUUCUCAAGUUGGUCUCUCACUCUCACAUGGACCCUUCCCCACAAUUUUUUAUGAACUUCCCUGAAACUUGUAAGAGAACUAUUGUAUUUCGUCUUUUUUAAAGUUGGCUUCAAAGAACAUAAAGCAACCAUACAUAAGGAUAAUGAAUAUAUUUCCCGACACAGUGACAGUGCAUGGCAUGAAUCCACAUUUAUAGUUGCAGUAGCUAUCUAAUGAAGCCCAGUGUUUCAAAACAUUGUAUAGCUAGGGAUCAUGCUAAACCUAAGACGGAAUUUCAUCAUAUAUCUUGAGGUAGGAUGUUACAAGUUUCAUGAACAUAUACGUGCCCCCUCCUUACUUCUUGUUGAAGCAAUUCAACAUCCUUUAAGUUGAGUCCUUUAGGUGGACAUUGUAUUUGAUAAGAAGGUUCCUAAGGUAGUGAUGACACCCUCAAAAAAAUAUAAAAGAGACAGAAGUGGGUGGGAGAGGAAAGGAAACCAUUGUAUCUUUUUAUUAGGAAAAGCAAACCAUCAUACAUUGGGAAUGUUAUCAUUUGUGGUGGCUUAGUCCAUUUAGGAGGUACUAUUUCUCUUAUAGGGAGAUCAUCAGGAAGAAUAAAAAAAUGAAUAAAUAAAUAAAUGAGAAUCUGACGUGGACAAAGCUACAAUUUUUCCUUUCUGUCAUCUCAUUUGCUUUGGAAGAAAGCUCCAAAUAAUGAGAAUUAUCAGCACCUCGGAUGUGAAGUUCCAUGUUAAAUGGCGAAAAUAAAGCAGGCCUAAGAAGACUGACAAGCAGAGGAGCUUGUUCAUGCUCACUGCUCCAUAUAUCUGCAUGCAGCAAACAAUUCAUAUAUAGUUAUGAAUUUGAACAUCAUGACGGUAACCCAAAACUCACUCAGUUACCAUAGACAUAUAGAAGCAACAAUGAAGAAGUCUUAUACAUCAACUUAAGCUAACCUUUGAAAAUGUUAAAGAAGUAAUCCUCAACUUCUUUUGGCUGGCAAACAUUAGAGCUGACACUGCCUCGCUGGAGCUAGCGAAAGGCAGAACAGCAAAUGAGAACAGGAAAGAAGGAAUGUUUGUAGCAGUGGAGAAGUUGCCAACAGCAUUGACAAGAGGAUCAGCAAAUGUAGCAGCUAUCAGAGACCCCAAAAGCAACAUUAGCACUGCUUUAGAGACACUCCAUUUGGGGUUUUCGAUCUUUGCAACCUCAUCACUCUGAACACCCAGCAGUUUUUGCUCUUUGUUUUUUGCCUGCAAAUACAUUAAUUUAGAGAUAUUACGACACUAACAGUGAGGAUUCAAUCAAGGACGGAACUGGGAAUAACACGACAUUGAUGACAUACCAAAUUGAAGUGGUCUACAACUAGUCUUGUCUUCAAAUCAUAGUCACUGGAACAAAUUGCUGAAUGCUUAGCCUUAGCAAGCCAGCUUGAGAUUCCUUUAAUGAAGGCAUCUAUAUUAAUAUUAGAAUCCCCACAUGAAUCAAAAUCUCUCAUUACUUCUCCAACAGCAUCAUUAAUAGCUGAAUCUUUGUCUUUAAUCUGGAUUCCUGUUAUCAGUGCUCUUAAUUCACUAGCCGAGAGCAACUGAUCUGAAUUCUCACCAAUCAUCGCAAAUAACCUUCUGAUAACUUCUACAUCAGGUUCCCCAUUAGCGGUUAAGAGCCUCCCCAAUGAACAACAUUUCAAUUUUUUUUCAGUUCUCGGCAUAAUAUGCAAGUUUGUAUAAGCAAGUCUUCUUUUCAAAAUAGAAGGGUGAAAGACCUGCAACAGUAUUUGAUUUGAAAAUUAUGAAGAAGGUAGCAUAAGAAAGCGUUUGGUUAUUGAAAAUAAAGAAUAUUUCAAUAAGCAGCAAAAUUUGAGUUCAAGUGGACAAAUACCUGAUAGAGGCAAUAUGCAAGCAAUAUAGAAACAGAGAUAAUGAGUGAAAUCAAGGCCACUAAGCAAAUCGGUGAAGUCCUGUUAAGAAUUUGUGAUAGUUGGAUUAUUAUGAAUGGCAUGACAGAUAUGACCAUGAUCCUUGCAGUAUAGCUAUUUCUGACGUCAGUACCAACAGCUGAACCUGAAGAUAGAAAUAAUGGAACAUAAAUUAUUCGGCACCAAGGGUAACAAAAUUUCGAAACAAUCACUGUUGAAAUCGAAAUGGUUCAAGUCAUUAAAGAGGAGAGUGAAUUACCAUCCAUGAUGCAGGAUCCCCCUAGCAACAUCAGAAGCAUAGCAGUUGAUCCAGUUAGCAAAUCGAUCCCAGCUGACACUUUAUCAUUUUGAGCAGUUUCUGUGUUCCCACAUAGCCUGGAUGCUUCAAAAUGCCGACAACAAACCAUUCCAUCAGCGUGUGUAGAAUACUUAGAUUGCAUAGUGGAUGCUUUGGAAUAUUCUGCAUUUUUGUUUGACUAAUUGGUAACUUUAAUUCAAUGGUAUUAGGUGAGGAAAAUGGCAUCUGCUGAAGCAAGAGGAAGAAGGUUCCCGAAAAUUUUGAAUCAACAAAUGGGUUCAGAUAUGGAAUGGAUACACAAGUAGUUCUUAUAACUUGGACUAAAGAAGUCAUUAAUUUCAAGAGAGAUCUUGGUUUAAAUCAAUCUUACCAAAGCUGAUAAUAGCAUCAAGAAGCGAGCCGAGCAGAGGUAGAAAAACUCCACCAGUAAUUCUAGGACUAACAACUUCCACCAGAAUCUCACUCCCAUCAUACAAGAGCUUGGCUGCAAACAACAUCAAGGAAACAAACACAAGGAUAAGGAAAAUAUUUCCAGGCACAGUGGUGGUGUACGGCAUGAAUCCAAUCGUCUGGCUAUAGCUAUCUGAUGAAGGCCAGUGCUCAAAAACAAUAAAAUCUGAUUGCUGAACCUCUCCAACUCCAUCAGAGACCAGCCCAGAGGAAGAGUUAGCUAAAAUAGCAAGUCCACAAUUCCCGGGGUUCACUAACAUCAGAAGAGCCAUCGCUAGAAAAAGGAGUGCAUGUUUCCUUGCCAUUCUUGAGCUUGCCUUAGGCCAAUACGCCCUGUAUCAUUGCCAUAUGUAUAUAUACACAUACUUUUAAAUAUUAUACUAUAUAUUGGGUAUGAUUUAGGAGGCCACUUGAAGUUUGACUCCUAGUAUUAAAAUGGUUCAUUUGCAAAUUUUAUGAUCAAUCAUUUGACGAAAUGCAUGUUUUAUGAUUAUUUGACUCAUAAGUUUUCUGUGAUUGUCACGUGUGAAUUGGAACAUUAUGAGUAGGCGUGUGGAGUGGGUAGAAAGUAGUGUGGACUGUGGCCCGGUCAUUUUCUAACAAUUGUCGUGUCCCCAUGAAUUUUAUUCAAUGCAUAUAAAGUAGGUAGAAAGCAACGCGCACCGGGGCCGGUCACUCUAAAAUUCCUAAGCCCGGCCCCGUGAAUUUUAUUUUAUAAUCUUUUCAAAGCGCAUAUGAAUCUCAUUCAUACUGAAAGAUUAUCAUUCGAAAAUCAUUAAAUAAGAAGUCUCUUGUCUUCUUAUCGGAUUGCUCUAGAAUUCAUUGACAAUAAAUUAUAGACCUUCUUAAGCCACAAACAUUACAUCCGUGGCAGGUGAUUGCUAAAACAAUUUACCCUGAUCGAAUAUUGCCAAUUCAAGAUAGUGUUAGGGGAGAGGUUAACAGUUCCAUUUCAUAUUCAACCCGAAUUUUUUCGAUUUAGGAUGGGGAACACCAACAGUUGUCUUACACUCCUUUGUGCUCUCUCUCUUCAAUUUAAAUUGAAAGUGUUUGGUUUUUGAGAAAAUAUUCCUUACUUGAUUUCCAAGAAAAUCAUCUUUAUCCCAAUUUUCUAAUCAUUUUCCAAUUGGAUUUCCUUAAAAAAUGGGUUGAUUCAUGUUAUUCAUUCAUUUUUGCAUUUGUUUGUGUUUGAGUCAAAACUCAUUUUCUUUUUGGUUGAGCUUUAAGAAGAGGUUGAUAUUAAAUUUGACGUGGACUCUAAGUAUGUUAGAGAAAAUGAAUGCAUGUUGUUGAAGUGAGAAUGUGUAGGUCACAUAGUUUGUGAAAGAUUGAUAAAUUUGAAUGAGGUAAAUCCUUACAUUUUGAUUAUUUUUAUAGUAGAAGCUUUUGAUCAUUGGUAGUCUAGUGAUUUUUGAUCUAUUGAGAGAUUUUCCACGUAAAAAUUUAAUAUUAUUAUAUCUCUCUCAUUCUUCUCAAUUACUCAUUUUUAUUUAUUGAUAUCAAUUUCUUAUUUGGUCAUACAUUUCGAAUGAGUGAAAAAUAAGUUAAAAUUAGCUGAAAUAUUCUUUGGAAAUCUUGGAAACUUAAGCCAAAUGUAUGGUCCGGAAAGGCGGCAACUACUGAAGAAAGUGGGAGAAGAUAAUGAAAUCAAGAUGAGUAGAGAGAUCUUGCCACUGUCGUAAAUCUCUGAACUUGAGUACAGAAGAGGUGCAGGAAAUGAAUAAAUUAUAUUUUUUGAAAUUGCAAAUUCAAAAAGUGGUUAAGAUAUGGAAUGGAUGCAUACCAAUGCUGAUAAAAGCAUCAAGUGAGCUGAGCAGAGGUAGAAAAACUCACUUCCUUCAUUUAAAAACUUGCCUGCAAAUAACAUCAAGUACCCAUACACAAGGACAAGAAAUAUGUUUCCCAACACAGUGGUGGUGCAAAGCAUGAAUCCAUAUCCAUGGUUGCAGUAGCAAUCUAAUGAGGCCAAUUGUUUAAAAGCAACAAAAACUGUUUCUGACCCUCUCCAACUCCAUCAUGGACCAGCUCAAAGGAGGCCAAGUUAGCUACAAUAUGCCCAUAAGUUCCUGUGCUCACCAGCAUGGCUAAAAAAGAGUGCAUGUUUCAUAGCCAUGUUUGAGCUUAAUCAAUUGGCUUUGUGAUCAGAAGCCAAUCUAGCCUAUACAUAAUACUAUUCUUCUCCAUAUAUAUUGGCCCAACUUCUUUGUUACAUAUCAUACAAUGAGUAUGGUCAAGCAGAUUUCACUUCAAUUCUAACACAUAGCAUUAAAGCAAUUUAUUUGCAAACUCUGUGAUAAAUCACUCGACGAUACGAGAAUAUUUUACGAUCAUUUUUCUGUGUGAAUUGGAAUACUACGCACGAGUAGGUGGAAAGCAAUGUGGACAGUGGACCCUUCAUGAAAAUUAUACCAAUUCAUCCUACAAGUACCAUAAAUAUUCACAUGCAUGUAAAUCUCUUAAUAAAAAUUACAGUUUAUAUACAGUUAUUUGAAACAAAAACCCAUUUAUUUGUUCUCCAAAUAUGUAAGCAACGGAGUGAUCGGGUUUCACGGGCAUUGUCUCUUUUCAAGUAGUCAUUGGUCCGCCAAAAAAGGGGUUAAACGUCAUUUCUUCUACUAUCAUUUAUUGAUUCACUUAUCGUUAAGAUGACAUAUGUCUAUCUCCAUAUCAUACUAAACUAAGAAAUUAACAAGUGAGAAAUCGGGAAAAUGGAUCAAUAAAUCAUGGAAAAUUGUUUUUUUCUCUAAGAAUUUGGUCAAGAAGGGGACAAGUAGAAUCUCAAAAAUUUAUGUUAUUUAGAUUCUUUAUAAAUGAUAACGAUGAUAAAAAUGUUUUACAAAUUUUAUUAGAGAAUGUACUUGAAAGUAAAUUUAAAAAUUUUUUAAUUUGGAUAGACAAAAACAAAUGAAAAAACAAAAUUAGAAAGAAUUUUCAAACUCUUUAAUUUGAUUUAGCAUUAGAAAAUUAAAGAAAUGAAAAUAUUAAAAAUUAUUUUAGAAUUGCAGCCCCAAACACUUGAUAAUAAAAAUAAAGAAAAAUAAAAUCCCACCAAAUCCACCCGCCCCCCAAUUCUCUGAAUCUCUCUCUUAAGCUUUUUAAACUUUCAACUUGAAUUCUAAAUGUUUUAAGGGAAAGUUGGGAGAAAAUGAAAAGCUAAUAAAAAAUAAAAAAAAAAUAAAAGAAGAAAAGAUUGAAUUCAAUAACUUUUUUACAUUGUCUCAAGUUUUUUUUUUCUCUCUUUAAUUGUGUAAAGAAUGAAUAAUGUUAAAAUGGAUAUAUAUAUAUAUAUAUAUAUUUAACCAUCUUCUAAUUAAAUCAAAUAAUUCUCUUUCUCCACAUUAAAAAAGAGAUUACAAGUUUUUGGAACCGACAUAUCCAAAUAUCUGUAAAAUUGAGUUAUUGAUAUUCAUAAAAUCUAUAUUUUUAUUUUUGAUAUAAUCAACUUUUUAUAACAUCCUCCGAUAUUUACAUUUUCUAAUGUUAAUCUUUUACCACAUGCUUUUACUUGCACGUUGCUGAAUAAAGUCAUAUCAACAUUCAGUUAGUAAACAUAGUUAAUUUAAUAUUGUAAUAAAUGUUGGCUUAUAUUCCCUCCUUACUUCUUGAUGGAGAAACUCAACACCCAAUGAGUUUAGUCCUUUAGGUGGACAUUGUACUAGAUAAGAAAGUACCCAAGUAACAACACCCUCAAGAUCAAUGUCGGUACCGACACCCUCAAAGGUCAACCAUUAAAGAGAAUGGCCCCAUGGAGAAGGGGGCAAACCUUCUUACCUUCUCAUUGGAAAGCAAACCUUCAUAUUCUGUAGGGGUUGUCUUUUUUUGUUGGUAUUUGUUUCUCAACUUACUAAACUUUCCCAGCUACACAUAUAGCCACAGGGGAGAGGGUGGGUAGAAAAGACUUUCUUCUAGCCAAGCUUGAGCUGAUAUACUGGUGUAUGCAAACAGCGGACUUCUUAUCAUUAAUGAAAAGCAUUUACAAUUAUACAAUCUCUGACCCAAAAAAAAAACCAUGAAAAAUGGAUACAUCAUGGGAUAAUGUUGAAGGUACUACAAGAUCUCAAAUGUUGUUGAGGUUACCUCAAGUCUCUAGGUUGUCAGACAUAGAACUACCUAAUAAGUACCAUUUUUUUAAUUGCUCUUGAAGCAUCCAAGAGACCAAAAAAAGAAAAAAAGAGAGAAUCUGACGUGGACCAAGCCAAGAGUUUUCUUUUGGUCAUCCCAUGUUUUUUGGAAGAAAGCUCCAAACAAUGAGUAUAAUCAGCACAUCAGAUGUGAAGUUCCAUGAUAAAUGGCGAAAAUAAAGCAGGCCUAAGAAGACUGACAGGCAAAGGAGGUUGUUCAUGCUCACCGCCCCAUAUAUCUGCAGUAAACAAUUCAUGUAGAGCUACAAAUUAGAACGUCAUAACUAGAACCGAAAAGUCACCACGUUCAAAGUGCAAGGGGAGAGGCAAACCUUUGAAAAUGUUAAAGAAAUCCUCAUCUUGUUUUGGCUGGCAAACAUUAGAGCUGCCACUGCCUCACUGGAGAUGGCGAAAGGCAGAACAGUAAAUGAGACAAGGAAAGAAGGAAUGUUUGUAUCAGUGGAGAAGUUGCCGACAGCAUUGAUAAGAGAAUCAGCAAAUGUAGCAGCUAUCAGAGAUCCCAAAAGCAGCAUCAGCACUGCUUUAGAGGCACUCCAUUUGGGGUUUUUGAUCUUUGCAACCUCAUCACUCUGAACACCCAGCAGUUCAUGCUCUCUGUUUGCCGCCUGCAAAUACAUUAAAAUGUUACAACACUAACAGUAAGGAUUCAAUCAGGACUGGACAAAGAAUAACACGGCAUUGAUAGCAUACCAAAUUGAAGUGGUCUACAACUAGUCUUGUCUUCAAAUCAUUGUCACUGGAACAAGCUGCUGAAUUCUUACUACGCCAUUUUGAGAUUUCUUUGAUAAACACAUCGAUAUUAAUUUUAGAAUCCCCACAUGAAUCAAAAUCUCUCAUUACUUCUCCAACAUCAUCAUCAAUGGCUGAAUCUUUGUCUUUAAUCGGGAAUCCUGUUAUCAGUGCUCUUAACUCACUAGCAGAGAUCAACUGAUCUGAAUUCUCUCCAAUCACCUCAUAUAACCUUCUCAUAUCUUCUACAUCAGGUUCAUCAUUAGCUGUUAAGAGCCUUCCCAAUGAACAACAUUUCAAUUUUUUUUCAGUUCUAGGCAUAAUAUGCUUGGGGUUUGCAUAUGUAAUUCUUCUUUUCAAAAUAGAAGGGUGAAAGACCUGCAACAAUAUUUCAUUUGAAAGUUACGGAGAAGGUAGCAUAAGAAAACGUUUGGUUAUUGAAAAUACAAAAUAUGUCAAUAAGAAGCAAAAUUUGAGUUCAAGUGGACAAAUACCUGAUAAAGGCAAUAUGCAAGCAAUAAAGAAACAGAGAUAAUGAGUGAAAUCAAGACCACUAAGCAAAUCGGUGAAGUCCUGUUGAGAAUUUGUGAUAGUUGGAUUAUUAUGAAUGGCAUGACAGAUUUGACCAUGAUCCUCGCAGUAUAGCUAGCCCUGACGUUAGUACUAAGAGCUGAACCUGAAAAUAGAAAUGAAGGAAUAUGCAUUAUGUACUGCUAGGAUAAUAAAAUUUCAUGGUUUAAAAUUUCAAAGCAAUCCCUGUUGAAAUCGAAAUAGUUGAAGUAAUUGAAGAGUAUAGUGAAGUACCAUCUAUGAUGUAGCAUCCCCCUAGCAACAUCAGAAGCAUAGCAGUUGAUCCAGUUAGCAAACCGAUCCCAGCUGACACCUUAUCAUUUUCAGCAGUUUCUGUGUUCCCACAUAGCCUGGAUGCUUCAAAAUGCCGACAACAAAGCAUUCCAUCAGUGUGCAUAAAAUAAUCAGAUUACAAGGUGGAUGUUUUGGAAUAUUCUGGAUUUUUUUUUUUUUUUUGACUAAUUUGGAAAUUUAAGUCGAUGGUAUUAAUUAGGUCCGGGAAAUGGCAACUGCUGAAGCAAGAGUGAGAAGGUUCCCGUAAUGGAAAAAUCAACAAAUGGGUUGAGAUAUGGAACCGCAAGUUCUAAAGAAGGGAUAAAUUUCAAGAGACAUAUUGGUUUAAAUCAAUCUUACCAAAGCUGAUAAUAGCAUCAAGAAGCGAGCCGAGCAGAGGUAGAAAAACCCCACCAGAAAUUCUAGGACUAACAACUUCCACCAGAAUUUCACUCCCAUCAUACAAGAGCUUGGCUGCAAACAACAUCAAUGAAACAUACACAAGCAUAAGGAAUAUGUUUCCAGGCACGGUGGUGGUGCAUGGCAUGAAUCCAAUCCUCUGGCUAUAGCUGCUAUCUGAUGAAGGCCAGUGCUCAAAAACAAUAAAAUCUGGUUGCUGAACCUCUCCAACUCCAUCAGAAACGAGCGCAAAGGAAGAAUUAGCUUCAAUAGUAAGUGCACAAUAUCCUGGAUUAACUAGCAUGACAAGAAUCAUUGCUACAAAAAGGAGUUCAUGUUUCGUAGCCAUUCUUUAGCUUGCCUUAGGCCAAUAUGCCCUACUAAUAUAUAUAUAUAUAUAUAUAUAUAUAUAUAUAUACACGUUAACUAGUAUACUGUCCGUAUGAUUCAGGGGUCCACUCCAAGUUUGGCUAAUACCAUUUCAAAUGUUUUAUUUGCAAAUUUUAUGAUUAUUUUAACUCAUGACUUUAUUGUCUUGGUCACGUGUUAAUUGGAACAUUAUGAGAAGGCGCGUGAAGUAGUUAGAAAACAAUGUGGAGUCGUGGACUGUGGACUGGUCAUUUUCUGAAAAUUAUCAUGUCCCCAUGAAUUUUAUUCAAUGCGCGUAAAGUAGGUAGAAAGCAGCGCGAACGGGGACUGGUCACUCUAAAAUCUUAUGCCCAUCAGCCAUGUGAAUUUUAUUUGAUUUUCAAAGCAACGUGAUAUGUUUGCUGCAAAGAGCAUAUGAAUUUUAUUUAUACUAAAAAAUUUCAUUCCAAAGUCAUUCAAUAAGAUGUGGCUUGUCUCCAUAAUGGAGUACCGUAGAAUUAAUUGCUGCAAACGUUACAUUCUUGGCACGUUUCUAAUAAAACAAUUACGUGCCCAAGUUGCAUUAAUUUUCCCAUAAUUCAAGAUAUAUUGUUAGGGGAGAGUUUAAUUAUGUGGAUCCAAUGUGAAGGGAACAACAACUAUCAAGAAAAUUCAGCAAGGAAUGAGACAUCUUGUUGCUAGAUCAUGUUCUUAUGUCAUUGUUUGUGUACUUGGAAGCUAUAAUUCAUUUAUUGGUGUAAUAAUAUAGAGUUGAAGUUUAUCCAUAUGCUGAGGUAGAUUAGGUUGGAAUGUGGUUUGACCCAUAAGACAAAUAUCAAUUAAGUGAACUAGAUUCUAACAAUGAUAAAUACUCUAAUGAUCAAUUUGUUUGAUAAUUGAGUAAAACCCCUAUAAAAUAAUACUUUUAGGAUUAGAGAAAUUAAUAUCUUAGUGAGAUUAUUAAUUUAUAAAUAGUAUUAUGUUUUUAUUAUUCAAUACUUGUACAUAUAUGAUUUAUAAUUUAAAAAACAAUUGAUGUGAUAAAAAAAUUUAAUAAAUAAAAACGUAAAAGACUCUAAAAAAUAAAAAAUAAUUAUUAAUUGUAAAAAAUAGAAAAAAAACUCCUAAAAAUAAGAUAUGUAACAUAAAAAAGUUAUGCCCUAAAAGAUAUAAAGGUUUUUUAAAAGAUAGGAAAGUUUCAAGUAUUUGAUGAUUUCAAGGAGUAAUUUGAAAUAACCCGUAUUGAAACCAGAAGAUUUUAUUAUUUAACUAAAAUUACUAAUUUAUUGAAAACUUAUUUAUCAAAUAGUUGUCCUAUUUUGUGUCUACUUUUUUUAUUAACAUAGUUAUGUAUUGAAGUUUAUAUAUGAUUAUGUGAUUGCUUUUAGAGUAUAUAUAUCAAUUUUUCGAGAUGACAAAUAGAAUUUUUUGAGAUAUUCUUUCUUUUGUAGGGAGAUUGCUUUUAGGAGUAUAUAUAUCAAUUUUUGGAGAUGAUAUUGCCUCACCUUUAAAGGCAAUCUCAUCAAAGAAACUUGCCUCAAUCAUAUAAGCCUCAGCUCACCCAAAUGGAGAAAUGAGGAAAGCUAUGCAUGGUAACAGGCUCACCAUUUUGGAAAGCCUUUGUGAAUUGAUGCAUUCAUGGUGGUAUAACAUUGUGCUAACAUGUUACCAAGCUUUUGCCUCUACCACAUGUAACAAAAAGAUCAAGAAUAAUUUGUCCCUUGGUUAAGUAUCUUCCAUAGGUAAAGCCUACGAUUCAAUAGGCUGAGGAAGUAUCCAAUCAAGAGAUGUCAAUCACUUGGAAAAUUGAGAAGGAUAUGAUGUUGAAAGAGGCAGGCACCAUUGUCAACUAAAGCCUCGAUCAUCUCCACACAAUUGAUUGAAACGAAGAAGGUUUCCAUCCAUCGGUCUAGAUAAGAUCCAAUGGUCCACGACUCUAUAAGAAAGACAUUCCAAAAGGUAACUUGUGACUUUUAUUACAAGAAGAGAGUUGGAAGUCAAUUAUGCUAAUUAUCAAGAGAAGCUUUAGCACCAAAUAAUUAGGCACAUAGUAAGCUUGUGUUAUCUCCACUAUGUUUUGCCACUCGUAAACAUCAUUCUUGCUCUACAUGUGAAGUCGAUCUAUUGUAGAGAGAGUGUGUGAGUUACAAUUGUUGCCAAUCCCUUUGACUUGGCUCAUCUGAGGUUGACCAAAUCUUCCCAGUUAGAGAAAAGACCGGGUUAAGAGACAACGUGAUUUAUUUAAUUAUUAUUUUUUAAAUAAUUUGUUGUAGUCGUUCAACUUUUUAUGAAGAGUCCCCGUUAGACUUCUCUGCCUGUAAAUGCUCCCGCUUCUCAGAGUCCCUCUCAAGAUUUUUUAACUUAAACCUUCUCCCAUAACCUGACUCUUUUCUCUGCACAUAUUCCUGCAACUGCAUCCCACUACAGCACCUAUUCCAGCAGCCCAUUGUUUGUACCUGUUCCUGCAUCCACUAUUGCACCUGCUCCUACUGCCACUGUUGCACCUGUUCAUAUAGCCCGCUGUACCUACAACUGCUACAGCCCAUAGCCUGCAGCUGCUCAUUUGCUGCUUCUAUACUGCAGUAGGUUCAAUUACAUCCUCUGCAACGAGGUCUUUUGUAUCAUUGCACGGGUUGCAGUGAUGGUCUCCAAAAAGCCCGCGGCCCGCUUUAGGCCCGGCCCGGCCCAAGCCCGUUUUAUGGGCGGGUCGGGCCGCGGGCCGGCCCGGCCCUUAGGCCCGCCCCUUUAAAAAAAAACUACAAAAAUAAAAAGUAUUAAAAAAAAUAUUCAUUUCAAAAUUUUAUUCAUUGAAUUUAUAAUUACAUUUAAAAAUGUGGGAAAAGUUUACAUCACUAUAAAAUAAAUACAUCCCAACUAGGUUAACACCUAUUUAUUUGUCAAUCAUCUGUAUUUUUCGACCACAAAAAAUAAAAAUAAAAAUAUAAUAUACAUUUAGUCAUUAUUUUCUGACGGUGAUGGCGAACUAUCAUGCAUCCAUGAAGAUCUUGAUAAUUUUAAAGAUUCCAUAUCGGCAAACAUCUCUGUUUCUCGAAUGAAAUCGUACAUCAUUUUAUCUGCUAUUUCCCAAUCUUUCACACAUAUCCAUGCUUCAAUAACAUCUGACGCUAAGUUGCAUUGUUUUUUACUAACUAAUCUUCUACCUGCACUAAAAGCAGCUUCUGAUGCAACUGUACUCACAGGAACUGUUAGUACAUCACGAGCAAUUAUAGAAAGCACAGGAUAUUUGUGUUGAUGUGAUUUCCACCAUAUUAAAAUAUCAAAAUCUUCUUGAUCUUCAAAUGAAAUUAUUUCAGUAUUAAGAUAUUUAUCUAAAUCAGAUGUAUUAUUUGGAGAACUAUUUGUUGUCUUUUUUCGACUUUUCAACAUUUCUAGAGCUCCUUUAUAAAAAGAUGAGGAGUUUGUAGAUGUAGGUGGUAAUUUAAUACUAUUAAUAUUAUUACCAUAUUUUUCUUUAUAAUAGUUAUAUAAAUUAUGUAAUAAUGAAUUUAUUUCAUUUUUAAUUUCUUCAAUUUUUAUUUGGUCAUUAAAAUAAAUAAUUGUUAACCAUUCAUCCAAAGCUUCAAAUUUCAAUCUUGGGUCCACAAUUAAAGCAAUAUAAAAAAUUAAAGGUAUUUCCCCCCAAUAUUUUCUAAAUUUUUCUAUCAUUGCAAAUAUUGUAUCAUUAAAUAUUUCAAAACUUAAAUAUUUUUGAAGUACAAUAAAAAUAUUAGUUAUUUGCAUAAUAACUCGAUUUGAAGUUGGAUAAUAUACACCACAAAAAAUGUUUGUUGAAGUAUCAAAAAUUUCAAAAAGAUCUCUUAAAAGAUCUGCAAUAUACCAAUCAUAAUCACUUAAUGCAUAAAUAUCUGCUUCACAAUCAUUGUUAAGUAAUUGUAUUUCAUAUAAUUCGACUACUUUUCUAUAUUUUGUAAUAUUUUGUAAAAGUUUAUAUGUGGAAUUCCAUCUAAUGGUCAUAUCCAAAUUUAUAUUUUUUCUUUUCAUAUUUAACAUUUUGCAACAAUCAAAAAAUAAUUCAUGUUUUGCUUGAGAACUAUUAAUACUAUAUGCAAUGCCUCUAAUUUUUUCCAAUGUAUCAUCAACAUUUUUUAAUCCAUCAUUUACAAUUAAAUUUAAAAUAUGUGCACAACAACGCACAUGAAAUAUUUUAGCAUGAUCUUCUUUUACUUGCCAAUAUCGUUUUAGUCUAUGUAUUGCUGUAUCAUUAUUAGCAGCAUUAUCUAAUGUUAUUGUCAAUAUUUUAUCACGAAUGCCUAAAUCUAUAAUUUCAUCAUUUAUUAAAGAUGCUAUAUUUUUACCACUAUGUGGAGCAUUUAUUAAUUUAAAUGAAAUUAUUCUUUUAUUUAAUUUCCAUUCAUUAUCAAUGUAGUGAGCAGUUAUACAUAAAAAACCAGUGUGAGUUAAAGAUGUCCAAAUAUCAGAUGUUAAACAAAUAUUUCCUUCAAAAUUUGCAAAAAAAAAAUUUUUAAAUUUCUUUUUGUGUAUAAAUUUUUUUCAUAAUAUCUCUUUUAACUGUAUUUCCAGACCAACCUUUAAAUUGAGGAUUAAUACCUCGUUGAAUUGUUCCUACAAAAUCAUGAGUUUCCAUCAUGUUGAAAGGUUGUUAUGCUCUUAUUAUAUAAUCAAUCAUUUCUUCACGACAGUUAGAUUCAUCAUAAGAAAAUGUUUUUAAAUUUCCACUUUCAUUUUUACUUAAUUGCAUAUAAUUUCUAAUAUCUACAUUAUUUUUAGUUUUACAAUUUUCGUGAUGUCUUUUUAAAUGACUUGUGCCUGCAUUUGAGCCACCAGUAAGAAAUUUAUUACAAAUUUUACAUUUUGCUUUUAUUUCUUUUUUAUUAUUUUCUAAAAUUAUUUCUAUUCUAUCAAAAAAAUUCCAUAUAUUUGAAGUAAAUUUUUUGUUUGAUGAUAUUUCAUCACAUGGACUAGAUGAAGAAGCACUUGUUAUAUUAUAAUUAUUGAUAAAAUAUUAUGCCAAAAAUAAUAAAGGAAUAAAUAUAACAAAAAAAUAAAGUAGUAGGGGUGAAGUAUGUUACUCAAUUAGAGAACCGAUGCAGAAAUUCCUAGCAAAUUUGAACUCUUGGAGCCACCAAUGCUUGUUUUGCACCACCAACAAUAUUGUAUAAUUUGAGGGAAAAAUAAAAGAAUUUGAAAUAUUGUAGAAUGUGAGAGAAAUAGAGAGAAUUUGAUGAAAAAAUGAAAAGGAAGAACAUGUAUUUAUAGGAAGAUUUAAAAAAAAAAAAAAAAAUUGGCCAUGUGACCGUUGGAGGCUUAGCCCCAACGGUCACAUGACUCACAUGGGCUCACAUGGGCAGCUGGCUGGAGCUCCAACGGUCACAUGACCGUUGGAGCCUUUAAUUUUUUUUUAAAAAAUAAUAUACUUUAUUUUUAUAUAUAUAUAAUUAACUCAAUUAUUAAGCACAAAAGGAAUGUAGCUCAGUUGGUUAGAGCCUUGAUAUGAAAGCAUGAGGGGAGGGGUUCGAAUCCCCCCCUCUCCCUUCCUUUCUUUAAAAGCCAUUUUGGCUUAUUUAAAAAAGCCCACGGCCCGGCCCGCCAGCCCGCUAGCCCGCGGGCUCAUAGGCCGGGCCGCGGGCCUAACAUUUUUCCAUGGCCCGGCCCAGCCCGGCCCGUUGACCAGUCAACGGGCCCAUAGGCCCGACCCGAGCUGGGCCGCGGGCCUCCUAUUUACGGCCCGGUCCUGCCCGUUGGAGACCCUUAGGUUGCAGUCAUACCAAACCGAACCGAGUGCUGCACAUAUUUCUAGCUACCUGCAGUUAUCUUAUAUUGUCUUGCAUCCUUGCUCUUACCGUAUACAAGUUUGCAACCCUUUUAUGUUGUACACUUUCUUUUGGAGAAAUUACAAUUAUAUAAUUAUGAAUUGUACCGUGUCUCAUCAAAGAAAUGAAUCUAAGAUGAGGUCAUUGAUUGUUGUAUCUUGGAAAUAGAAAGUUGAUUACUAGUUCAUCUUUGAAGAGGAUGAACUUAUUUUAAGGACAAUGUCUCGUCACAACUCAGUCUUUUAAACCAAUAAGUAUUCCUUUCCUUUUUAUUCUGUUUCUUGUUUAUUCAAUUUUAGGCUAGGUCGAAAUUCCUUCAAUUUUUUUAGAUUUCUAAAUUCGACAAUCUUAAAGUAGGUUUUUGUUGAGGCCUCGCAUCCUUGGUGAUCCACGUAGAUGCCAAAUGGAUGGACGCACGAUCUCAACCAAUAUAGAUUCUUGAUUCAAUCGUACUACCUGCAAAAGGUGUCCGGACAAGGUGUCCGGACGCACCCUCCGAUGGUUUUGUCAGCCAUGGUUAAAGAGAUAGAGAUAAAUCAGUUGGCCUUUUACCAGGUAUAGCAAACUUACCUUCCUCUUUGUGUGAAGGUUCAUAUAUAUAGUAUUAGAAGCUUUGUUUCCCUUUUUAAUGGUAGGGAGAUAUUUUGUGUUGUCAUGAUGACACUAGGUGGUGGCAGGGCCAUCAUCACCCUACGGGCGGCUGUCAGAGAUCGUGGUAGUUGUUGCGACUGUCAAAAAUCGUGGGAAGUGAUCAUAGGAAGUGACUUGCCAUCACUUCAUUCUUGUCCUUUCACCCUGCAAGUGGCGGAACGUGGGCCAUGGCAGGUUGUUGUGAUAACGUAUAAGACUUGUUUACUUCAGUCAAUGAUCCGGACAAACAUACCCGGAUAGUGUAUGUCGGUCGUCCGGAUGCGCUGUGGCAGUCGUCCGGAUGUUAUGUUUAUGAGUGUCGUGUGCCUCUCUUUGAGGGAGUCCGGAUAGAAGAAGCGCGCCACGUGUACUCUUGGGGAAAUCUGGAUGAGGCUGAUCCAGAUGAGAAUGCGUGCCACGUGGCAUUAGGAGAUGUGUGCCACGUGUGGGGAGGGGUCCCUACAGUUUUUAAACGAAGGCUUCCCUAGUUCACACAUAUUAUAAUACCUUUAAAAUCGAUUCCUUCAAUGGGAUAUUUUUCAAGAGAUGGUAGAAAAUAGUAUUUUCUGCUAUAGAUGUAGUGAACUUAUGACACAUCUUGACAGACCUAAAAAUAAUAAGUCCAGAAAACAAAAACUCUAAGACUAAACUCAACAUAGCAAACAUGCAACUCAAUGCCACCACAAGAAGAGAAUUGAGAAGUCCAACCCUUAAGCUUUUUCUUGUUUUUCAAAAACAUAAAUAAUCCUUGAAAUCUAAGAUGAAUGGAAUUAUUUUUUGCCCUUAUGAGCCUCUUGGCAUGCUCAUUAGACUAGUUUUUAGGCCUAUAUAUCUUGUUUGCUAAUUGUUGACUACUUGCUAUCUUGUUUUUUAGUCUCAAAAUAUUGUUGUAAAUCAAGACCCUUUGGCAUGUUUUAAAUUGUUUUUUAAACUUAAAAAUAUAUUUUAGACACCUUGAAUGAGAUGAAGACUUCUUUCCUUGCUAGAAAUCUCAUUCCCAGACUAGUUGAAUAAUCCAAUUUUUUUAGGUGUUAGGUCGUUGUUUUAUUUUUGCAUACUAAAAUGUUUUUGCGAAUUGAUCCCAAUUAUUUUAUUAUCAAUUAUUUUUUAGGUUUGAACUUUGAUUUAGACGUCUUAAAUAAACUUAGGAGAUUUGGUCUUGUUAAAAAAUUCAUGUUUAUGCUUGUCGAAUAAAUAAUAUUUUGUAUAUUUGUAUGUUUUCUUGUUUUGUUUGGUCAUUAAAUGUUUCUUGAAAUUUGUAUCAUUUGGUUUAUAGUUGGGCUCCUUUGACUGUGAGAUGUGGUUUAGACAUCUUGAACUUGUUAGGAAAUUUUUUCCUUGAUUUUUUACCUUACCUCUAGCCUUGUUAAAUUAAUCCAUCUUUCACACACUAACAUGUUGUCCUAUUUUGCACAUCUUUUCUAUUUUGUUGAACUGGUCUCAUAUAGCCUUAUUUGAUUCUUGAUUUGUGUAGUGUAGAUCCUGUGCAUUAUAAAUAAGCUUUCUCCUAUAGCAUGACCACUCUUUAACUCUUGGAAAUGAAUUUUUUUGUAAGUGUAUAAAUGUAGUCCUAUUUGUUGUAUCGUGAUAUGUUUGUAUGAAUUAAUCUCAAUUGAUGUUAACUUAGUCAUUUUUGUUCUUUAAUUAGAGUUGUAGAUAUCAUGUACAUGUUGGAUAAUCAUUGUUUUGAUGAUAGAUCUUUUCUUAUAUUUGUAAAUUAACUUUUUCUUUCUUAUGUAAGAUUGUUGCCCUUGUUUUGGGCAUUUGAGAGGUAUGUUCCAUUAUUCCUUUGAUUGUUUAAUUCCUUUACUAACCAUGUCAUGCUCUCGAGAGAUCCUUGUUUGUUUGUCUUUGGUCCUAUGAUCUUCUAGUGUGCAUAACUCAUAUAUUCAUCAUCAUUUUCCUGUUCCUUAUCACCAUGUCUUGUACAUUUAUGUUUUUGUUUUUUGAUAUUCAUGAUCUACUAGUUAAUUAACAUAGUUUUAACUUUGUUAAAGGUUAAAGAGAUGAUACUCUAAAGUAUUUUCCCAAUUAGUAAAAAUACUUAAAUCAGGUGCUACUCUCAUACCUAAAUCAUGUUUUUGGCAAUAAUGUUUUUCUUAAAAAAGAGUUAUUUUAAGAUUUUAUUUUUUCAUUAAAAAUAAGUAAAAUAAGUGAUGAUUCUAACUUUUUAAAAGUUAGUUUUUCGUAAUAAAAGGUGAAUCUUAUAGUUGAGUGGAAACACACAUAAAAAAUACGGGUUCACCCCAUGAAACUUGCAAUAUAGCUAGCCUACACGUUAGUACUAAGAACUGAACCUGAAAAUAGAAAUAAAGGAAUAUGCACUAUGUGCUACGAAAACAAAAUUUGGUAGUUUACAAUUUCGAAGCAACCCCUGUUGAGAUCGAAAUAGUUGAAGUAAUUGAAGAGUAGAGCGAGGUACCAACUAAGAUGAAUCCUCUGGCAUCCUUCUUCGAUGCUUUAUCCCUUGAAUAUUCAAGGUCAUACUUGCCAACUAUGAUGAAGGAUCCCCUAGUAACAUCAGAAGCAUAGCAGUUGAUCCAGUUAGCAAGCCGAUCCCAGCUGACACCUUAUCAUUUUCAGCAGUUUCUGUGUUCCUACAUAGUCUGGAUGCUUCAAAAUGCCAACAAUAAAACAUUCUAUCAGUGUGUAAAAAAUAAUUAGAUUGUAUUGGUGGAUGUUUUGGGAUAUUACCGAUUUUUCUUUUUAUUUUUUGACUAAUUGGGAACUUUAAGUCAAUGGUAUUCGGUCUGGAAAAUGGCUACUGCUGAAGCAAGAGAGAGAAGAUGUAUAUAUAUAUAGAUAUAUAUAGAUAUAGAUAUAGAUAUUUGAAAUCAACAAAUGGCAUGGGUUGAGAAAUGGAACCAUACAUUCUAAAGAAGUGAUAAAUUUGAAGAGAGAGAUUGGUUUAAAUCAAUCUUACCAAAGCUGAUAAUAGCAUGAAGAAGCGAGCCGAGCAGAGGUAGAAAAACCCCACCAGAAAUUCUAGGACUAGCAACUUCCACCAGAAUUUCACUCCCAUCAUACCAGAGCUUGGCUGCAAACAACAUCAAUGAAACAUACACAGAUAAGGAACAUGUUUCCAGGCACAGUGGUGGUGCAUGGCAUGAAUCCAAUCGUCUGGCUAUAGCUAUCUGAUGAAGGCCAGUGCUCAAAAACAAUAAAAUCUGAUUGCUGAUGAACAUCUUCAACUCCAUCAGAGACCAGCCCAGAGGAAGAGUUAGCCAAAAUAAUAUUAAAAUGGUUUAUCUGCAAACUUUAUGAUCAAUCAUUUAACUCAAGACUUUUCUGUCUUGGUCACGUGUUAAUUGGAGCAUUAUUAGUAGGCGUGUGAAGUAGUUAGAAAACAAUGUGGACUGUGGACUGGUCAUUUUCUGAAAAUUGUCAUGUCCCCAUGAAUUUUAGUCAAUGCGCGUAAGGUAGGUAGAAAGCAACGCGAAUCGGGACUGGUCCCUCUAAAUUCUUAUGCCCAUCAGCCAUGUGAAUUUUAUUUUCUUUUCAAAGCAACGUGAUAUGUUUGCUGCAAAUGGCACAUGAAUCUCAUUCAUGCUAAAAGAUUUCAUUCCAAAAUCAUUCAAUACGAUGUGGCUUGUCUUCAUAAUGGAGUACCAUAGAAUUCAUUGCUGCAAAUGUUACAUUCUUGGCACGUUUCUUAAACAAUUACGCACACAGAUUGCAUUUUCCCAAUUCAAGAUGUAGUGUUAGGAGAGAGGUCAAUUAUGUGGAUCCAAUGUGAAGGGGAACAACUACCAAGAAAACCCAGCAAGGAAUGAGACAUCUUGUUGCUAGAUCAUGCACGUUCUUUUGUCAUUUUUUGUGUACUUGAAAGCUAUAAGUCAUUCAUUGGUGUGGUUAUAUAAAGAUAAAGUUUAUCCAUACAUAAGAGGUAUAUCAUCAUGUUUUAAUGUGGCUUGAAUUAUAAGACGAAUAUCCGUUGAAAGAACAGAUAUUAUCAAUUUAUUGGAGUAAUAAGGUUGAAAGAGAAAAUAACACAUGCAAUUAUAAAGGAAGAUAAAAUUAAGAAGAAUUAAAAUUUUAAUAUAUUCCAUUAUUCUUUCUUAUUCCAAUAUUAUAUAAUCUUUUAUUUAUAGAUAUUCAUACUUAACUAAAUGGAAAUUCCUAUUAAUAUAAUAAUUAUAAUAUUUUCAAGGUUUUCAAAUCAAAUUUAAUUUUUCCACAUAUAUUUUUUUAUUAUCAAAGAUAUCAAAUUAGGAAGAAAGAACGAAGGUAAAAUAUGGCACAACAUGGCAUGGACAGGAGAUGGCCACCCAUGGAUCAAAAUAAGCCAAAAAAUGGAGAAUAACUGUAACGACCUUCUCCCAACGGUGUAGAUAUUGUCCGCUUUGAACCCAAAGGAACCCUUACGACUUUAAAACGCAUCUAUAGGGUUAAGAGAAGUUCAUACUUAUAUAGCGUAAAAAAAUUUCUCCCCUAUCCGAUGUGGGAUGUCACAAACACCCCUCAUGUAAACACAACAUCCUUAUUGUAUCCCACGGGAUUAUGGGGCCAAACAAACAAACACCCUUAUGGGGCCAAACAGACAAACACCCUUAUGAGACCAAACAAACCCUACACUAAGAUCGGGGAUCGACUCUGAUACCAUUUGUAAUAACCCGCUUCCAACGUUGUAUAUAUUGUUUGCUUUGGACCCAAAGGGGCCCUCACGGCUUUAAAAGGCGUUUACAGAGUUAAAAGAAGUUCAUACUUAUAUAGCAUCAAGAACUUUCCCCCUAUCCGAUGUGGGAUGUCACAAUAACACCCAACCCCAAUGGUAUAAUUAGAUCCAUAUUGAAAUAUAUAAGUCAACAAGUUGGCUCCCCAGCUUGUGUCGGCACACCCACAUAAUUCAUGAACUAGAUCAAAAUCAAUAGUCUUUUGUUAUUCCAUAGUUUAAAUGGAUAAGGUACAAGAAAUUAAUUUCUCCAUGCAAGUAAAUUUCUCUUGUUGCUUUCUUUAAAGUAGAAUUAUUCCUAAAAACCAUGGUUUUAAAAACCACACCGAACCAACUGGUUCGACCGUCGGCUGGUCACGGUUUCGGUUUCCAAAUAGCCCUGCCUUCCAUUUUUGUUUUUUAAAAUUUAAUUUUGAUGUUUUAUAUUUAAUUUCUUAAUUUUUAAUUGAUUAUAAUUGUAGUGAUAUGUUUAAUAUUUAAUUUUUUUUAUUUUUUAUUUAUUACACAUUGAAAUUUUAAUUUAUUGAAAUGAUUGAAAAAAUUGGAUUGAUUAACAUCUACAACUAAAAAAUUUUAUGAAAAAACUCAAUAAACAUAAUAGAUACUAUCAAAAUUUAGAUAGAAUUUAUUAUUUUUAUUUAUUAAUUUUUUAAAAUUUAAUAUUAUAUAAAAUAUAUAUAUAUGACAUCACCGGUUCGACCGCCGGUCCGACCAAUGAACCAUGAACUAAUAACUUUUCUAGUUUGAUGAUUGGUUCGGUUAUGAAAACAUUGCUAAAAACCAUACAUUGACCUCUAACAUGUAUCACAUAGUCAAGCUCAUUCGUUUUUUCUUUCUACUGAAUGAAAUUAUUAGCCAAAAUUAUAUUUUAGGGACAAAGAAACUCAUUUUCGGUUAUUUGACCUAGAUUUGAUCUUAAAUGAACAAUGAAAAAAUACUAUUCAAGCAAUGGUACAAAUUGAGAUAAGAUAUAUGUGUGUGUCCAUAUAGGAAAAAAAGACCAUGCAUCAUUGACACCUUGCAUAAUAGUUAAAGCUUAACAAAGUCUAGCAUAUGAAGGAGUAAUAUAUGAAGAACUCUAAGGGUCUAUUUGAUAACUAUUUUUAAAUAAAAUUUUGAAAAAUAAUUUUUUAAAAUUGUUCUCUAACUUUUAGAGAACAAAUGUUUAUUUGAAAAUUUAAAAUAUUUUAACCAUUUUUUAAUAUUUUUUAAUAUAUUUUAGAAAUAUUUUUUAUAUCUAGUAUUUUAUUUUUAAGUAUUCUUUGUAUAAUUAUUUUUUAAAACAACCCUAAAAAACCAAGUGAAAACAAUAUAAAACAACUAAAAGAUGUCACCCUAUUUUUUGUUCUUAAGAUUAGAAAAUAGAAAAUAGUUUUUAGUUGUCCAAUGUGCUUUUUGUGUUUUUUGCUAUGAAGAACAAAAAACUAUUCUAAAAAAAAAAAAAAAUCAAAUAAGCCCUAAGGCAUGCGUUUUUAUUUUAUCAUGAGAAUAGUUUGUGCAAAUCCCAAAUUAGAGGGAAAAAAAUUAUGAGAUUCACAAUCUUACUUCCACUUUUUUUAUCUUUUUUUUUUUUUUUUUCUUUUUUCUCUUUUGACAUUUUCUCGCAAUCAAACUAGAUUAAAACCAAAAAAGUGGUGUUAGGUAUGCGGAAAUUCUGAUACUAAUUUGUUGGAGUAAUAGAGUUAAAAGGGAGACACAAUUAUAAAAUGAGAUAAAAUUUGGGAGAAUUAAAUUAUACUUCACCACUCUCUCCUAUUCAAAUAUCAUAUAAUCUCUUAUUUAUAGAUACUUACAUUUAACAAAAUAGAAAUUUUCUAAUUUGACAACUCAAAAAUAAAAACUGAAAUAAUGAGCCAAAAUAAAACAUUUCUCCCUUGACUUUUAGAGACUAAAUUUAAUUAUAAUAUUUUUAAAAUUUUUGGAUCAAGUUUAAAUUUCCAACUUGUCUCCUAAACUUGAUCCGUGACUUCAAGUAGUAUCAUCAACCUUCUAAAAUCUCCAAAAUUGUAAAGGUUGGUAAAAAUAUCAGCAAUUUAAUCUUGAGAUUUUGAAAAUUUUAAUUGCACUUCCUUCUUCAAAUGUGUUCUCUAAUCAAAAGAAGAUGGACGAAUAAUUUGAUUUUCACAAUAUUUUUUAAAUUCUUUUGAUGUGAAUUCACCUUUUUCUAUCGAUCUCAUUGCCUUUAUAUCAUGGACACUUACCUUUUAAAUAAGUCCUUUAAAUUUCUUGAAAACACUAAAUACUCAUAUUUUUCCUUCAAAAAAUGCACCCAAAUUUUUCUACUAAAAUCAUCAAGUAAAAAAUAUUUAUUCUUGCUAAAUAUUUAUUUUUUAAUCACACAAACAUCAUUUAAACUCUCACUAAUUCUUUUUAAUAAAAUUCAUAAUAGUCAAUACUCUAGAAAAAUAAUCAAAAGACUGAUUCCAAUUCUUUCAUAUUCAAAUUUUCAAAUUCUCUUUCAAGAGUUUGAAGACGAACUUUUCUUACCUUAUCAAUUCCCUUUUGUGUAUUUUGUAAUAUAUCUCAUACUUCCAUGGAGGUGGUUGCAUUUGAAAUAUUCUCAAAAGUACCUUCAUCCAUUAGAUGAUGGUGAGAACUUUCUUGUUUCGCUACCUCAUAUCUUUCAAAAAAUCCCUUUGAUUUAGGGUCAAAGUGAUUUCAUGUUGGCUCCUUCUAGCCUUUCUUAAACAUAUAAUAAGGAUAAAAAUACUACUUUAAAUUAAAAAUCAAGUUCAAAGGAGGCAAGUUCGGAAGUAAAAUUGAUGUUAGAAAGUUUCCAAAUUUUAGAUUUGAUUUGAUAUGAUUAAAUAUGAAUAUGGGGUUUGUGUAAUAGUUGAACAAGACAAAUAGAAGACAAUAAAAUUUCAUUAAUUUUUCUCAAUUUGUUAUUUAUCUUUAUGAAAUUAUGUAAUUGUUCUUGUGUUUUCAGCCCUCUUACUCCAACAAGAUCACCAGGGGUGCCCUGUACGGGUUGAAGGUGUUCAGAUAAGGAAGUGAAGAUGGAUGUGAAGAAUGAGUUUAUCUUAUUCAAACCAGAGGACAUGGGCCAGGUUAGUUGUAGAUUUACCAUCCUGGUCACUAAACUGAUCAGGAAGACAUGAAUGAGUUCCAUUGAGAAUACCCAGCAGAUCAUAACCAACUAGCAAGCAAUCAAAUUGAGGUUUGUAAGAUGGGUAGUUGGAAGAAGUUGCAGGAAGCAACAAGAUGGAAUUGGGAGCUAGCCAGACUUUCUUCGGACAUGGUGAAUGAAAGGGAAAAAGGAAGAUGCAAGCCUGUUGGAGCUGUACAAAUCUCAUACCAUAAGAAGAAAUAAGCAAAGAGAUUUUGUGUAUUGUAUUAUGAAUUCACUAACUUGCUUUAUCCAAUACAUACAAAAUGGUGGAAAAACAUUUACAGAAAUAAUUACAAGUCAACCUAAAAUCUAAAAGAAUGAUUCAUAACAUACAACUGUAUUACAAUUGAUCAUCACCCUCCUCGAGAAUGACUAGUAUCAAGGUGGUCAUGAUUGAGCUUUGUUUUAGUAAUUUGCUUCUUGGCUUAUAACAACUACUGAAUAAAUCUGAAAAUUCGUAAAUUGCUCCUAAAGCGCUCAAUGGUCUUAAAAAAAAAUUGAGAAUCUAACAUGGACCAUGGUCAUCCAUAUUCUUUUGGAAGAAAGCUCCAAAUAAUGAGGACAAUCAGUACUUCAGAUGUGAAGUUCCAUGUCAACUGGCGAAAAUAAACUAGGCCCAAGAAGACUGACAUGCAAAGGAAGUUGUUCAUGCUCAUUGCCCCAUAAAUCUGCAGCAAACAAUUCAUAUACAGUUAUGAAUUAGAACAUCAUGACAGGAACCCAAAAUUCACUAAGUUAAGAUAGAUAACUAACAUCAACCCAAGCAAACCUUUGAAAAUGUUAAAGAAGCAAUUCUCAACUUCUUUUGGCUGGCAAAGUUUUGGGCUGACACUGCCUCACUGAAGCUAGCGAAAGGCAGAACAAGAAAUGAGACAAAGAAAGAAGGAAUGUUAGUAGCAGUGGAGAACUUGCCUACAGCAUUGACAAGAGGACCAGCAAAUGUAGCAGCUAUCAGAGAUCCCAAAAGCAACAUCACUACUGCUUUACAGGCACUCCAUUUGGGGCUUUCAAUCUUCACAACCUCAUCACUCUGAAUACCCAGCUGUUCAUGCUCUUUGUUUGACACCUGCUUAUGCAUUUUAAAGAUGUCAUCACACCAACAUCGAGAACAUAAUUAAUCAUGACUGAACCUAGAAUAACAUGGCAUUGACAUACCAAAUUGAAGUGGUCUACAACUAGUCUUGUCUUCAUAUGAUUGUAACUGGAACAAACUGCAGAAUUCUUAGCCUUAUUAAGCCAUUUUGAGAUUCCUUUGGUAAAUGCCUCUAUAUUAAUCUUAGCAUCCCCACAAGCAUGGACAUCUCUCAUAAUAUCUCCAACAGUAUCAUCAAUAUCUGAAUCUUUGUCUUUAAUCUGGAUUCCUGUUAUCAGUGCUCUUAUCUCACUAGUCGAGAGCAACUGAUCUGAAUUCCCAUCAAUCAUCUUAAAUAGCCUGUCAUUGUAUCCAUGAAAAAGUGCAUGCAUUGAGAAUCAGGCCUGGUCUCAUAAGUUAGUAAGAAUUUUGUCAACUAUUUUACCAUUGGUGUUGCCUCAUGACGUUGAUUUUUUAUAAUCUAACUUGGAAUAGCCUACAACUAAUAAGGGAAAGAAGUUGAAACUAAAACAAAGACUAACAUUCUGAUCACUUCCAUAUCAGGUUCACCAUUAGUUGUCAAAAGCCUCUCCAAUGGACUGUAUUUCAAUUGUUUUACAAUUCUUGAUGUCAUAUGCAUCUGCUUUGCAUAUGCAAGCUUUCUUCUCAGAAUCGAAGGGUGAAAGACCUGCAACGACAUUUGAUUGGAAAAUCAUGAAGAAGAAGCUAGCAUAAAAAAGAGUUAUGAAAAUAAAAUUAUUUUAACAAUUAGUAACGUCUGAGUACUGAGUGGACAAAUACCUGAUGAAGGCAAUAUGCAAGCAAUAAAGAAACAGAGAUAAUGAGUGAAAUAAAGAUCGCGAAGCAAAUUUGUGAAGAUGUGUGGAGAACUUGUGCUAGUUGGACUAUUAUGAAUGGCAUAACAGAUAUAACCAUGAUCCUAGCAGUAUAGCUAGCCCUGAUAUCAGUACUGAUAGCUGAACCUGAAAAUAUCGAUAAAGGAACAUGCAUAAUGUGUCAGGAUAACAAUCAGACUGAACAACAUUUUUCUUGUAAAAUGUUAGCUAGAAUCAAUGGUUCACUUUAUGUACAUUGAUAAGUGAAUAGCUAAAUUGUUUUACUCACUGCACAACAAACUUCAUAUGAAUUAUUUAAUUUGGAUAAUGAAGAAAAAGAACAGUUGAAUUCAUUGUCAACAAUUAGAAUCAAUCUGUGUUUAAAAGUUGCUACUUGGAAUAGUCUUUCAUGAAUUCUUGACACAAGCAGAGACUUUAUAACUGAAGAGUAUAGGGAAGUACCAGCUAAGCUGAAUCCUCUGGCAGUUUCCUCUGAAGCUUUUUCCCUUGAGUUUUCAGGGUCACAUUUAUCAACUAUGAUGCAGCAUCCUCCUAGCAAUGUUAGCAGGAUGGCAGUUGAUCCAGUUAGCAAACCGAGCCCAGCGGACACCUGAUUUUGAGCAGUUUCUCCGUUUCCACAUAGUCUGGAUGCUUCACAAAUGCAAAUAACAAAAUAUUCCGUGAGCGUGUAGAAAAAUUAGAUUGCCUGCAGGUAGGCAGUGGAUCUAUACAAGAACACACUAUCAAGUCAAUCACAGUAGAACAUAAAAAUGUGACACUUAAAUACUAGGAAGCCACAGACUAAUAAAGGCUCAUAAUUGGCAUCAGCAACUAUGAAUCAGCUGCAAUUGCCCAUCCAAUGGCUCACUAAACUCAAGAGACCCAUUUGCCACUGAGUAGGAACUCCUGAACUAGUUACAUAAAUUCUCUCUCUAUUUGUGGGUUUCCAAGUAAUCAAUCUUGUGGAUUUUGUCUUCUGCAUCCAAUUGGGUUCUGUACUCACUCGUUUCAGUCACUCCUUUGCCCUGUCCAAUCCUCAUUUUGGUCAUUCUUGGCAAUGGCAAUGCCAUAAACUCUUCCAGGUUUCCUUAUUUCCCACUAGGAUAUGCUUCUCCUUAGAAGUCCUCAAUCGAGCAUUUCAUCAAGUAGUCUAAAUAAGUUUCAGUUUCUGUACUAUGUUUCUUUUAGUACUUCUCUGCAGUUCCAACUGAGGGGAUGGCACAAUUAGCAUUCCUCAAUUCUUUUCUUUCCCUUUCCUUUAUCCUUACUUUUUUUUUUCUAAGUUGAUUCUAUUGUCCAAAAUGAUAGAAUAAAUGUGGACCGACAGUUUAUUAAACAUUGUCCAGGAUUAAGCUAUCUUUUAACAUGCAAUUUCUGAUUUAAUCUUGAGUAUGGGCCACCUAAUGUGUAGAACCCAAUGUCAUCACGGGCUUUAGAUGAUGGGCCUAAGGCCCGUGAGGCUCAAUAACCAAUGGGUAUGGUCCCUAAGGCAGGAGGGUAUGGUCCCUAAGGCAGGAGGGUAUAAAAGGCUUAGGCUUGUGUCUUUUGGGAUAAUCACAUCCUUCUGAAAGAACAGAACCGCUCUCUCUCCCGCUCCCAUUGCCUGAGAGAAUCUAGAGAAAGGUGGUGCCCUCCAUCAGCCUUAGAAGAUCGAUACCUCUUCAUCAAAAGCGUCAAAAUGGAUUCAUUCAGGUUGGUUCCUAUCUAAAGAUUGAUUGUUGAAUAUAUUCUGUAUGUGUGUUUUGGUGUCAAUGGAGAAGACAUGAAGUUACAACACAAAACACUAUGUAAUCUACCACAUUUGAUUAAUGCGUCUGUGUGCUGGCACUUAAUAAAGCAUAUCCAACACAAUCAUUGAGUAGGAAAAAGCAAAGGAAAGUUUUGUUGCAGUUUUCACACUAGGCCCAAAGGAAAAGGACACCAACUCAAAACUCAAGCUUCCCACUCAUUGAUUAUCGGAAUGGCAAAGUAAGGGAUAUGAACCUUACACCACAAGUCUCUUUGAUAUUCACAAAAUAUAUACAUAUGCAACAAUUUGAUCUUCUGACAUCUAGGAAACUUAUGCCAACUGUAUGGUGGACGUUUACAGAAUAUUCUGCAUUUUUUUUUCCUCACUGAUUGGGAACUCAAGUCAAUGACAUUAGGUUCAGAAAAGCAGGAACUGCUAAAGCAAGUGGGAGAAAAAACUAUAUAUUAAAAUGUUGAAACUAUAGUACACAGAAAAUGUGCCUGAAAUGAAUGAAUAGUAUCUCGGGAACUUCAGAUUCAGAAAGUUAUGACUCUUUAUCGUUGAGGCUGAAUGAGAGUGAACCAUAAAUCCUAAAAAUAUGAUGAGUUUCAAGCUUACCAAUGUUGAUAAUAGCAUCAAGAAGCGAGCUGAGCAGAGGCAGAAAAACAGCACCAGCAAUUCCAGGACUAAGAAGUUCCACCAGAAUCUCACUUCCAUCAUAUAAAAGCUUGGCUGCAAACAACAUCAAGGAAACGUAUACAAGGAUAAGGAGUAUGUUUCCAGGCACAGUGGCGGUGCAUGGCAUGAACCCAUAUGUCUGGUUACAGCUAUAUGACGAAGCCCACUCCUCAAAAACAAUAAAAGCUGGCUGCUGAACCUCUCCAUCCCCAUCAGAGACCAGCCCAGAGGAGGAAGAGUUAUUGGCUGCAACACGUCCACAACUUCGGGGGCUUACCAUCAUGAGAAGAAGCAUGGCUAGAAGAAAGAGUUCAUGUUUCUUUGCCAUGCCCGGGCUUGGCCUCAUGAUGAGAGGCUAAUGUGUCCUAUAUAUAUUACUACUCUUGUCAUUAUUGCCUUAGAUUGCUCAUCUUUGACGCUGAAAAGUUGUCUCAGGUGGUUGCAGCUUACCCACUUAAUUGAUUAAAUUAUUGGUGCGUGUACAACUCAUUUGCUUUUUCUCCGUGAAUACAAAUCCAAUGGCGGAUCCUACUGCAUUAUGAAAUUUUAUUUUUUAAUAUUUUCCCAAUGAUACCAUUAAUGUACACUUUUAAUUGUCAUUGUUUUGUACUUAAGUAUAUAGUAUUUUAAUAUAUGUUAAUUAAACCACAUAAAUACGAGUAAAAAAUAAAUAAGAAAAAAAGACAAGAUUUUUAAUAUGGUUCAACGAUUAAUGUGAUCAAUAUGUGCAUAGAAUGCAUCAAUACUCAAAAAUCCACCGGUAAAAAAGAUUGAGUAGAGUUACAAUGGUAUAACUCUCGAAAAACAUCUCUUAAUUGUGAUUGCACACUCUAAAAACAAAACCCUAACAUAAAAGGGUAAAAUAUAUAAUAGAAACAAACUCGUCAAUCAUUAAUUAAAAAAAAAAAAAAAAAACCUUUAAGGGGCUUUGUUUAACCCUCAUAAACUGACUAGAUAGUUUGACCCCGACAAACUCAACGGAGAGCUUAACCCUCACAAGCUGAUCAGACAACUUGAUCCUCGACAUUUUUAGUGAAGUGCAACAAAAUCGAUUCAGGUUUCACAAUCCAAUAAUAAAUUUAUAUUUUUUCAAUGAUCCAUAUUUUAUCCUGUAUUUUAGAUAUUAAUUCGAUAUAUUUUAAUAUUUUUUGUCUAAUGGUAUAGUUGUGAUUUCCUUUUUUCCAAAAAAAAAAAAAAAAGAACUGUUGAUUCUAGCUUGCACCUAGUUGGAAGCAAUGCAAAAUAACAGUUCAUCCCAUUCAAUAUUAUUGCUAAUAUAAUAAUGUUACAACCAUGUGGUUUCUAACAACUUAGUAAAUAUUAUAGUAUGAGUUGGACUCGUACUUCUAAAGUGAUCGAUUUGACGACCUAGAAAUUCACGUUUGGUUAUCUUCAUAUUCAAAUUUGUCCAUGACACCAUGAUUUUAGCUGAUACGUUAUCUUACCUUCAAAAUAUAUAUAUUUUUUCGUUUUCCAAAUCAUCUUCUCAAGGAACGAAGCUUAUGGUCAAUAUAGUGCACCAAACAACAUAAAUCUUUAGGUUUAUGGGGGUAAGUGGUUCUUAUCACCAACAUUUUGAGUAAUUUAAAGUAAUAAUGAAAAAUAAGUGAAGAAUAUUUGAAUGAUGUAGCAAAAUUUUUGUUAAAUAUAUCUAUUUUUUUUAACUAAAAUUGUAAAUUAUUUAAUUAAAAUUAUAAAAUUUAUAAAAUAAGUUUACGUAUAUAACAAGAUUUUUUUUUAUCAAAUAACCUUAAUAAUGUUUUUUUUUAUAAAACAUUAAUAUUACAUAAUAACGAGAAUAGACAAAAAAAAAAAAAAAAUCAAAAUAAGAAUACAUAAAUUUAUUUAAAAAAAUCCGAAAAAAAUCAUAAGUAGAGAAAAAUAAAAUUUACUAUAUCAAAAGAUUAAUACAAUGGAGGAGAGUUGUAAGACCUAUUGACCGAUCCAUCCACUAUCACUUUAGACCUCUCAAAAAAUCUCAUAAUUAUAGUUUAAUCACAUAUUUCACAUCACAAGUUUUUUGAAUCAAAUUACAUAAAAUUUAGGUCAUCAAAAACUAACAAUUAAUAUAUAUAUAUAUAUAUAUAUGUUUUUUGAUGUUUUUUACACAAAUAAAUGUAAAAUAUUAAAUAAUAAUACGACUUUUGUCGUAAAAAUUUAAAUACAACCGAUAAAGGGACAUGUGAAGAGCUUUUUUUUUUUUUUUUUUUUGUUUAUUAAGAUGUGAAUAGAAGAAUUGAGUGUAGCACGUGCUGAAAUUAAAUGAACCGUCCCCGGGUAGCGUUGCUCGAGAUGGGUUUUUGUUUUUCAAUCUUUCAGUUGACCAGACCACCUCCGUGACUUGGGAGGAGACACAUUUGUAUUUUUAUAUUUAUUUGUUUUCUUUUUUUAAAUUGCCUUGUAUGCAUUCCCUCCUUGGUAGCCCCCGUUUUUGAGUGAGAUGAUGCAUGGCACGACCCUCUUUGCAUUUUGCAAGGUGGCGUCCACUUCUUAAUUGUUGUUUACUUAUUUUUAAUUAUUUAUUUAUUUUUUUCCUAAGUGAAACUUAGACAUAUAAACCAAAUUAUUUCUUUCCUUUUUAUUUUGUGUUAUUACUAUAAAUAAUACCUUAUCCCAUAUUAAAAGUAAUUUGGAUUAUUAGGAGUAUAACGUACCUUCUACUGCAACGCACAUUAAAAUAUUUGGGGAAUAGAAUACACUUAUUCUACAUUCCAUAAUUUAUUAUUAUUAUUUCAUAAAUAUUAAAUCAUGCAAAUUUUGUUAUGAGAAGUUGAGUAUUCCUCUAUUUUUUUCUUCCUCCUCAUAAGUUCUCCCUUUUCAUUGAAACAUGAAAAUAUAUAUAAAAAAAAAAACAAUAAUAUAACAAUUGAAACAAAAUGAAAAAAGAGUUGGUCUAAUUUGGUGAAACAUAUGGUAAUAUGUUAUCUUAAAACUGUUAUCACCUCCCUACAUGCAGUGUUAACAAAUGGUAGCCGCUCUAAAAUACAACCUCAACCAUUGGCUAAAACUAUGGGAACCUAUCCAUAAUUCUAUUGUCUAAAAACUAUGAAAAACUCAAAAGAAGAUAUCUUUAUAAUAUUAUUUUUUUCCAUAAAAAUGAAAGGUCUUUUUAAUAAUAAAAAUAUGAUCAUUGUUUGAGUAUUAGUAAUUACCUUAGAAUAGUCAACUCCAUGAAUCUCACAAAUAUCAAUAAAACUCAUCAAAUCCCACACAAGAUUGGAAAAAUAAAAGUCACUUAUUGUCUUUAACCUUUACAAUAAUAAAAGGUAUGAUACCAAGAUUUUAACCUCUUUUUUAUUUUAUUUUUUUGUAAAAGAAAGUUUUAACUUUUAUAUUUUUGAGUAAAAUCUUACAUUCCUCCACAAGGUUUAAAACUUCAAAAUAAUAAUGAAAAUAAGUAAAUAAAUUAAUGGACAACGUUAUACUAUACAAUAUCUAUAGGUAUUUUUUGGACUUGAACUUACACUUAGUAUUAACAAUUUCCAUUUGAGGAUCCAUAGUGAAUUAUGUCUUGAACUACGUCCUUAAGCCAAACUUUAGCAUGACACACACAUAGUAUUGAUAUGAAACUUGAUUCUAAGAGAGUUAGUGAAUGUUAUUAAUGGUCAUGCACUAGUAUCUUGAUUCUCAUGAGAGUUACUAAGGAAUAACCCUACUCCCAUAGUCAUGGUCAUAGGAUGACUCUCAUUUAAGUGAGUCCUCCAAGGGUACAUAUGACUUGUACCUCAUAGAAUUUUUUAUCUUGGACCCAUUUAGGGAAAUACUCUUCCAAACAUCACAUCAAAAGCACUAUCACCAUAGUGAUGUAAAUUAGACUCUCUCCUGAAAAAUAGUGCUAUAAAGUUACGUAUUACAAAUUAUUUCUAUCCAUUUAACCUUCUUCAUGAUAUCUCCGAUCACAAAUGUUAAGUUACCAUUGGAGGUGACUCCUUUAAGGCCUUCAACCCAUCCCCCUUGAUGAUUCUAAGAUAGCAUUUCUAGAAAGACCCUUGGUCAACUAAUUGACAAAAUUCUUUCAGAUCUAAAAUCCAAGGAUGUCGAAUAGUAAGUUUUUAAUGCAUUCUGCCUCAAUGUAUAUUAUAUCAAGCGCAAUUAACUUAGAUUUCAUUGCUUCUUGAUAUUAUAGUUUGUUUUAAAUCCCUAAGAAAUAACAACACCUCUUAGAAGGAUAUUAUAUCUAAUAGUGAAUUUGACAUCUAAAUUUUCAAUUAUCCAAUUUACAUCACUAUAUCCUUCCACUACAUUAAGGAAUCCUUCGUAACAUAAAGAGUAAUCUAAACUUUCUCUAAGAUACUUAAAAACUCUUUAAAGCAACCCAAUUUUCCUUGCUAGGAUUAUGAUUAUACCUACUUAGUCUCCCCGCUACAUAUGUUAUACCAUUGUUAGUCUAGUUAUUUGAAAUAUACAAUAAAGACCCUAUUAUUUGAGAAUCAUUAAUUGUUGUAUUGCUCUCCAACAUUUUUCUUCAAAUGCAUAUGGGAAUCAUAGGGUGUGGAUAUUGGUUUACUAUCAAAGUAAUUAAAUUUUCUUAAUAUUUUUUCAAUGGCACUUCAUUGAUCCAAAUUUGUACCCUCAACUGUUCUUAAAAGUCUCAUUCCUAAUAUUAUGUAUCUCUCCUAAAUCCUUCGUCUCAAAGUUCAUAGAUAAAUAAUCUUUCAUGUCAUUCACUAUUCUAUACUACUUCCAAAAAUUAGAAUAUCACCUACGUAAAAACAAAGUAUGUUACAUUCUUUUAGAUCCAUUUUAUAAUAAAUACAUUUAUCAUAAUCAUUAAUCUUAAACCUAAAAUCCAAUAUGACUUUAUCAAACUUUUUAUGUCACUAUUUUAAAGCUUGCUUAAGACCAAUAUAAUGACUUGACCGUUUUCAAGAAUAGGGUGACUUCACUAAUUUCUAUUUAAUUUCUCUCUUAAUGUUGUUUAUGAUUCCUCUAGUUUAUGGGUGGGCUAAAUUUAUAUAUUACCUAAUUUUUAUUUAUUCCACCUCAUCAAAAAUUCAUGUUGGUUAGCCUUUUAUUCAUUCAAAAUCAUCAAAGAUUAUAUAGGUUAUCCUUUCAUUCAUUCCAACUCAUUAAGGAUGCACAUAGUUGCACUCUUUAUUUUUCUUCUACCUCUCCAUACCAUUAUAUACAAUUAUAUGAUUAUAUUUUUAUUUUUGUAAAUAGUAGAAGAAAAAGCAAGGAUGUCUCUUCCAAUCUUGUGAAAUAAUAAAUGUUAUAAAGUUAAAUUUUGGAUGCAUAAAAAUAGAAAGUUAAUUAAGUAUUAUUAAGCAAUCUUACUUUUUACCUUAAUCCAUGACACAUAAUACGAAAUUGAUUGAUAAAUCAACUCAAAUUCAUAUUUCACAUCAUGGAUAAAGGUAAAACAUAAUACCAAUUAAUUAAUUUUUUAUUUUAUCAUUUUUCUAAUCCAAGUCUCUAAUUGGUUGCCUUGAUUAAUUAGAUCAUCUACCAAGCUUUUUAUAUACAUUUCCAAAGAAAUAAGUCUAUAAUCAAUAAACAUAAUCAUACACGACCAUAAUUAAUACAAAUGCUAACAGUAAUAGGUGAAGAGAGAUGUCCAUCACUUGGGGAGUGAAAAAAGGUAUGAUGUUUGAAAGGGCCGAGCAGGGUUAUCAAUUAGGGAUGACAAUAGGGCAGAUUCGGAAUGGGUCGCCCCCAUCCCAACCCCGUCUCGUUUAUUCAAAAUUAUUUUCAUCCUCAUCCCAUUUAAAAAAUUAAACAGGACGAGACGAGUAUGAUAAAUUCUCAUACCCGUCCCACUUUGCCCCGUUUAACUAUAUUUUUUGAAUUUUAAUUUUUUUUAAAUUACUUUUAAAAUUUUUAAUUAUAUUAAAAUAAUUAUAUUUUAUAAAUAAUUAAAUUAUUAUAUUUUUUAUAACUUAUUUUAUUAAAAAUAUUUUUUUAUUAUUUAUAUAUUAAAAAUAGUAAAAUAAAAAUUAAAUUAAAUUAAUUUUAAAAUUUAAAUUAAAUUAAUUUUAUAUAUAAUCGGGACGGGACUUGGUAAUAUCCGAACCCGGCUCCAGGUUUAAAAAAAAAUUAUCAAACCCGUUUAUUAAAAUUGAAUCUCGUCCCACUAAAAGCGAGACAAACAGUACCUGAAAGAACCGGUCCACUGCCAUCCCUGUUAUCAAUUAGAGGCUUACUCAUUUUUAAACCAUUGGCUGAAGAGUAAAGGUCUCCCCACACAUGCCUGUUAUUAUCAAAACUAGAGUCGAACAAACUGACUAGUCAAAACAGAAAAGAGAUGAUGAGAGAUGAUUUUUGGGGAAGGGUACUAUCAAGUCAAUUAUAGAUGCCAAUUAUCAAGACAAGCUCUGACACUAACUAGUGCACAUGGUGAAUUCUAUGCUAGGCUACCGUAUAAAUGAUCAUUAUUGCUUUGCAUGUGAAGUAGAUGUAACAUCUAGUGACAUCCUUCUGCAACAGGGAGAUCCUUUAACAAGCACUUAACAAGACAUCAAUUGAGCUUUAGAGGAUAGGAUGGGAAGAAUACUUUUUUUUUUUUUUUUUUAUUUUAUCUCAAGAGGCAUAUCAGAUGAUAUUGUCUUAUUUGUUUAUCCUCUUAUACCUUAAUCUCAUUUAUUUGUAUCAUUUAUUUAACGAUCGAGAUCUUAUAUAUCGUAUAUAUUUCAAGACCCAAAUCUUUUGUUCGAGAGGUACCACUUUGGUAUCUUAGCAUUUUCCUUGAAGGAUGGAUAGUUGGAAGGAGUCAAUUUCAAUGGAAGCUGUGAAAUAAUAUGCUUAGAAAAGAUGAGGUUGGGUAAAUUAGUAAUAGUUUCAGGCAAAGCAACAAUAAGAGACAUGGUGAAUGAAAGAGAAAAAGAAGAUACUUGUUGGAGCUUCACAGUCUGAUUCCAUAACAGCAAAAAAAAAAACAAAGAAAAUUUUGAAUUGUAUUAUGAUUCACUAAUUUGAUGUCACAGAUGUGUACAGGAUGCUAGAAAUUAAUUUACAGUAAUAAUCACUAGUCAACCUAAAAUCUAGACAGUCUUUUUUUUUUUUGGUUAUCCAUAUUCUUUUGGGAGAAAGCUCCAAAUAAUGAGUAUAAUCAGCACCUCAGAUGUGAAGUUCCAUGUUAAAUGGCGAAAAUAAAGCAGGCCUAAGAAGACUGACAGGCAAAGGAGGUUGUUCAUGUUUACUGCCCCAUAAAUCUGCACCAAACAAUUCAUAUAGUGUUAUUGGAUUAGAAUAACACAACAGCAACACAAAAUUCACUAAGAUAGAGAAAAGCAGCAACGAAGUAGUCUAACAUCAACUUCUAUACAUAUAAAUUUGUAGGAGAAGAAAACCUCUGAAACUGUUAAAGGAGCAAUCCUCAAUUUCUUUUGGCUGGCAAAGAUUAGAGCAGACACUGCUUCACUUGAGCUAGCAAAAGGCAGAACAAUGAAUGAGACAAAGAAAGGAGGAAUGUUUGUAGCAGAGUAGAAGUUGCCAACAGCAUUGACAAGAGGAUCGACAAAUGUAGCAGCGAUAAGAGUUCCCAACAGCAAUAUAAACACUCCUUUGAAGGCACUCCAUUUGGGAUUUUCAAUCUUCUCAGCCGUAUAAAACUGAAUCCCCAGAAGCUCAUUCCCUUUGCUUGUGGGCUGAAUAUGCAUUUUAAAGAUGUCAGAUUACUAGUAGUGAGGACUUGAUCAGGACUAAACCGAGAAUAACAUGAAACUGACUAACAUACCGUGUUGAAGUCAUCUAUAAUUAUUCUUGUCUGGAAAUCACUGUCACUUGAACAAACUGCUGAAUGCUUAGCCUUAUCAUACCAUUUUGAGAUUCCUAUGAUAAAUGCAUCCAAGUUAAUUUUGGAAUCCCCACAUGCAUCAAAAUCUGUCAAUACUUUCCCAACAGCCUCAUCAAUAUCUGAAUCUUCUUUAAUCUGGAUUCCUGUUAUCAGUGCUCUUAACUCACUAGCCGAAAGCUGCUGAUCUGAAUCCUCUCCAAUCAUCUCAAAUAACCUGUCAUUGUAUCCAAGAAAGAGUUGAUCCAUUGAGAAUCAAGGCUGAUCAGACAAGUUAGAAAGGAAUUUGCUGAGUAUGUGAGGAUUGGAAUUGCUUCAUGCAAUUGAUGUGUUCGAAUCUAAUUUAGAAAAGCCCUAUGACUAGGGUUAAAAGGGACAUAUUCAAAGAGGAAAGAAGUUGAAAUUAUAACAAAGACUAACUUUUUUAUCACUUCUCUAUCAGGUUCCCCAUUAGCUGUUAAGAGCCUCCCCAGGGUACAACAUUUCAAAUGUUUUACAAUUCUCGACAUCAUAUGCUUAUCCUUUGCAUGUGUAAGUCUUGUUUUCAAAACUGAAGGGUGAAAGACCUGCAACAACAUUUGACUGGAAAUUUGAGAAGAUGGCAUAAGAAAAGGUUUGGCUACCAAAAAAAAAAAAGUCAACAAGAAGCAGCCUCUGAAUUUGAGUGGACAAAUACCUGAUGAAGGCAAUAUGCAAGCAAUAAAGAAAUAGAGAUAAUGAGGGAAAUCAAAACUGCUAAGCAAAUUUGUGAAGUUGUGUGGAGAACUUGUGAUAGUUGGAUUAUUAUGAAUGGCAUAACAGAUAUAACCAUGAUCCUUGCUGUAUAGCUAGCCCUGAUAUCAGUACUAGCAGCUGAACCUGAAAAUAGCAAUAAAGGAACAUGCAUUAUGUGCUAGGACAAUAAUCAAGCUAAGCAGCAAUUAACUUGUUAGAGGUAGCCAGAACUAAUAAUAUGCUUUAGCACGUAUACUGAUAUGCACAGAACUAAAAAAAUUUUACCUACUGCAUAACAAACUUCACAUGAAGAAAUACUUAAUUUGGACAGCGAAGAUAAAGAACAAUUAAAUAGUAAUAGCAUUUCAUAAUUCGAAGAUUUGAAUUAAUCCCAGUUGAAAAGUUGCUCCACAAAAUAUUCUUUCACACAUGACACUAACAGAGUCCUAAGAAGUGAAGAGGGGAGGUAAGUACCGACUAAGCUGAAUCCUCUGGCAUUUUUCUCCACAGGUUUUGCCCUCAAAUUUUCAAGAUCACACUUGCCAACUAUGAUGCAGCACCCUCCUAGCAAUGUUAGAAGCAUGGCAGUUGAUCCACCCAGCAAAGCACUCCCAGCUGACACCUGGCUUGAAGCAGUAUCCUUGUUUCCACAUAGUCUGGAUGCUUCAGAAAUGUAAAAGAGCAUUCCGUAAGUGCAUAGAAUGAUUAGAUUACACAUAGGCAUUGGAUCUUCAAGAACACAUCACCUAAACAAUUUCAGUGGAACAAAAAUGAUGAAACUUGACAAUUGGGAGGCUACAGACUAACAAAGGCUCACAACUGGCAUGAAUAACUAUGAAUCAUCUGCACUAGCCCACCCAAUGGCUCAGUAAACUAGAGGGAAAAAAACCAGAUUUAUUUUUGAGUUGAACCCUUGAACUAAUUACAAUUCUUUCUCUCUGGUUGUACAUUUUCAAGUAAACGUAUACAUUUUGUUCCUUUCAUCUGCAUCGAAAUCACUUGAAUUUGCACAUCUCAGCCACUCAUCUUCUCCAUCCAAUCCUCAUUUUGGUCAUUCUUGGCAAUGAAAAUCCUCUGAACUUUUUUCGAGGUUUUCAUCGUUUCCCAUUAGCAUUAUCCUCAAAAAGUUUCAUUCAGGCAUUUCAUCAAGCAGUUUAAACAACUUUCAGUUUCUCUACUCUUUGCUCCUUUUAGUACUUCUCUGUUUUGCAAUCAAACCAUAUCCUUCUAAUUAAGUUGAUACUAUUGUUGAAGUUUUGAUCACUACCUUAUCUACCACAAACAAAAAUACCCUGUUCACCUCCCUUUCUUUCAGUUCAUGCAUUCAAACACAAAAUCUAUAUAAACAAUUAGCCUGCAAGUACAACAGAAUCAUUAUAACAUGCAUGUGAUGCUAAGUGCACAUACCUCCCAAGCUUCAUCUGGUUGAAUUGAACUAAAAAUCAAAUUUAGUUUCCUUAAAACAUCAGAACCACAAAAGCAAAUCCAUUGUCACAAGAGGUUUUCCAAGUUCUCUAGACCUACAAAAGUCUGCAUCUAACACAUGUAGAGUGAAUUUUGUAUGUUGACACUUACACAAGGUUUGUGUAUAUAUAUGUCAUCAGCAUAAUAAUUGACUGGGGAAAAAGAAAGGAAAGUUUUGUUGUAUUUUUCAUAUCAAGGCAAAAAUAUAUAUAUAUAUAUAUAUAUAUAAAUAAAUAGAAACUGUUAGGGUCCCACCUAUUGAUAAUAGUAAUAGUAAUAUAAGGGAUAUCCCCAUACUACAAGCCUCUUUGAUGCAUAUAAAAAAUAUGCUAUGGUUGUUUUUUUUUUUUUUUUUGAUAUUUUUGGAUACUUAUGCCACCAAUUGUCUUUGUGCCACUUGUAUGGUAGAUGUAUGGAAUGUUCUGUAUUUUUUCUUUUCUCCUUGACUACUUUGCAGCUUUAUGUCCAUGGUAUUGGGUCCAGAAAAAUGGCAACUAGUGAAACAAAUAGGAGAAGAAAGAUUAAAAACAUGGCCCCUUUUUUCAUGGUCUUGAAACUAAGAACUUGAAUCAGAGAAGGUGCCCAGAUUGAAUCGAUAAUAUUUUUGGAAUUGCAAAUUCAACAAAUGGGUUGAGAUAUGGAAUGGAUGCAUACAAGUAACUUCUACUUGAUUUGGCUGAAAAUUAAAGUGACCCAUAAUUCUAAAAACAUGAUAGAUUUCAAGAGAGAUCUCAGCUUACAUCAAGCUUACCAAGGAUGAUAAUAGCAUCAGGAAGAGAGCUGAGCAGAGGUAGAAAAACUCCACCAGUAAUCCCAGGACUUAGAAGUUCCACCAGAAUCUCACUUCCAUCAUACAAAAGCCUGGCUGCAAAGAACAUCAAGUAACCAUAAACCAGGAUAAGGAAUACAUUUCCAAACACAGUGGUGGUGCAUGGCAUGACCCCAUGUGUCUGUUUACAGCUAUAUGGUGAAGGCCGGUGCUCAAAAACAACAAAAGCUGGUUGCUGAACCUCUCCACCUCCAUUAGAGACCUGUCCAGAGGAAGAGUAUUUAGGUGCAAUAUAUCGACAAUUCCCAGGGUUCACUUGCAGGAGAAGAAGCAAUUGUAGAAGAAGUAAUGCAUGUUUCUUUCCCAUGUUUGAGCUUGGCUUUGUGACCAGAACCUGAAGGGUCCCAUAUAUAUUGUAACCAUUCUUGUCCUUAUUGUCUUUAAUGGUUUUAUCUUUGAUGCUGGUCGAAAGCUUGUGUCUGGUCGUUGCGCCUUGUAGGCCCACCAGGAACUGAUGAAAUAAUUGGUGCGUGUUGAAUGGGAACUUAGAAAAUGUGAUGGGAAUUAUUUGGCAUGAGAAAAUAUUGUUAAAUAACGUAAAUUACUUUUCCGAAUAAAUACAAAUACGUGGAUGUUGAAGCAAUAUUUAAAAAAUAAAAAAUAAAUAGUGGUUCUUACUUCGUUUUAUUGAAUCAUUUCAAUUGCUUUUCCAAAUAAGAGGUGGAUGCAAUGUUUUGAUAAAAUAAAUAAAUAAAUAAAUAAUGAUUUUUCGUUACCCACACCCAUUUGAAACUCUAAAAUUAAUGUCAAAAAAUUAUUAGUUAAUCCAACAAUCACAGGAUUGUUAAAGAUAAUUUAUGGGAUAAAGAUAAUGUUAAAUGAUACCGAAAAAGUCAAUUCUACAAUUAAUUGAUUAUCAACAUAUUAAGUAUUAUAUGAUGAGCUUGAUUUAGGGUGUUGCACUUUAUUAUUCAUAUUUAAAUCAAUGCCUAUUGAAAAGUAUGAUCAAUCACAACAUGUCAUAUAUAUAAUUUAAUCUCAUGAUUUUAUAUCUCAUUCAUAAGUCAUUAAUUUAUUUGUUUUUAACUUAAUAUGAUAUUUUCCUAUUUGUUUAUACUUGAUCUCAUAUAUUUGUACUUUCAUGAUUAAAAGAUCACUAAGUACUAAUAGCCAAGCAUUUUUCUUCUUAUAUUUACGCGAGUCUUGGUUCAUUUCCACAAUUUAUGAUCAAUCUUCGAUGAUGUAGAAUUCAGGUUAUUUUAACUUGUGAGUCUUUUUCACACAGGAUUUGAAAUAUUAAGAGUAGAACCAUGAUAAUGUAAAUUAGGUAGGAAGCAAUGUGGACUACAACCAAGCCAUAUAAUGUCCAAUACGUUUCUAAAAAUUUUUAUUUUAUGCCCUUACAAGUUUUGUUUUGUUUUAUUUUCAAAGUAACGUGAUGUGUAAGCUUCAAAGUGCUCACGCUCACCUAUCUUAUUCAUAUUAUUAUUAUUAUUGCAAAAUCUUUGAAGAAGUCACUUCUCUUCAUGUUGGAGAAUUGUAGAAGAAGCCAUUGACAACAAAAUCAUGAAUGUUCUUAAGCUACAAAUUAAACUUGACACCAUUGGCACUUUUCUAAUACAAUUUCGCGGCUCCCACACAAAAAUAGUCUUAGGGGAGUGGUCAAUUAUGUGGAUACAAUGAUGAACUCAAGGAAAAUUAUUGAGACAUAUAAGAUCAAAGGUGUAUCAAAUUAAAGCCUUAGUUAUGAUUAGUGAUGUAUAAUCAACUGCAAUAUAUAAUAUUAAUUUAAUUGGAGUCAUAGAACCGAUGGUUACGAUUUGAAAAAUAUUAUAAUUAAUAUAGAGAGACAUGAUGCCAUGGGUGGUCCAAUCCUAUCGGUUAUAUAAAAUAUGAUUUGAUGAAAAGACUAAGAUGAUAUAACAUAAGAAUCUCCUUAAAUAUUUUUCAAUUUUUUAGAUAAAAUUAUAAUUUAUUGAUAGGCUCAAUUUCAAUUGUAAAGUCAAAAACAAAUUACCCAUGAAAAAAAGUGUUUUAAUCAUGACCUUUAAUACUAAUUUGUUAAAAAAGUUGUUCAUCAUAACUUUUAAGACUAAUUUGUGCAUGUGCAUGGCAAUCAAUGCUUAAAAGAAAAGUUGUCUAACCUUUUAUAAGAUUCAUGUGAGUUUGACAAGUGAAGUUGAUGCUUUUUUUUUCUAAUAUCCAUGUAUCUUGAUUAAAAAAAGUUGCUAAAAGAUUAAUGGAGUUGGUUAAGAUAAAAACAAAAAAGAAUAAACAAUUAAAAAUUAACAUAUUUCUUAAUUUACCUUUACUACUUUGUAUUUGUGGAAAAUCUUAUUCAAUAAUUUUUUAAUUCUUAGGCAUCAGAAUGGAUAAUAUUGAAUAACUAAUUUUCCUAAAAGCUUAGAAUUGCCUCAUAUCCAUACAUGAGAAUUUGGAUUCAUAUUCAAUAAAGAAUUACAAAGAGUGAGAUGAAAACAAAUGUGAAAAAUAAACAUACAAAUUACAAAUAGAUGACUUAAACCACAACCUUUUGUCAAAUCAAGUUCUGAUACUACGUUAAAUAACCAAUUUUCCUAAAAGUUUAAUCUUAUAGGAUUUAAAUUCAAUAUGCAUAUUAUGCCUCCUUAUCAAAUAAUAUAUAUUUUUUAAAAAUUAGCGGUAUGUGAUAUGACGUACAUAAAUUUCAAUGGAAGUUAUUAAGAAAAUGCAAUGAAACAUCAAAUACAAACAGGUGUAGAGCUUCAUAUAUAGUCAUCAACUGAAAAAAGAACUGAAAAUAUGGGUGUACCCUUGAUGCUCUUUUUGCUGUCUUUGAACUGAAAAUGUGUCUAUGACCAUCCCAAAUAAUUGUCAAGAACAUACACCAACACCAAGGAUAAUGGGUAAAGCAGGAAGGCCAUCAAGCUUGUCCAAAGAGGGAAAGUUGUACGGGUACCAGCAAAGACUCCCAUCAGUAUGCAUACUAUCAGAAUAAUCAGCACCUCAGAUGCGAAGUCCCAUGUCAACUGGCGAAAGUAGAUGAGACCCAAGAAGACAGACAAGCUAAGGAUGUUGCCCAUUGUCACUGACCCAUAAAUCUGCAGAAAGAAACUCAAUGGUUAUGGAGUAGGCCAUUAUUACGCCUAAUUUUAAGGUUGAGAAGAGGAGAAGCAUACCUCAGAAAAUGUUAAAGAAGCAGUCCUCAACUUCUUUCUGCUGGCAAAGAUCAUGGCUGAUACUGCUUCACUGGAGCUAGCAAAAGGAAGAACAACAAAUGAGACAAAGAAAGAAGGGAUGCUUGUAGCAGUGGAGAAGUUGUCAACAGCAUCAACAAGGGGAUCGGCAAAUAUAGCAGCAACAACUGUGCCCAAAAGCAACAUGGCUACUGCUUUAGAGGCAUUCCACUUGGGAUUUUUAAUGCUCUCCACUUCCUCCUCUUCAUUCUGAUCCUCCAACUUAUCCUGCUCCUCUCUUGUUCGCUGCAUAUGCAUUUUAAGGAUGUCAUAGUACUAAGUUACAAACAUUCGGGACUGGAUAAAGAAAAACUUGACCCUUGACCAUGACAUACCAGAUUGAAGUCAUUUAUAUAUCUUGUUGACAGGGAAUUACUGCCAUCACUGCCAGCAUGAAUUGCUGAACGCUUAGCCUUAGUAAGCCAUCUUGACAUUCCUCUGACAAACUCAUUCAUAUCAAUUUGGGAAUCCCCCGUUGUAUCAAAAUCUUUCAUUACACUUUUCACAGUUUCAUCAAUAUCCAAAUCCGCUGCAUCAAACUGGAUCCCUAUUAUCAGGGCUCUUAUAUCAGUAACAGAGAGGUACCCAUUCGAAUUUACAUCAAUUGUCUCAAAUAACCUGCCAUCAUAUCCAUGAAUUAAAGGGUAUAUUGAGAGAAUCAAGGUUGAUUAAUUUUCAAGUUUCCAGUCAUGAUUUUGUCAAGUAUUUGUGCUUCCCUUCAGGCCUGAGUAGUUUGUUAAUAAGAUCUCAUUCAGUUAAUUUAUGUGCAGAUUCCCAUAGUGCCUAAUUCAGUGAAGUGACCAAGAGACAGAUUCAACUCAAAGUGCAACAAAGACUGACUUUUUUAUGGCUUCUGUAUUAGGUUCACCGUUAUUAGUGAAGAGCCUUCCCAGGAUAUGGGACUUCAAAUGUUUUAAAAUUCCCGACAUUAGAUGUUUAUGCUUUGCAUAUGCAAGUCUUCUCUUCUGAAUCCUAGGCUGAAAGACCUGCAAUGGUGUUGAUUGGAAAAACGCAAAGAAGCUCAGACAACAAAGGAUUUGGUUACUGAAAAAAUAGACAUCUUUCAACAAGAAGCAACAAGGGAAUGUAUAUAAAUCCAAGUAGAUGAACAUAUACCUGAUAAAGGCAAUAUGAAAGCAAUAAAGAAAGAGAGACAAUGAGUGAAAUCAAGACUGUUAAUCGAGCUUGCGAAGUUGUAUGGAGAACUUGUGAUAUUUGGACUAUAAUGAAUGGAAUAACAGAUAUAACCAUGAUCCGAGCCGCAUAGCUGGCCCAGAUAUCAGUACUAACGCCUGAACCUGAAAAGACCAGAAAACACACACACACACACACAUUAUGUACCAGGAUCAUUAUCAGAAAAUUUUGUAUUAACCCCUGUAAUUCUGAAGUCUUGUUUAAUUACUCUUUCAAUUGAAAAGUUCAUCCAGUAAAUAGUCCAUGACUGAUCAAUAAAUGACCAAAUGCAGAGGUUUAUAAAUAAAUGAAGUUGAGGGAAUUACCAGUUAAGCUGAAUCCUCUGGUGUCUUUCAAAUCAGUAGCCACUGAAUUUUCAAUGUCACACUUGCCAACUAUGAUGCAAGAUCCCCAUAGUAUUGUCAGAAGCAUAACAGUUGAUCCAGCUAGCAAGCCCAUACCAAUUGAGACCUGACUUUGAGCUGUUUCUUUGCUUCCAGAUAGCCCAGAUGCUUCAGAAACACAAAAGUUUCACAACAAAAAAGUCAAUAGAAGUAUGAUUAAUUAGACUACAUAAUGAUAGUCAUCAACUGUGUGCAAACACGUUGUUGAAUUUAUUGAAUAGUAUGAAGAAAGUCUAUGAAAAUUAACAAUUGGCAAUAACAAUUGUGAAUUAACCGAAAAACUUGGACUUGGGGUAGCAGCUAUUUUGGAUCUGUUUUUGUUUUAGUUCCAGUUAAGUUUGCCCUCAGAUGGAUCAUUGAGGCUUUCAUCAAUAUCCACACUAUUUCAUGCCAUUUGGCCAUUUGUAAACAACUGAUUUUUUCCUACUAAUACUAUUAGCUUUAUUUGGUUGCAUAGAAUUGGAAUCCAAUUCCCCUGAACCCCACAAUCCAAAAAUAAACAACUGAAUAAAAGAAAAUAGAAGGAAAACCCAUGGUAAAAACAAGGAUUUGAAUUCCAAAUUGUCCAAAUCUGCAGAACCAAGAACAACCCAAAUCUUCCAAAAAUCUAGGAGAUGUGUAGCCCUUAAUCCUAGCUGAUAUCAUUGUAGGCAACUUGAAUCAGUUUUGGAAAAAAAAAUUCAUCUAUCACAUGUGACCAGUCCAUUUUGUGCAUUAAGACUUACAGAGGGUAGAUAUUUAUAUAGUAAGAAAUCUAAUAUUCCCAUUGUAUGUAUUUGCUUACUAUAAUAAUUGCACCCAUCGGAAAUCUCGGAUCUGAUAAUGGAGUUAGUAAGGUUGAACUUUCUUUGUUGGCAAUAAUAAUAAAAGAGAUAAGCACAUGUCCAUGGAAUACUUUUCAUACAUAUGUUUUUCUUGACAACUUGGAACUUAUGUCAAUGGUAUUAGGUAUAGAAAAGUUGCAGAAAGAGAGCAAGUGGGAUUAAUAUAUAUUAAUCUUGGGCCCUCUUGCCAUGGUUCCAAAAAUCAGAACUCAAGUUAGACAAGGUACCCAAAUUGAAUUGAGAAAAAACAAUGUUUACAAUUCAACCUAUUGGUCAAGAACACAGACCAGAAUGAAGAGAAAAGCAAAUGAGAUCAGUUUUAUCAAUUUGGGUGGGAAAAGUGAAUGAUGGAUCAAAACGGUAUGAUGGAUUUCAAGCUUACCAAGGAUGAUAACAGCAUCAGGAAAAGCACUGAGCACAGGCAGGAAAAGCCCACCAAUAAUUCCAGGACCAAGAAUUCCCAGCAGAAUCUCACUUCCAUCAGACAAAAACUUGGCUGCAAUAAACAUCAAGUAACCAUACACAAGGAUUAGGAAGAUGUUUCCCAGCACAGUGGUCGUGCAUGGCAGGAAUCCAUAUGUCUGGUCACAGCUAUCUGAUGAAGCCCAAUUCUUAAAAACAAUAAAUGCUGAUUGCUGAACCUCUCCAACUCCAUCAGAGACCAGACCAUAGGCAGAGUUAUCUGCGACCCCCUGACCCUUUCCGCCAUUGAUCAGCAUCAUGAGAAAGAGAAAGGCUAGAAGAAAGAGAGCAUGCUUCUUUGCCAUGGCUGAGCUUGGCUUUGUGAUCAGAAGCUAAUAUGUUAGGUGUCUUCUGGUUCUUUUCCACAUUGCCUUAAAACAUGCCUCAUACUUGGAGAACUUGUAGGUGAGGAAGAACAGGUGGUAUUGGGAAAUUUAAAAUGGGAGGCUUGAGUCAAGUCAAUGGAAGAGGUUUUACAGAUAUGGGGAAAAAAAAAAUCAAUAGAGAAGAACAAAAAAUCCUAGGUAUGGUAUCACAUCAUGGGAUUUUUAUAAGAGUACAGCAGUUUCAAAAAAUAAUUUCUAAAUUAUCGUAGUAGAAAAAAUAAUUCCAAAUCUACCAUAGUUUUGUCCAAAUAGGAAAGAGAAAAUAACUUGUAAGUGAAAAAUCGUCUCCGAUUUUCAAAAAAUAAAAAAUAAAAAUAAAACAAAGUGAGAAAUUGUCUCUUAAAGAGACGAUUUCCACACAAAAGUGAAAAAUGGGAAAUCGUCUCUUCAAAAGACGAUUUCCAUGUGAGAAAUUCUCACUUCAAAAAAAAAAAAAAAUCUUCAAAAAUCCAUUUUUUCAUUCUUUAUUUUAUUUAUACAAUAAUACAAUUAUUGUAAAUAUAUAUUAUGAAAUUAAUUAAUUUUAUUUACUAAAUUUAAUAUAUAAAUAAUAUACUAAAUUUAAUAUAAGAUAAAUAAUUUAUUAUUUUUUUCUCUUACUUUGGAAUUAAAAAAAAAUUAUUAUCAAUUAUGUGAAAAAUGAGUUUUAAAAACAAUUGUUAUUAAUUUAUUAAAUAAUUAUUUAGUAUAUUAUUUAAAGAAACCCAAGUAGAAACCGUUUCUUCAAGAGACGAUUUUCACACCACCUUUAAAAGCGAGAAAUUCUCACUUUAAACAAAAAAAAAAAAAAAACCCUUCAAAAAUCCAUUUUUUCUUCUUACUAAAUAACAUACUAAAUUUACUAUGGUUUUUUUUUUUUUUGAAGUGAGAAAUUCUCACUUUAAAAGGUGGUGUGGAAUCGUCUCUUCAAGAGACGAUUCCCACUUGGGAUUUUUUUAAAUAAUAUACUAAAUAAUUAUUUAAUAAAUUAAUAACAAUUGUUUUUAAAAUUCAUUUUUCACAUAAAUUAAUAAUAGUUUUUUUUUUAAUUCCAAAGUAAGAGAAAAAAUAAUAGAUUAUUUAUCUUAUAUUAAAUUUAGUAAAUAAAAUUAUAAUAUAUAUUUAUAAUAAUUGUAUUAUUGUAUAAAUAGAAUAAAGAAUGAAAAAUGGAUUUUUGAAGGCUUUUUUUUUUUUUUUUUUGAAGUGAGAAUUUAUCACAUAUAUAUUCUUGAAGAGACAAUUUUUCACUUGCAAUUUAUUUUUUCUUUCCUAUUUGGACAAAACUACUGUAAAUUUGGAAUUAUUUUUCCUAUUACGAUAAUUUAGAAAUUAUUUUUUAAAACUACCGUACUCUUAUAAAAAAAUCCUCACAUCAUGGUGAAUGAGUUAAUUACAUACCAAUGUAUCAUACCAUAUCAAAUCUAUAGUACCAUUUGUCAUAUUGUUGUUUAGCCCAGAUUUCAUGUGCCUUUUUUGUUAUUCUUUUAUUUUUAUAAAAUUAUAUGUUCAUGAAAUAAUGACUAAGAAAUAGAGAGGGGGUGUUUUCAAAUUUAGGGCAUUGUUUAGCUGUACUGAAAUAAAUUUGAUACUAUCUAUUUAAAACUCAAAGUCAAUUAGUAACUAGUACAAUAUCAAUUAGGAGCGAUUUCAUGUAAUUCUAAGUUGUUAAUUAACAUAUGUGUGAUUUUAUUUUUUUUAGAAGCAUGACAUUGUUGAGCUUUAGUCGAGGUAAACUUGAUAUCAGAUUUUGAUUAAGAUUAAUCGUGUUUAUAUCACGUUAACCCCCUUUGUAGGGACCUCUCCCCCUGGGAAACACGUGGCACGCAGCUCAUGGUGACGCGUGGCACGUGUUAUCAGCCGAACCAUCAUCAUCCGGAUUCCCCUAAGGAUAUGCAUGGUGCAGUUAUCCUAUCCGGACCGCCUCAAGGAAAGGCAAACGACGUUUCAGCUUCUCCUAUCCAAGGAAGAGCAAACGACGCUGGCAGAGCGUAGACAUCCGGAUAGUCCCCACAACACAUCCGGAUAAUCAGCAUGAGCCAUCCGGAUAUAAAUCGUCUGGAUGGUCAAUUAAAGUAGCGUAGACAUCCGGAUAGUCCCCACAACACAUCCGGAUAAUCAGCAUGAGCCAUCCGGAUAUAAAUCGUCUGGGUGGUCAAUUAAAGUAAAGUGAGUCUUACACGCAAUCACAACAAGCAGCCAUGGCCCACAUCUUGUCACCUGCAGAGUGAAAAGACAAGAUGAAGUGAUAGCAAGUCACUUCCCACGAUCAUUCUACAUGAUCACCUUCCCACAAUCUCUGACAGCCGCAUCACCUACCAUAGUUUCUGACAGUCGUUCGUAGGGUGAUAAUGCUCCUACUAACACCUAUUGUCAUCAUCACAACAUAAAAUAUCUCCUCACCAUUAAUGAGAGGAACAGUACCCCUGAAGCUGUAUAUAUAUGCCUUCGCACGAAGAAAAAAGGGAUCCCCCUGGUAACCUCUUGAUACCUAGUAAAAGGCCAACUAAUUUAUACAUCUCUCUCUCACCAUGGCUAACAAAACCAUCGGAGGGUGCGUCCGGACACCUUGUCCGGAUGCCUUUUGCAGGUGCAACCGCUGAAUCAAGAACCCCUUGUGUGUUGAGAAUCACGUGUCCAUCCAUAUAGUAGCAACGUGGACCACCGGAUACGCGAGGCGACAACACCCUUAACCUAUUCUUGAUUGAAUCCUUUUAAUUCAGACACAACUCACGGAUUUAAUUCAUCGUGUCUGUUUUAACAUAAUUAUAACUCAACCAAUAAUAUAGUAGUACUAUGAUUCAACCCAUAUAUCACCCACUUAUUCUUAUAUAUGGUAAUAAAUUUUAAGAUUAGAAAUAAGGUUGUUAUUAAUAAGUUAUAUUAAUUUUAUUAUUUUUUAGAAACCAUUUAAAAAAAAUAAAUUAUUUUACAAUUUAUCCAAAUUUAGAGUUUGAAUGAGUUGCAUGAGUCAAAAUCAUAUUAAUUGUAUCAUACUUAUAUUUGGAUUAUUAGUUUUGUAUCAAGCUAAUAUAGUUUAAUUUAACUUUGUCAAAUAAUUUGUCCUAUCAUAUUACCUAUGUAAUAAAUAAUUCAUAUUUGUGUUAAAAAAAACUAAUAUUAUUAUUAACUGAAUUAAUUAAAAAAAACCUUUAAUAUGAUAUAAAAUUUGCAACAUGACUUAGAGUUUGUUUAAUAGUAUUUUAAAAAAAUAUUUUAACAUAAAAAAUAAACUAUUUUUGGAGAAAAAUCAUAUAGUUUUCAAAAAUUAAAAAUAUUUUUUAAAAAAUUAAAAAAAUCACUUGUAAUAUUUUAUAGAUGAUGCACCCAAAAGCACUUCUAAAUAAGGCAUUUUAACUAAAAACACCUCAGAUAUAAAUGUUUUCAAAGACACCCUUAAUUACCAUUCUUCGUAAUAAUGCCAAGUUUUGUAAGAAGGCAUGAAUUUAAAUAUUUCUUCUUAUUUAUUUAUUUUCCUAUUUAUUAAUGAAACUUACAUGUGAGCCAAAAAUAAAGGGCACAUGGGAUAGUGUUUUACUAUAUAACUCUGAUACAAAUAAUAAUAAUUGUGUCAAAAAUAUAAACUUAAAUACUACUUAAUUAUUAAACAUAUAACACAUCGUAUAUCUUAUUUAACCCAUUUAAUAAUCAAGUUAUUCUAUUUAAUAAUUAGGUUGGGUUAGGUCUUAUAAAUGUCUACAUGAUUAAUGCCUCAACUAAAUAUGUUUAUGAUUUAUUAGACUUAUUUAUUUAAAAAAAAUCAAAUAUAGGUGAAAUAAUUUAAAAAUAUAAUUAAGUUAAUAAUAAAAUUAUUAGACGGAUCAAUUCUCGUAAUAUGGAGGUUGAUCUAAAAAUUACUUAUUUAUUAAAGGAGUGAUGUAAAUUAAUUUGAAUUUGAUUUAAACUCAUUUAUAUUCAAUUUAAAUUCACGAAAAACAUUGAUGUUAAGCUUUGUGACCCCUAAUCAAUAGAUUAAGGAGGAAAAUUAAUACCAAUAAAUGACAUAACAAAAUAAAAAUAAUAGGAAGUUAGAUAUGGUAGAUGGUACAAUGAAAGUGGAAAUUGGAAACAAAAAUUGUAAAUUGACUAUCUUGACCCUCCUACAAAAAAAGUAGAGAUACUAGAAAUAGGAAGGCGAAUCGCUGGUAAGCUCUUGCUCACUUCCUUUGAUGGUGAAUUUCAGAGUGGGGAAACCAACGGUAAAACCAUCACGCCAAUCACCAUGUCCUCUCCUUCCGAUUCUCAGGGUCCGGAUGAGGCUCUCAUCACCCAAAACCCUAGCAUGCCCACUGAACAACAUCCACAAUCUCAAGCUCAAACUCUCUCCCUUAAAACCCUAACCCUAGAAAUCGCCGAUCCCCAAAACCCUGAACCAAGUGAACAGUCACACCCUCAACACCAGCAAAUCUCUAUCGAAGAUGAUCAAGAUGACCCAGAAGGUACGUCUCCUUCUUCUUCAUCAAUUUCCGUUUCACACAUCACCAUCACCAUCCCCGACUCAUCUGCCCCUCAAAAUCCUCCUCUCACCACGCCCACCAAUGCUCGCCGUUCACUCAAGCGCAAGAAGGGAGCUCAGUACAAGCGACGUACUGCUCUUGAAAAAUUUCAGCAGCAGAAACUUGGUGCACUUAUUAAAACCCUAAAUCCGAUCCCCUUUGUGCCUAAUAAAACCCUAGAUUUUUCCAAGCAUGAGUCGCUGCUUAAUCGUCUUGGGUUGUGGGAAUUUGUUCAUAUUGAGUUUGAUCAGACCAUUCGCACAGAUCUUCUUGCGCAGUUGAUUGCAAAUUAUACGCAGAGUGCGAGAGGCAGUGUUGUUAAUGGGGCUAAGAUUAAGGUCAAUAGGGCUGAUCUUGCUCGGGCGAUGAAGUUGCCGGUGAAGAAGGAGAAGGUCAGUGCAUCGUCGGAGGGUGUCUUGGAGGCUCCGGCGGCAGAGGAGGCGAUUGGAUUUAUUGAGGAUUUGGUCUCAAAUUGGGUGCUUUUACACGAGGAUACGUGGAUGAUGCCAACGGAGGUUUUGACUUGGACGCGGGUGAUUAAGGAGGGGCACCCGGAGAAGGUAGAUUGGGCGGGGUUGAUAUGGUUUAUGGUGGAGAAGGAGUUGCAUGCAGAAGAAUUGGUGAAUUGUUACUAUGCUUCACAUUUGCAGUGUUUGAUAAGAGCACAAAAGGAGGAGCUUUUGAGGGCAGAGGCUAAGGAUGAGGUUGAAGUGAAGGAGGAAGAGGAUGGUGGUGAUGUGGAGAUGGGUGAGGAGGGUGAUUUUCCAGAUCGUGAAGCAGAUGAUGAUGAUGUGAAGAUGGAUGAAGAUGUGAAGUUGGAUGAAGAGGUGAAGAUGGAUGAAAAUGUGAAAAUGGAUGAAGAUGUGAAGAUGGAUAAAGAUGUGAAGGUGGAUGAGUAUGUGAAGGUGGGUGAGGAUGUGAAGGUGGAUGAAGAUGUGAAGGUGGAUGAAGAUGUGAAGGUGGAUGAGGAUGUGAAGGUGGAUGAAGAUGUGAAGGUGGAUGAAGAUUUGAAGGUGGAUGAAGAUUUGAAGACUGUGGGCUUGGAUGAUAUUCAAGGACAUGAAUUGGAGGAACAUAAUAUUCAAUUACGUUUGGGUCAAGAUGGCGUUGGGAAGGAAAAGGUAAAGGAUGAGGACAAUAUGGAUUUUGAUGAGUGCAAGGAGCAAGAACCUGGGCAGUGGUUCUUGGACGGGAAGAAUGAUGAUAAUGAACCAUACUUGCGUCCUUGUACUCUUGAUGACCUUAAGGGUUCAGUUUGUGAUGAGGAAAGGAAACAAGAAGAAGAUGAAGAAGAAGAAGGAGAAGAGGAAGAAGAGCAGGAUCGUGGUUUUAAUCUUUCACCAAAAUGUGGCAAUUUAGCUGGUCUAUCCUCGGAGAACCUUAUUCACGCAAUGGAAGCAUCACAAGUUCCUUUUAAUUCAUCAGUGCAGCUUCGUGAUCAUUCUUCCAUGGAGCUUCUCUCAUCAAGGGCUGAAGCAAAUAUGAUUCCAGGGGGUCCAUCCAUUUUCAGUAACUCUAGCAAGAGAGAUAUCAGCCAUGAACAUGAUAUUUCUCAUCAAUCUCUAAAUAGUAGUCAUAAGAGGUUGAGGAGUGACUUUGACAUGUGUAUGGAGCAAAUAGAGCAUUGGAUGGGAAAGGCCAAGAUGCUUCAUCAGGCAAAAGAACAAGCUUAUGCUGAAUCAAGUAUGAAUCAGCAAUUCUUAAUUGGUGAGCUGCAACAGCGAGACAACCUGAUUGAACUUUUGCAGAAAGCCAAGUUUGAGGAGUUUCAGAAAAGAGAAGUGGAAACAUACCGGCGGGAUCGUGAACUUUUUGUGAUGGGAAAUCUCUUAGAGAGCUAUAGGAAGGCUUUAAGAGAAACACAGCGGGCAUUUUCUGAAUAUAGAGCACACUGUCCACUUCCUGAUGAGCCACUUUACAAUGAUGUUGGUGAGACAGGGGGUGUUGUUCUGAGCACCAUGGAAUUGGAAAAACAACGUCGGAGGCAGGAAGAAGAAUAUAGGAUGAACUGUUUGCUGGUGGAACAAAAGAUUAAGGACUUUGAGGUUGUGUGGUUCAACAAAUUAGAAUUGCAUCUGAAUGUGGUUCAUAUGCUUGAUAGCAGGUUGAUGGAUGCUGAGAAGCAUGUAAAACUUCUCAAGGAAUCAUAUGCUAAACGGAAGGUUUCAGAAACAUCAGAACCUGCUCCAAAAGAAUGAUAAAUCGUCUAAAAGGUUUUUCCGUUUGGAAGUUAUCAAAAUGUCAGUGAAGGACAAAUCAUAAUUGUAAGUCCUCUUUAGAUUUUGGUGUAGCUUUUUGUAUCCUUAUAUAAUACAUGUGAUGCUGCAUUCAAAAUAUUGCUGAACUACAGACCAAUACGUAACUGUACUACUAACUGGAAAUUUGCUUUAUGGUCUCUGCUGAUCUUUUGUCUUUUAUCAGUCAUAUUUUUUUUCCUGGGCCAUAUUAUCAUAUACAUUUGAAACUGAAACCCAAGUGUGCCUUGGCCUCCUCUGUAUGUCUGUGGAUUAUGGUCAAUUUGUGGAUUCUAUUCGGAGUCCAUUUGGUCAUUGAUUGAUUGGAAUAUUAUGGAGAGCAAAUAUCUUUCAACUCUAUAUUCAGUUCUCUAAAAGCUAAUCCAAGUGUAUAGUACAGAUUCAGAUGGUGCAGGAAAUGGAUAUGCCAACAUGGAAAAUUCUGGAGAAGUACAUGGACAUGAGAGGGCACUAUCCACAAUGUUUUAAUAUAUAUACAUUUGCAUAAGUUAGGCUUGAAUUUCUUUUCCUUUGUUUUGAUCAUGUUUGUAAUUAGGGAAGCAUUACUCAUCCUUCUCUUGUUUAUUCCUUUUUAAUGGAAAUGUUUUUAUCUUUGAUCCAACAAAUAAAAAAUGAAAAAUCUUUGCAAAAGUUUGGUUAAGUUUGUUAAAGUUUUUUUAUGAUUUUUCUUUGAAACUAUAUUUUUUUUAUAUGCAAAGAAAAGAUUAAUUCUAUUAAAAGCGCUUAGCCAAAGAGUACACAAAAGUAUGCACAAUGUAUACAAAGAUGCUUAAAAGCUAAACAAAGCAAAGAGAGACACAAAAAACAAUAUUUUCUCCAUACUUAGAGCUCAAUCAACCAAUGAAGUCCAGUAUGGACAUUGAGUAAUAACCUAUAUAAACUCCUAUGCACCCCAAGAAAUUAUACAUAAAGAUUGUUUGUUGCUUGAUCCCCAUUUUCAAUAUUUUCAAAAGCUGUCCAAUUUCUCUCAUUCCAUAUUGUCCAAAAUAAGCACAAAGAAGUUGAUGUCUAAGCUUUCUUCCUCCUUUUUUCUGAUAAAGGAUACAAGCAACCCAAAAGGACACUUCUAACUAAGGAUUGCAUCACCCGCUUUAUACCAAAAAGGGCAUAAAUGAGUUCCUGCAAAAUGACUGCCUUUGAAACUAUACUCCUUUUUCUUAAGUGGAAUGUUGUUUCAUUUGCUAGCAUUCAACAAGGCUUCUGUUGUCCAAACCUUUGAAGCUCCUAAAGUCCUAAUAGCAAGGAAAAUGAUAAAACAUUUAUUUGAAUGUUAUGUAGAUUUCAGACUUUUGAACCCCCUAAAGUCCCUAAUAGUGAGUUCUUGUGCCAUUUGCUAUUUGGCUCUAGGUUCAUGCUGAGCAUUUUCUAACUUUUAAUAAUUGUUUUCCUUUCUUAUUCUGUAUUGAUGUUUUUCAUUUCAUCCAAUUCAGCCACAAUAGUAAAAAACUUAAAAUACAUUAUAGAAUCAUAUGAUCUCCUUGUGGACUUAAGGUGUGCCCCCUUUUUCUAGACACCUUCAAUUUGAAUUGUGGUGUGGCUAUCCAAAAAAAAAAAAUUAUAUAUACAUAGAUAAAUAGAUAGAUAGAUAGGUAUCAAACAAAGACAUUGAUCCUUUACUUAUGUACAUGCUAACCCAAGCUGAAAAAUUACAAAGGAAUGUAAGUUUUAUUUUUUGAUCAGUUUGCCCCUUAUUUUCAAAAGCUUUUUAAUUUCAUCCCUGCCAAAUUGUCCAAAAUAUGCAAAGGGGGGUGGUUUUCCACACAUUUUUCCUUUCCUUCCCUACAAAGAAACCAUGCCAACUAAACAAGAUAUCUUUCACCAAAGAAGGGAUCGUCCAAACUACAUCGAAUAAGGAGAACAAGAGAUGUCAUAGAAUCCUUGCUUUAGUGCAAUGAAGUAGAAUAUGGUCAAUAGACUCCCCCUCAAGUUUGCAAAGAAAUCAUCUAUUUGCUAUCAGUCGCCGUCUUUUGGAGAUUAUCUAAAGCCAACUUUUCCCCCAAUUGGCUUCCCCCCCAAAAAAAAGCUUACUUUGGAUGGGACCCAUGAAUUCCAGAUAAUGUUUGUUGGAAAGUGGAUUACCUUCCUCAUUUCCUAGACUGAAUAGAAAGGUUUGAUUGAAAUAGACCCUUUUUAGCAUCCUUCUAGAUCACCUUGUUAUUAUCUUCCCUUCUAAACGUCUUCAUUAGCAAGUGGCAGUGUGGAGAAAAAGGUCUCAACAAUGUCCAACUUGUAAUCAUUAAAGUGCUUGGUGAAACACAUAAUCCAAUGACCCCCCGCUCCUAAGUCUUCACAUAAAUUUGUUGCCCAGGCCUCCUUUGACAAACCUAACAUGGGCGCACGCACAUAUGCAUAGAUAUAGCGUACACACUCACUCACACACACACAUUAUAGAGAGCCCUUUCAUUUUGAAUUAAAGAAUUAAGAAUGAAUCAAAUCUCCCCAAGUAGGUUUGGAACCUACGACCAAUCUGUUAAUAGUUGACUACUCUGCCACUGAGCUACUGAGGAACAAAGAAAAGAUUAUAGGAAGUACUAGUUUUAGAAUCUAAUUGAACCAAAAGGGUGUGGCGUUUGGGUGUUUGCUCUUUCGAAGGAAAGAGAUUGCAACUGAGGUGGCCUUGAAGUUGGUUGUUUCUGAGAAAGGGCUUGUACAAAAGAUUUUGGGUGAGACUGGUUGGACUGUCAUUGCCCUUGUGGGGUAAGGACUUCUUCAAGAGAGUGGGUGAUACUUGUGGAGCUUUUGCAGCUAUGGAUGUGGAUAGCCAAGAGAUGCCAUUUACAAUGGACUAGAAUUCUAGUAAGCUCCAACAGGAGGGUCCCUAGUCCCUAUGAUCUUGCAUGUGGUGGUAGGGUUUUUAGUCUUCGUUGUUCAGUUAUGGUGGGAGAUCCCACCAUGGGAGUUGGUGUUUGUUUCGAAGGAGGGUUGUAGGGUAAUGGAGGUCAAGGAUGACAACGAGGGCAUAGUUUUAAAAGGUGUGCUUUAAGUGCACCUAGGCUCAAGGCACGACCACUCCCUAGUUAUAAUGCCUCUCUUGCCAAGACAUGUGCCUUAUUGAAGAGGCAUGCCUUAUCAACUUUGCUAUUCCUUUUUAAAUGCUAGUCUAGAAAUUUCUAGUUGUGUAUUGAAACUUAUAUAAUUUCAUUUUUUAUUUAUUAAAUGCUUCUUUUAAAUGUUUGGAAUCUUAAAUUUUUUAUUGAUUAGAUUAGAUUUGAAUCAUAUUUUAUAAGAUUGAUAUGCAUCCCAGGUCGCAUUUCACUUCACUUAGACACACACCUUGUGUUGCACCUUGUUCCUAAGCCAUAAGAGACUUUUGCGCCUUAGGUGCACCUUGCGCCUUUUAAAACUAUGGGUGAGGGAAGGGCACACACAGAGUGAAGUGGAGUUAGAGGUUGGGAAGCGUGCAAAAAGUUUGGGGCAGUCUAAGGUGCUUUUGCGUGCAACCCAAGUUGCUUUUACAUGUUGCCCAAGUUUCAGAUGGCGCAAUUUUUUCUAUCUACACUAGAGCUUUGGAGGCUAGUGGAUAGGUUCGGAGGAUAGUCUCUAAGCCUCCUUGUUUGGCUUGAGUUGGGCUGGUAGGCCAAGCAGGUUCAAGGCCUCUUUCUCCUAUAGCUUGAGUUGGAAGGCCUUGAGUGCUUUAGGCCUUGCUCUUUGUCUAUUGACCUAGACCAACCUGUGUACUUAUGUUGUGCUUCCUUUUGUUGAGUACUUGUUAAGCUCCUGUUAGAUUCAAUUAUUGUUUGCCUAUAAAAUGCAGCACAGAAUAUAGAGGAGAACAUGCAUAUUUUGACCCUUUUUUUGUGUAUUUUGAGAAAAUUAAUUUUAUAUUUCAUUUUUAUUUGAAGGAUUCUUUUACUACAAUGUGGGGAGAUGUUAUUACAUGGUUAAAAAAAGUGUUUAAAUUUUGUUUCUUUCUUCUGCCUCCCCUGAUAAAAAUCUUCCAUGGCAUGAUAUUUAUUUGUGAUCUCUGCAUUGAGGAAAGUUUGACCAUCACAUCUUUUCUUCCUUAUAUUUGUCAGUUCAUGGAGAAUUCUCUGUUGAAAAGUUGGAAAUUGGGAACAAGUUGUAGCAACACAUUGAGCAUGAUGUAACACACAAUGACAACUAUAACCUGAUGUCCUCAUAUUUGCUAUACCUUUGGGUGCAUUGUUUCUUACCAUCCAAUAUGCUGUAGUAGAAAGUGUUGACUGGCUAGCAUUUUGUUUCUUACUAUCCCGUAUGUUCAUGUUUGAACAAAAGUUAUUUGUUGGAGCCUGGUGUUGGUUUUACUAAUUUAUAUGUUAAUUUUAUGAAAAUUGAACAAUAAUAUAACUUCCAUUAAUAACCUCAUGUGAGUGUUAUUAUUACCUUCCAUUUCUUGCUUGGACUGGUGAAUUAUGAAAUAAGUGAUAAAAACCAAAAUAGUUUUUGUUUGUUGUGUUUUGUUUAAUCUACUGGAACAAUUUCCAGUUAUCUACAUAGUGGGGCCAAACUAGCUGUGGCUGAGUGUUUUUUGCAGGCUAAUAAUGGGUGAGACCCAGGAUAGACUCUGAGAGCACAAGCCCUUGAGGUAGAUUAGUGUGGUGGUCAAUAAAAGCUGUUAUGCAAUGUUGCUCUUAUGUUUAAACAAAACAAAUUCCAACCCCAUUUUCCCCUCCACCUCUCCCUCCCCUUGCAAAACUCAAUUAGGGAUCUCAGACUCUGUUCCUGUCACCAGUUCAAUCUGGGGUUUUAGCUUAUGCUGGAAUCUACUCAACAUUCAUUAUACUUGGAUUAUAUUUAUGCUAUAUAUAACCUUUAUUGUGGCCUGACCUGCUCUGUAAUUUAGUACUUGUGGGGCAAGAAAGGACUUUGAAUUUCUUUGAAUUUUUAUGAUGUUGGACAACCUAACUCUUCAUAGUUAUCUUAUGAGCAUGUGCCACUGGAGGAAAUUGGUAUUUGUUUAAGGACCUAGACAAUUUUGCAUAUGUCGAGCUACUCUUUGUUUAUAAGAUUUACCAUGAUGUAGCAUGUCAUCUGGGUCUUUGGAGAGUGUUUGAUCACUAUAUUAUGCCAUCAUGUGCCAGUGAUUUCAUUUUAGAAUAUUGUUCCCUCAAAGAGUUUUUCCUUCCAUCAUGCAGGUUAGCAUUAGUAUUUUAUGAAUCAGCCAUUCACCCCUUCUGUGCUGCCAAGCUUUCAAGUUAAUGGCCUUUUCGGCCUGCUGACCUCGCAGGGUUUUGGAGUGGUUGAUGAUAAUCAUGUCACAGCAAUUUGUGUUCCGAAUGGAAGAUGGAUGAGCAUACUUGCCACUCAGUUGAUCAUUGCUACUAGCAGAUUAAAUAUGUUGUAUAGACCUUGAAGUAGAAUUCUGUCUAGGAUGACCGACUUUAAUCUUAAAAAGGUUAUUUCUUAUAUAUUUUGUAUGUGCUUCUUCACCCUGCAGCAAUAUUUGUCUCCUUUUUUCCUCCAUUUCUAUCCUUAAAACGCAAGAAACAAGUUGUUUAAUGGUGGAGGUCCAAUAAAAAAAUAAAAAAAUAAAAUCAAUUUUAAUAUUAAAACAUCUGGCAUGAGCAAGAAAGAAAGAAUCAUACAUAAACUGAUAAAGAAUUUCAAAACUCAUCCCCUAGAUGUUCUUGGGAUCCAUAACAAAUACAGUUGGCUGUCAAAAUUCUUACUUUCUUUUUCCCACACCUCGGCAAUCAAAUGAGGAUGAACUUUCCUGGAAAUUGACCCUUAGAAUAGAUCUAGAAAGCACAGGGAGCAAAAAAAAAGCAAUUUUUUUGGUUUUUCUUGGGGGUUUUGCAUGGAUUUUCUCGGAAACCAAACAAGGAUGAAUUUUCCUGGAAAUUGAAUGGGGGCGGUGGCGAGAACAGAUCCAGAAAGCGUAUGGAACAAAAAAAAAGCAUUUUUUUUUGUUUUCCUUGGGGGUUUUGCAUGGAUUUUCUCAGAAACCAAACGAGGAUGAAUUUUCCUAGAAAUCAAAUGGGGGCGGUGGCGCGGUGGCGAGAACAGAUCCAGAAAGCGCAGGGAGCAAAGAAAAAGCAAUUUUUUUUUGUUUUCCUUAGGGGUUUUGCAUGGAUUUUCUCGAAAACCAAACGAGGAUUAAUUUUCUCACAAAUCGAAUGGGGGAUGGAGACCCCUAGAACAAAUCCAGAAAGCACAGGGAGUAAAAAAAAAAAAAAGCAUUUUUUUUUUUUUUGUUUUCCUAGGGGGUUUUGCAUGAAUUUUCUCAGAAAUCAAAUGAGGAUGAAUUUUCCCGGAAAUCGAAUGGGAGAUGGAUUUUCUUGGGGAUCAAACGGGGAUUUUUUUUUGCUUUCAUUGCCGCCGCCCACAUUCGAUUAUUGGGAAAAUUCAUCCUCUGUUGAUUGCCGACAAAAUCCAUGCAAAACCCCCAAAGAAAACCAAAAAAAAUUGUUUUUUUUGCUUGCUGACAGGAAAACCUAAAGGAUAAUUUUGGAAAUAAAAAUUUGAACAGUAAAUAGUACAUGAAACCUAUAAUAUUUUUUUUAUUACUCUCAUAUUUAUAUGGAUUUCCAAAAUCAGAGCAUAUA